rnacentral:lncRNA from 1 species
CCCAACUGAGGAGAAUGGGCAUUUCAAAUUUGAGAGAAGCAGAUGAGCAUGACUUGUGCUCUUCAAUCCUGAACUUGAAACUAAUACGCACCUUGCGUCUCUGUGUGAAUAAUGAAGCAGAGUUCCUUCGAGUGGAUGCAUUGGAAACACCCCCACCCCAACUUCAAAAGCUUGGUUUGCAUGGGAAACUAGAAAGGGUGCCACAUUGGUUUUGCUCACUUCAAAACCUAACAUCAUUAGGAUUGCUUGGGUCUAGAUUGGAGGAAGAUCCACUCCCUCAUGUUGCAGCGCUACCCAAUUUGGGACGCGUUACUCUAAUUAAUUCCUUCGUCGGAGAAAAUCUACAUUUUUACAGUGGAUUUGCUAAGCUUAAAGAGUUAUACUUGUUUAAGUUCCGUCAACUGAAAGGAAUUAUUAUAGAGAAGGGGGCUAUGCCAGAUAUCCAGAAAUUGUGGAUUGAUUCCUGCUUUGGGUUGGAUGCAGUGCCUCGAGGUAUCGAAUUCCUAACCAAUCUUCAAAUUAUGUGGUUAACAAACUUUUCUUCAAGUCUUAUAGAUUUGAAAAGUAUAGAUCGUUCAAAGUUGUAGCACAUCCCAAAUGUCAAUAUCAUUGAUACUAUAGGUGAGCUUCCACAAACACUAACACACCUGUGUCCUUAUAAUAAGGAUUUGAAAUAACAUCUUAGAUUGAGGAUGAAAACUGUAAUGGACUCCAUGCGGGGUUUUCUAAUCUCCUAUAAAUUCAACUCACUAUGUAGAAAUAAUGAGUUUAUUUAUAUUAAUGAACUAGGUUUAUGUCCAUGCAGUGCACAGAUAUUAUUAUUAUUAUUUGUAUAUUAAUAAUUAAUAAAAUUAUCUUGAAUAUUCAUUUUUUAUAAUAGAUAUUACUCUAAUUAUAAAAAUAAAAUUUUAUUAAUUCAACCAAUUAAAUAUUAAUAUCAGUUGUAACAAUUAUUUUAUUUAAAGUAUAUUAAAAAUUACUCUAUUUAUGAAAAUAAAAUUUUUCAAAUUCAACUAAUUAGAUCAAUUAAGUGAUAUCAUAUAUUAUUUUGUAUAUGGUAAAAUUUGAAAUCUUGAGAAUUUUGAAAUUUAAUUUAUUAGUGUAAUCGAUUAAUUUAUUAGAAUUUAAUAAUACUAAUUAUUAAGAUUAUUACAUAAUUACAUAAUUAAGAUUAUUAAGAUUAUUCUAGAUCCUAAAUCACAUAAUUGGCUAAGUUAAUGUGUUAAAUACUUUUUUUUUUUAAUUGAAUCGUUGGUUAUCAUUUAAUUGGUAGUAGAAGUGAGUAUUCGGUCGAUUCGAUUUAAAUCACAUAAUUAAGAUUAUUAGAAUUUAAUAAUACUAAUUAUUAAGAUUAUUACAUAAUUACAUAAUUAAGAUUAUUAAGAUUAUUCUAGACCCUAAAUCACAUAAUUGGCUAAGUUAAUGUGUUAAAUACUUUUUUUUUUUAAUUGAACCGUUGGUUAUCAUUUAAUUGGUAGUAGAAGUGAGUAUUCGGUCGAUUCGAUUUAAAAUCGAACCGAAUUGAAUAAAACAAAAAUUGAAUAUUUAUGAAAACCGAAUUGAUUUUAGUCAGAAAUCGAAUAGAAUCGAAUCGGUCUAAUUCAGUUUGAUUUAGCUCGAUUUGAUAUUUUGAACUUUUAAUAAAUUUUUUAUUUUUUAUACUUUAUUUUUAGUAUUUAAAAUUUAAUUAGAAUAUUUUAAUGAUUUAAUCUCUCUAUGUUAUUGAAAAUAAUAUACUAUUAUCACUAAUCGGUUCGGUUCGAUUUUAUCAAUUUUUUCUGAUUAAAAUCGAACCGAACCAAAAUAACUGAAAUUUUUAAAUUAAAAAUCGAAUCAAACCUGUAACACCCCUUACCCGUAUAUAAAAUAGCUCAGUAAAAGAUGUCACAUACUAUACUUUAUACAAUUAUAUAUGUGGACUUAAGUUAGCUUUUACAUUAUAAAUGAUUUUUUAGUUUGUUUAAAUGCGUGUUGAUUCACCAAAACAAUUUUAAAUGGAGAAACUGCAAGAGUUUCCCCUGCUUAUCAGUAAUUAUCCCUAUGGAAAAUAGUCAUAAAAUCUCAAUAAUUAUUUAAUUCACACUAUUAAAUCCAUAAAUAUAAUAUAAUAAUUUAAAAUAAUAAACACAUUUUUUUAUAUUCGCACUAUUUUCAACACUCAUUUAUAGACUUUUGGUAGACUAUUAAUGUACAUGCGAAAUAUAAACAACCUCUUGUACAAAAGUUGUGAAUAACUGGUUAUCAUGAUGUCUCCGUGCUGAUGCCCGACCCCUUUUGGUUGUUGCUUCCUUUAACUAUUACCUGCGCAUGGAAAAGUCCAAUGCGCUGAGUUUAUGCCCAGUGGGUGAAUAACAAUAUAUAUACAUGCAAAUAUAUGUAUGAAUACUCAUGACAGAUACAAUGAAAUCAUUUUAUAAGGCAAGUGAAAAUUUUAUGUGUCAGUGGGUGAGAAGUGGACAAAUUAAGUCAUGCAAAUUUAUAACUGUAAAGUCAUUCAUAUUUUGGUAACCAUCUUGUGUGCAUACUUAUAAGGUAUUAACAAGUCAUAUAAUUAAAUCUUAACUCCUAUAAACUCUUCGCAGGAUCAACAAGCUGUAUAAGGGAAAACUGUAUCUGUAUAGCACAAAGUGCCAAACUGUAUGGCCUGGGAGCCGAAUGCAGUGCCUAUAUGCCUAAAAACCGAGAAAUUGUAUGACACAUAAUGUGUUGAAAAUAUCAUAUCAUGUAGCCCAUUAGGGUACAAUACUGCUAAACUGUAUAUAGCAUGCCAUACCCUUAUUCUAUCUAUGACUCCCACUGAGGUUUACUAGGGUCAAGAAUGUAUAUUUACAUGUUAAUUAUUUUUUGGUACUAAAAUUAUUCAUUUAGAUGCUUAACAUGUUGAAACAAGCAAAUAUGUCGAACUAUUUAUUCAUAAGCAAGCACAUCAAUAAAAAAAAGGUCCUUAAGAGCAUAAAUAUAUGUGUAAUAAACCAUAUUCACUCAUGAAUAUAAUAUUCAGUCAUGAACAUAUUACUAUUUCAUCAAGAACAUGUGUAAAGUUUUAGUCUAUUAAGCCAGCACGUGCAUAAAGCAGGCAUGUCAAGCUAGCACGUGCGUAAUUUGGCCACAAAGCUAGCAUGUCAAUUCCUUUUAGGUCAACAUUUAGAUUUAGGUUUGUUUCUACCUGAGAUUGUAUCACGUUUCUAAGUAUCUUAUGGACAUAAUUAGACUCACCUUUUUUCAUAAACUUUGUAUAUUUAUGUCUUAACUUUCUAACAAGAUAUAUUACAUCUAAUUCUGACCUUCCUAAUUUAAGUUAUCAGUUUUUCUUUACAAGCUGCCCAAUCAGGUUCUAACCAGUACAAUUUUGGUAUUUUUUUUUAAUCUAACAAAACAUAUCAUAUGCAUACAUUUGCAUUGAAACAGCCGGUUUCGAACUGACUCAAAUAACUUUUAGGCCUACUUUCCACUCGGCCCAAAAUGAUUAACCCAAGUUAUUUAGUAGUUUCGUGCUAGCUAUUAUAUACAAUUCUAUUUUUUUAUCCUCUGCCGAUGUGGGAUGGAUUUGUGCCGCAAAUCCGCAAGCAGGCAGCUCAAGCAGCUGACCGUUACACUCGGUCCCGCUAAAUUUGCAACGUCUUCGUCGCAACUGAAUCGAAUACAAUUGCUAACCAAGACUGGAUCCUUAGGUAUUGUGGUUCGCUAGUACCUCGGGCGGCUCCAGCUCGUCUCUCACAUAUAGCCCUUUCCUCGCAGGCCCACUAGUUCCGCACAAUUUGUCUGACCCAGGGUGGCUCUGAUACCAAUUGAAACAGCUGGUUCCGAACUGAUCCAAAUAACUUUUGGGCCUACUUUCCACUCGGCCCAAAAUGGUUAACCCAAGUUAUUUAGUAGUUUCGUGCUGGCUAUUAUCUACAAUUCUAAUUUUUCAUCCUCUGCCGAUGUUGUAACAGCCCGGAAACCGAACUGCUACCGGCACUAGGAUCCAGAUCGGCUUAAGGCCGCCGGGACCCGUAGUAAGCUUGCUAUACUGUCUGUGUACCUGUGAAAUCCCAUACAUGAUCAAAUAUUUUCUGUAAAAACAUAAAAGCGUUGCCUGUACCAAAGCUUAACCUGUGCACAUACUAUCACUGCACUGAAAAAUGCCUGCCAGAGCUCUCAUCUAUGCUCAAGGCGGCUAAACUCAUCUAUGUUAAGCCUGGUUUUACCAUACAUACAACAUAAAACAUUUACAUAAAAAGAUCAUGUAUAUACAACAAGGGAUAACAACUCUUAUAAUCAAGCACCAUUCUAUACACUGUACAUAAACACUAUCUCUUUACAUUUUCAUGUCCACACUAGCUAUUACAAACUAUUAACUCUUCCUGUACCCUGCUAACUUCCCUCUGAACUCUGAACCUGCAAAACUGGGGUUAGGGGAGAGGAGUGAGCUACAAUAGCCCAGUGAGUAGAACAGUAAUAAAAUAACAGGUGAUAAAACAUGCUCUCAUGGAAUGCAUCACAUCACAAGUAAUCACAUAAUCUCAGUCGGACGGAUCAAAAUUCCCUCUAUCUAUGUCCANNNNNNNNNNNNNNNNNNNNNNNNNNNNNNNNNNNNNNNNNAGAGACGAAACUCAUGCAUGUUCGGCGGCACCUUCGGCGGCUGAAGGUCUCGUCCAGAGACGAAACUCACACACUUUCGGCGGCCGAACUCCCUCUUUCGGCGGCCGAAAGUCCCUUUCUAAAUCGAAAGCCUAGCUUUCGGGGGCAAGCUUUGGCAGCCGAAACUGCCUCCACAAGGGGUUCGGCGGCCGAACCUCCCUUCGGCGGUCGAACCUGGUUUUGUCCAGAGGACAGAACCUUGCUCUGUUUCAUGCAAACUCACCCAAAAAUUUACCCAACAUGCAUAGCAACUACUCCCAACUAGCAUAUAUCAUAAAACAUGCAUAAAGGGGUCUAAACCUACCCUAAACCCCAAACAAACAUAGCACAUAACACUUCAACAUGCUUAAACACCAAAGAUCACCAAAAACCUCAUCUAAACCUAAACAUGUAUACUACCCAUACAAACUUCAUAAAACCUUUAAAAAUCAGCAAAGAAGCUCAGGAUCUUCAUUUACCUCUUAAAAAACUUGAGGAUGAAGGAUCCUAACGUGGAGAUAUGGAGAAAUCCUCUCUCAAAGCUCCAAACUUCAAAACUUGGUUAUUUUGCUCAAAACCUUCAAAAUACACCAAAACUCUUAUUGGAGACACCUUUAGCAAUACCAUAUCCCCCUCCUGGAACUCUAUCUGCUUCCUACGGAUGUCUGCAUAGCUUUUCUGUCUGCUUAUAGCUGUUCUGAUUCUCUCUCUGAUGAUAGGCACUAGUCUGCUGGUAAUCUCUACAAUCUCUGGCCCUGCAAGAGCCUUCUCUCCAAUCUCUUCCCAGCAAACAGGUAUUAUGCAUUUCCUUCCAUAUAGAGCUUCAUACGGAGCCAUCCCUAUGCUAGCGUGAUGGCUGUUAUUGUAGGCAAACUCCACCAGAGGUAGAUGCUGCCUCCAAGAACCGCCAAAGUCUAACACACACAUUCUCAACAUAUCUUCUAUGGUCUGGAUGGUCCUCUCUGACUGACCGUCUGUCUGUGGAUGGAAAGCAGUACUGAAAUCCAAUCUUGUGCCCAUCUCACUCUGCAGACUCCGCCAAAACUUGGAGGUGAACUGAGGUCCUCUAUCUGAUACUAUCGACACUGGAACUCCAUGUAGCCUCACUAUCUCUUCUAUAUACACCUGCGCUAACUUAUCCACAGAGUAGUUACUCCUGACUGGAAUGAAGUGAGCAGAUUUAGUCAGUCUAUCCACAAUCACCCAUAUGGAGUCUAGCCUGUUGGACGUCGCCGGUAACCCUACUACAAAAUCCAUAGCUAUGUUCUCCCAUUUCCACUCUGGAAUCGGCAGUGGGUUAAGCGUUCCAGCCGGCUUUUGAUGUUCUAGCUUCACCCUUUGACAUAUCUCGCAGGCUGACACGAACUGUGCCACUUCCCUCUUCAUUGCUGGCCACCAAUACACUCUUCUCAGAUCUUGAUACAUCUUGGUGGCUCCAGGGUGAAUGCUAUACCUCGCAUUAUGAGCUUCCCUCAUAAUGUCUUCCUUCAAACUGGGGUCAUCUAGUACACAUAACCUCUUCCCGUGACGAAGAAUCCCCUCACUGUCGAAUCUGAACUCUGUACUGUUGCCCGACUGAACAGUCCUGGCAAUCUUCACUAACUCAGGGUCCUCGUGCUGUUUCAGAGCCACUUGCUCUAGAAACACAGGUGUAACUCGCAUUUGUGCAAUCAAAGCACCUGACCAGAUAACUGCAACUGUAGCCCUUCUUCCAUGAGUCUGUAGAAAUCCUUCACCACCGGUCUUCUUUCUACGAUAAUGUGGGAUAAACUGCCAAGUGACUUCCGGCUUAAGGCAUCGGCAACCACAUUAGCCUUACUCGGAUGAUACUGGAUCUUGCAAUCAUAAUCACUGAGCAGCUCUACCCACCGUCUCUGCCUCAAGUUAAGCUCUCUCUGACUUAGGAUGUGCUGCAGGCUCUUAUGAUCCGUGUAGAUCUCACACUUUACCCUAUAGAGGUAAUGCCUCCACAUCUUAAGUGCAAAGAUAACAGCUGCCAUCUCAAGAUCGUGUGUCGGGUAGUUCAGCUCGUGCUUCUUCAGCUGUCUAGAAGCAUAAGCUAUCACUCUGUCAUUCUGCAUUAACACACAACCUAAUCCCACCCGGGAUGCAUCACAGAACACUGUGAAAUCUUCAUCACUGAUCGGCAGAGCUAACACCGGUGCUGAAGUUAACCGUCUCUUCAACUCUUCAAAACUCUCAUCACAUUCCUCUGACCAUACAAACUUCUGAUUCUUUCUAGUCAGUCUGGUCAUAGGAGCAGCUAUCUUCGAGAAGUCUUGAACAAACCUCCUAUAGUAGCCUGCCAAACCCAGAAAACUCUUAAUCUCUAUCACUGGAGUGGGUGUAGGCCAGUUGGCUACUGCCUCUACCUUUUUGGGGUCUACUGCUAUUCCUUCUUCUGAUACUACAUGACCCAAAAAGGAAAUGCUCCUCAGCCAGAACUCGCACUUAGAGAACUUGGCAUACAAGCCAUGCUCUCUCAAGGUCUGUAGAAUUCUCCGCAGAUGCUGGGCAUGCUCCUCUGCAUUUCUGGAGUACACCAAAAUAUCAUCAAUAAAGACGAUCACAAAGUGAUCCAGGUACUCCCUGAACACCCUGUUCAUGAGAUCCAUGAAUGCUGCAGGGGCGUUAGUCAACCCGAACGGCAUUACUAGGAACUCAUAAUGCCCAUAUCUGGUUCUGAAAGCGGUCUUGGACACAUCCUCUUCCCUGAUCUUCAACUGGUGGUAUCCGGAUCUCAGAUCUAUCUUAGAGAAAUAACCUGCUCCUGACAGCUGGUCAAAGAGAUCAUCGAUCCUGGGUAGAGGAUACUUAUUCUUGAUAGUGACUUUGUUCAACUGUCUGUAGUCAAUACAAAGUCGAAGAGAUCCAUCCUUCUUCCUGACAAACAGUACUGGAGCACCCCAAGGUGAGGUACUCGGGCGGAUGAAACCCUUGUCUACCAAGUCCUGUAACUGCUCUUUCAACUCUCUCAGCUCUGCUGGUGCCAUCCUGUAGGGAGGUAUAGAGAUCGGUCUGGUACCAGGCAGCAAUUCUAUCUCGAACUCUAUUUCCCUAUCAGGUGGUAGUCCUGGAAGCUCUUCAGGAAACACAUUUGGGAAUUCUCUAACCAGUGGUACUAAGGACGGUUCCCUAACCUGCCUGUCUAGCUCCCUCACAUGAGCUAUGAACCCCUGACAACCCCUCCUCAACAACCUGCGAGCCUGAAGGGCUGAUAUCAAACCCUUAGGUGUCCCCCUCCUAUCUCCUCUGAAGACACACUCUGACCCAUCUUGGUCUCUGAAACUAACUAUCUUAUCUCUACAGUUCAGGGUAGCAUCAUACGUAGAUAACCAGUCCAUCCCUAGAAUGACAUCAAAGUCUGUCAACUCUAGAACCACCAGGUCAGCUGGAAGGUAUCUACUCUCUAUGCACACUGGACUGAACCGACAGACUGACUCUGCCAAAGAUGGAUCACAUUUGGGUCCACUGACCCAAAGAGGACACUCUAACUCGGACACCAUCAGACCCAACCUCUCUGCAGCUCUAGAAGAAAUGAAAGAGUGAGAAGCACCGGGGUCCAUCAAAGCAUACACCUCUGAACACCCAAUGAUGAGAUUACCUGACACCACUGUGUUCGAAGUGUCUGCCUCCUGCUGAGUCAUGGUGAAAAUCCGUGCUGGGGCUGACGCACCUGCACCUCGGGAACCCAUCCCUGAUGAAGAGGCUGCCCCUCUUCCUCUACCUCUGCCACUGCUUGGUGGUAUGGCUGAAGCUACUGGCUGUACUACACUGCCUGUACUCAUCUGCCGGGAUGGUGAAACCAACGUCGCCUGAGGACAUUCCCGUGCAUAAUGUCCCUCCUGCCCACAUCUAUAGCAGGCUGAGGAUCCCAACUGACAAGCUCCUCUAUGCUGUCUACCACACCUCUUGCACACUGGACCAUCUGCGCUAGAGCUGGAGCCACUACUCAUUCCCAGACCCGACUUAAUCCUACUCCAGAACUUGCCUCUUUUACCUCUGAGUUUUUCCCAUCUCUUCUUACUCCCACUUGCUGUACUCUGCGAGGAGGAACCUGGUUUAACACCAGAAGACUGUGCCUUUGGUUGCUUGACUACUCCCUGACUUAUGGCACUAGCCUCCAUCUUUCUAGCAGCAUCCACAAUCGAGUGGAAACUCUCCUUCUCUGCGUGAAGAAUCAAAGAGAAAUACCUGUGAUGAAGCCUCGUGGCAUAUCUCUUUGCCUUCUUCUGAUCCGUCUCAUACGCCUGACCCACGUAUGGUAACAAUUCCAGGAACUUAUCUGUAUACUCAUCAACGCUCAUCUCCUCCGUCUGUCUCAACUGCUCAAACUCCACAAUCUUGAGCUCCCUGGAACUAUCAGGAAAAGCCCACCCAGCAAAUUCAUUGGCGAACUCUUCCCAUGUCAUACUGUCUCGUCUAGGGUCCACAUAGUUUUUGAACCAUUCUCUAUCUUUCUUGCACUUUAAAGUGAACCCUGCCAUCUCAAUGGUUCUGCUAUCAUCUGCUCCCAACUCACUUGUUAUCAUUCUGACUGCACUAAGAUACUCAAAAGGAUUAUCUCCCGUGUUGAAUUUAGGAGCAUCCAACUUUAAGUACUCAGUCAUCUUCACUUUACUUCCCCCUGAAGAACUGGGUUGAUGUGCUUCCACAACAGGGGCUACUGGUUCAGGUGGUGGUGGUGGGGGUACUUUUUCUCUUGCUUCAGGCUGUACUGGACUUGGAGGAACAGGUGGGGGUGGAUACAUCUGAUAUGGUGGAUAAAAGGAAGGAUAAGGCAUAUAGGGCAUGUAGGGUGGAUAUGGGGCAAAACUGGAGUAAUCCGAUGUACCUCCCAUCGGAUACCCUGGGCCCUGAGAAAAGGGUGGAUAACCAAACCCCGAGGCCUGUGCGCCUCCCUGGGACUCCCCCAUACCUUCUUCCGACCUUCCAACACCCAUGCUUACAUCUCUACUCUGAUCACCCUCCAUCACACCUCUUUCUUCUCCUGAUCUUCCCCCUCUGCUUACUCCUCUUCUGCUCUCGUCAGAAGACCUUCUAGGGUCUCGUGACGUUCCUUCCCUGCUUGACCUGUGCGAUCUUGCCCUUGGCAAUGCAGGUGGACGAGCAGCUGUAUCCUCACUUUCAGGUGGGACUCCAGUCAAUCUCGCGGAUCGACGAGUUCCUCGCAUCUUAACUCUCUGGAAAACAACACAUAACAGAGCACAUAAGCAUACAUCAUACAUCACAUAUAAAAAUGCACAUGCAUAAAUCAUGGCAUUCCACAGCAUCAUAUAGACAGGACUGACAUCCUAUCCUAGUGGACAUGUUUCCCUAUGGUGCUUCACUGACUAAAACCUCUAUGAGCCCAACUCUGUCUCUAUAUAGGUCCGACCAUGUGAACCUAGGGCUCUAAUACCAAUCUGUAACAGCCCCGAAACCGAACUGCUACCGGCACUAGGAUCCAGAUCGGCUUAAGGCCGCCGGGACCCGUAGUAAGCCUGCUAUACUGUCUGUGUACCUGUGAAAUCCCAUACAUGAUCAAAUAUUUUCUGUAAAAACAUAAAAGCGUUGCCUGUACCAAGGCUUAACCUGUGCACAUACUAUCACUGCACUGAAAAACGCCUGCCAGAGCUCUCAUCUAUGCUCAAGGCGGCUAAACUCAUCUAUGUUAAGCAUGGUUUUACCAUACAUACAACAUAAAACAUUUACAUAAAAAGAUCAUGUAUAUACAACAAGGGAUAACAACUCUUAUAAUCAAGCACCAUUCUAUACACUGUACAUAAACACUAUCUCUUUACAUUUUCAUGUCCACACUAGCUAUUACAAACUAUUAACUCUUCUUGUACCCUGCUGACUUCCCUCUGAACUCUGAACCUGCAAAACUGGGGUUAGGGGAGAGGAGUGAGCUACAAUAGCCCAGUGAGUAGAACAGUAAUAAAAUAACAGGUGAUAAAACAUGCUCUCAUGGAAUGCAUCACAUCACAAGUAAUCACAUAAUCUCAGUCGGACGGAUCAAAAUUCCCUCUAUCUAUGUCCAGCCCACAAAGGAGCUCUUAGGACUACAUCUCAUCUGGGGUACUGAGGUACCAUGUGCCUGGUCCCCGUAGGGCUGUUCCAGGUCUUUCCUCCGAGGGCUAUUGAAUCCUCAUAAAGUCCGUACUGCCUCACCAAAAGCAAUGUACAAGGAGCCAUGCCAAGUAUAAGGAUAGAUGCAAUGCGUCAUAUUCGUGUUCACUAAUGCACUCAGCCUAAAGCAUAGUCAUGAUGCAUGAAACAUGAUAAAAAUAUCCAUUUCUCAUAUUAAAACAUUAAAGUUAGUUCCACUCACCUCUGGCUGACUCUGUGCUAACUCUGCAGGUUCCAACACUGUACUCACUGCUGACCUCCCUGAUUCCUCUGGUCCGUUCCUACACAGGUGGACUCAAAUGAGGGACCAAACUAACUCAAGAACAUCUCUAAGAAACUCCCCAAAAGCCCUCUAAAAGAUCCUAAAACAAUCACAUAAAACAUGCAAAAGAAGGCUGGACAGGGCAUGUAACGACCCGAAAAUCGGACCGCUACCGGCGCUAGGGUCCAGAUCGGCGUAAGGCCGCCGGGACCCGUAGCAAGCCUAACAUAUAACCUGUAAACCUGUAAAUCCCAUACAUGAUCAACAAAACGCAUAAACCUGUAAACAUACUCAUAUGACAACCAAGCUCAACCUUUACUUAAACAUAAGCAUAACAUAAACCUCCACUGGAGCCCUCAUCAAAUGCCCCAAUGGGGUAUCUCAUCAUACAUAAGCUUGGCCGAAACAUAACCUCAUAUCUCAUAUCAUAAAGACCAUGUACAUACAAGUGGGAUUAACAAUCUGUAUUGGUCAAGCACAACUCUAUCCUCAAUAUUCAAAUUACAUAACAUAACUUAAAACUCUUUUACAUUACAUCAUAAUACAAUUGUCANNNNNNNNNNNNNNNNNNNNNNNNNNNNNNNNNNNNNNNNNNNNNNNNNNNNNNNNNNNNNNNNNNNNNNNNNNNNNNNNNNNNNNNNNNNNNNNNNNNNNNNNNNNNNNNNNNNNNNNNNNNNNNNNNNNNNNNNNNNNNNNNNNNNNNNNNNNNNNNNNNNNNNNNNNNNNNNNNNNNNNNNNNNNNNNNNNNNNNNNNNNNNNNNNNNNNNNNNNNNNNNNNNNNNNNNNNNNNNNNNNNNNNNNNNNNNNNNNNNNNNNNNNNNNNNNNNNNNNNNNNNNNNNNNNNNNNNNNNNNNNNNNNNNNNNNNNNNNNNNNNNNNNNNNNNNNNNNNNNNNNNNNNNNNNNNNNNNNNNNNNNNNNNNNNNNNNNNNNNNNNNNNNNNNNNNNNNNNNNNNNNNNNNNNNNNNNNNNNNNNNNNNNNNNNNNNNNNNNNNNNNNNNNNNNNNNNNNNNNNNNNNNNNNNNNNNNNNNNNNNNNNNNNNNNNNNNNNNNNNNNNNNNNNNNNNNNNNNNNNNNNNNNNNNNNNNNNNNNNNNNNNNNNNNNNNNNNNNNNNNNNNNNNNNNNNNNNNNNNNNNNNNNNNNNNNNNNNNNNNNNNNNNNNNNNNNNNNNNNNNNNNNNNNNNNNNNNNNNNNNNNNNNNNNNNNNNNNNNNNNNNNNNNNNNNNNNNNNNNNNNNNNNNNNNNNNNNNNNNNNNNNNNNNNNNNNNNNNNNNNNNNNNNNNNNNNNNNNNNNNNNNNNNNNNNNNNNNNNNNNNNNNNNNNNNNNNNNNNNNNNNNNNNNNNNNNNNNNNNNNNNNNNNNNNNNNNNNNNNNNNNNNNNNNNNNNNNNNNNNNNNNNNNNNNNNNNNNNNNNNNNNNNNNNNNNNNNNNNNNNNNNCAGGUGGACUCAAAUGAGGGACCGAACAUACAUAAACAUGACUCUAAAAUACUCCCCAAAAACCCCCUAGAACAUCAUGAAAACAUCACAUAGAAAUAUGCAUGAAAUGGCUGAACAGGGCACUUUCGGCGGCACCUUCGGCGGCCGAAAGUCCUGGACAGAUCCGAAAGUCAGGCACUUUCGGCAGCACCUUCGGCGGCCGAAAGUCCCAGACAGAGACGAAAGUCUCUUUUCGGGGGCAACUUCGGCAGCCGAAUGCUGCCUCCACGAAAGAGGGUUCGGCGGCCGAAAGUCACUUCGGCGGCCGAACCUGAGCUUCUCCCGAAGGGCAGAAACUCAGCUCUUCUAUGCCCAUUUCGCCUCCCAAGCUCAAAUCAUGUAAAAACUAGUUCUAAAACAUGCAUACCUCACAUACAUUACACCUAGGGGUCUCAAGCUAUCAUAUACCCCAACUACAACACUUCAAACACACAAAAACAAGCUACAUUGUUCAUCAAAGCAUCAAAACUCAUAAACUCAAUAUAUACCCUAACAUGCAUUUCUACCCAUAGAUCUUGCAUAAAACUUAUUUAAAACACCUAAGGAGCUUAAGAUCGGUUCUUACCUCUUGAAGAUCGAGAGGGAGACGACCUAAACUUGGAGAUCCACGAAAAUGAGCUCCUGAGUUCCCAAAGCUCCAAAACUUGUUUCAAAAGCUUAAAUCUUCAAAACCAAGGGAAAACAAGUGAAAAUCUUGAAAGAUUUAGAGGAAGAACAUCAUAAAUGGGUGAGGGACGGCGGGAAGCUCACCUUGGCCGAAAAUGGGGAAAAACUCGCCCGUUUUCGGCUAAAGGACCCUUUUAUAGUGGCUGGCCAGACCACGUUCGGGGGCCGAAUGUGCCUCCGCAUGCAUGUCAUGUUCGGCGGCCGAACAUGAGGUUCGGCGGCCGAACCUGGACUUCCCUCACUUAUGCUUUCGGGGGCCUAACGUGCCUCCAAAACGCAUGCAUGUUCGGCGGCCGAACUUGACUUUCGGCGGCCGAACCUGAGUUUUCCUCCAAAGACUUUUCAUGUAAAAACUCAUUAAAUUUCAUACUUAAAAUCAUUAAAAAUAUGAAAACAUUUCAUAACGACAUACUUUUACCCUUCUAGAGGUUUUCGACAUCCGAGAUUCCACCGGACGGUAGGAAUUCUGAUACCGGAGUCUAGCCGGGUAUUACAGGGCACUUUCGGCGGCAGGUUCGGCGGCCGAAACCCCCCUCCAGAGACGAAACUCAUGCAUGUUCGGCGGCACCUUCGGCGGCCGAAGGUCUCGUCCAGAGACGAAACUCACACACUUUCGGCGGCCGAACUCCCUCUUUCGGCGGCCGAAAGUCCCUUUCUAAACCGAAAGCCUAGCUUUCGGGGGCAAGCUUUGGCAGCCGAAACUGCCUCCACAAGGGGUUCGGCGGCCGAACCUCCCUUCGGCGGCUGAACCUGGUUUUGUCCAGAGGACAGAACCCUGCUCUGUUUCAUGCAAACUCACCCAAAAAUUUACCCAACAUGCAUAGCAACUACUCCCAACUAGCAUAUACCAUAAAACAUGCAUAAAGGGGUCUAAACCUACCCUAAACCCCAAACAAACAUAGCACAUAACACUUCAACAUGCUUAAACACCAAAGAUCACCAAAAACCUCAUCUAAACCUAAACAUGUAUACUACCCAUACAAACUUCAUAAAACCUUUAAAAAUCAGCAAAGAAGCUCAGGAUCUUCACUUACCUCUUAAAAAACUUGAGGAUGAAGGAUCCUAACGUGGAGAUAUGGAGAAAUCCUCUCUCAAAGCUCCAAACUUCAAAACUUGGUUAUUUUGCUCAAAACCUUCAAAAUACACCAAAACUCUUACAACCCUUGAAAGAUUUGAUGAAAAACAUGAAAAACAUGAAAGUCAACAUGGGAGAGGUUGGAACUCACCUCUGGCUGCAAGUGGAGGAGAAAUAUCCUCCCUCCACCGACCUUUGGCCCUUAAAUAGGUGGCUGGCCAGACCACCUUCGGCAGCCGAACGUGAAUCCGAAACCAUGCAAUGUUCGGCGGCCGAAAGUGACCUUCGGCGGCUGAACCUUUGCAUUUCUCCCUUGUUGCUUUUCUUUCAAAACUCAAUUCCUUUAACACUUUAAACCUUUCAAAACUCUUAAAAACACAUGUAAACAUAUGUAUUACCCUUCUUGAGGGUUCCGACACUCGAGAUUCCACCGAUCUACAGGAAUUCCGAUGCCGGACUCAAGCCGGGUAUUACAGAUGUGGGAUGGAUUUGUGCUGCAAAUCCGCAAGCAGGCAGCUCAAGCAGCUGACCGUUAUAUGCAUACAGAUUCAAGCUUAACUUUCUUGUACAAAGUUUUAGGUAUACUUAUCAGGGUUCAUUUGGCACUAGCCUUAAUUCAUUUCAAUGAGUAAAUAAUUGGUUAUGGUCUAAGUGAUACAGACUGUUCCGGAUGCACAAUCCCCUAUGACCAGUUUAGGUUCACUAGCAAUUUGCAUAUAAUUAGGUACAAAUUCAAAAUUUGGUCAAUUCAGAAAAUUUUUAGCUUUUUUGUCUUAGCUUUCAUUUGGUAUAUGUUAGGCUUAAUUUCAAUAAUUACACAAUAAGUUAUGAGGCUUCCACCACAGGCAGUCCUGUUGGAACCUAUUCUGUCAAUUUUGUGUUUUUGCCUCCCAUGUUGUAUCUAUGUGCUUUAAGCCUUCCAAUCAUCGUUUCAACAUUCAUAUCACAAAUCCAUACUAUCAAGAGAACAUUUCCAGCAACUAAAACCAAUACCUAAUUUUGCAUAUUCAUGAGAAAAUCAAAGGAAAAACAAAAAUUCAUACAAACACCAAACGUUUUGCACAAUUCUUUUCAAAAACUUUAGAUACACCUUAUUUACUAUUUUUCCUUGCCUUUUUCCCUUUGAUAUACUUUCCUCCUUUUGAAUUUGUUCUUUACAAAGAAUAAGAAAAACAUGAGUUUUAAUUCAUUUAACAAUAUAUAAUUGAUUGAAAACAUUAAAGAAUAUGUUUGCCUAAUCUAAUUUUCAAUUUCUAUCACUUACCACUUAAGCACCUAAACUUCUCUCAUUCUCUAUGAUUUCUUUGCUGGUUAUUUCACUUAGGAAAGGAUUUUGCAUGAAUGGAGAUUUUGUCUUUAUGGAGAAAUAUGGUGGAAAUAGAAAAUAAGAAGGCAAAAUGAUUUUCCUUUCGUUUUGGUGUAGGUACGGCAAGCAUGGAGCAAAUGGAAGACAACCCUUUUCUUUCAUGCUUAGUCAUGUUUUCAUGUAUGGCUAGGUGUCACAUGGUGGGUUAGGUGUAAAAGUAGAAAAAGAUGGAGGCCAAACUUGGAAUUUAUUUUUAAACUUUCCAUAUUCACACUUUGACCUACUAAACUUUUCCACAUGUUUCAAUUUAGUUUUUAAACUUUCAAUAUUCAUAGAUUGACCUACUAAACUUACACUUUUAUCAUUUACAACUUCAUUUCAUUUAGGUAAGUACAUCGGUUUUAAUAAGCACCUCAAGCUAGUAUGUCGGGAAACCCUUAAGCACUUUCCGAUAGUAACUUGAUUCCGACCUGCUUAUCACAUUAGAUGCUUUAUUUUAAGAUAUGUCUAUUUUCUCAUUUGAGCUUUCUAUAAUUCAGUUAAUACAGGUUAAAGAUAUUAAAAUACUAUUACUGAUAGUUCUUAUUUUACUCUAUCUUUGGAUGUAUAACUCUAUAUGAAAUACAAGUUGAACCUUUAAACACAACUUUUAGGGUUUUACCUAUAGGCAAAUUGUGUGUCAAGCGGCUAUGGAUAAGCUAGCACAUCCCCUAUUUAGCUCGAGGUUAAGCCAGCAUCUCCCAUGAAGCUAAUUACUCUAACUUGGUAUGAUACAAUUUAAAUCUAAUAGUUGCUCUAUUUCUAUCUAUAGGUUUUGGAAUGUAACAAAACCAAACCGAAUUAAAAUAAAUAAAAAAUUAAAUUAAAUUUUUAAAUUAAUUUGAUUUAGCUGAUUUUUUUUAUUUGAACGGAAUACUGCUAACCCUAAUUAAUAGUGCAUAUUAACUAUUAUUUUGUUAAAAAUAAUAAUUUUAUAAUAUUUAUUUGUGAUGUUUUGCUAUGCACGAUAACUAAUUAUAUUUUUUAAAUUAAAAGAUAUUUAUAUACUAAUAAAGAUCAUGAGCUAAUACAUUAAAGAGAAGAGAUGGAGGAUAAUAACUCCAUUCGUCGGAACUUAUCAAGAAAGACAACUCGAACAAAAAUAUGAGCAUAUUUGAUUCACAGUUUUUUUAACAUAAUUUUUAAUUUUUUAAAAUUUAAAUAGUGAUUAAUUUAUUUACAUUUUCUUAAUUAUUUUUUAACUAAAUUAACUAAGUUGAACUUUUAUUUUUAAUUUGAUAUUUUAAUUUUAUUUUAAAACUUAUUUCCUAAUUAUUUUCUUAAUUUUAUUUUAAACCAUUAUUAUUAGUGUUGAAAACCAUCAUUUUGCCUUUUUUUUGGAAGAAUUGAUUUUGAAAAAAAAAUAAUAAUUUAAGACUUAAGGAUAUUAGAAUUGAUUUUGAAAAAAAAAUAUAUUUAUCCUUUUUUUUAAGAAUUAAUUUUAAAAUAGUAUAAUUUAUUCGGUUUAUACUUAUUUGAAAUUCUCUUAUAUAUUUUCUUAGAAAAUACAUAUUAGAAUUUGCCUGUUUGCUUUUAUAACUGCUCGAACAUUUUGAUAUGCCAGAAGUUUAAGCUUGCUAUUAUGUACUACCAUUUGAAGACUAUUUUUUUUGUAAAAAUUAUUUUUUCACAUUGAUAAUACCAAAUUUAUUUCAGAACGGACUGAAAUAAGCAUGCAAAAUUUAAAAGAUACAAAAUAACAUGUAGCUUCUCAAGUUAUUGACGGCUUAAAAAUCGUUUGUUGGUUAGAAUCAAAAGAUUACACCUACAAAAAAGCAAUUAAAUGCUAGACCCACCAUUGAUCCAAUAAAAUUUAAAACUUUAAAAUAAUCCCAAGUUGCUUUAUAAAUAAAAUACCGAUAUAUGGAAAAGAUCUUGUCGUGUUCUAUUCAAAAUAUUUAGAAGAUUUAAAAUUUUUAUUAACGACAUAAAUAUUGAAUUAGUUCUUAAAAAGUUCGGAUUCUAAACUUUUUAUUACCGAAUAUCAAGUUGUUAUGUUAUACUUAUUCUUUUUGUGUUUUCAUCACCUCCGUAUGUUUUAAGAUAGAAAAUCAGUUCCUUAUUUUUUAAGAAAUUCUAUAUUAACUUUAAAUGCGAACCUCUACAAUAUUAUGUAUAUAUUUAGUAUAAUAAUUUUAAAUUUAACUAUAUUACAGUAAAUAUAUAUAAUAUAGUGGUUAAAAAAAUAAUAUUUUAAUAUAUUUAAAAAAAUAUCAUCGCAACAUGGCUAAUAUUAUAUAUGCAUCAGCAACCCUAUAAACGUAUAAAUAUAUAUAUAUAUAUAUAGACAUCAAACUAUAAUUGUUUUAUCAAUUUAAAAAUUAUAACAAAAUCUCUCUAGUGAAUAUAACAUUACAAAUAUUAUAGUUUAUCAUUAUGGUAUAAUUAAUGAUAAAAAGUAAUGGAGAUCAAAGUAUUACAUCUAAUCCUAACAUAAUUAAAAAAAUAAAUAAAUUACAAAUAGCUAAAUUAUAUGGUAUAAUAUCAUACAAUUGAAAAAUAAUAAUAAGUAAAAUUAAAUUAACAAAAAAAAUAAAGAUUAAUAAAAUAAUAAAGUAAAUUUAUCAUAUUGAAAUAUUUUUUUUAUGUAAUACAUUGUUCAAUUGAAAGUUUGAAUGAGAAUUGAAAUCACUGAAUUUAUCUACUAUGAAAACAUGGAAUAAGAGGAAGAGCAAAAAUCUAUCGGAAAGAUUAAGCUGCAAAACUUUCAAAAUUUAAGAUAUAAACGAAUCGAGUUGAGUCGAAUUUUAAAGAAUUCAAGUUUGGUUCGCUAAAAUCUUUUCGAGACCGAGCUCGAGUUUUAAUCAUUUCGAACUCGAACCGAGUAUUAAUAAAUUCAAAUUUUAUUUGUUUAGUAAACGAAUUUAGGCGAGUCAAGUUUUUAUUGAGUUUAAUUUCAAAUAAUUCACGAAUAAUUAAAUUUAUUUAUAUAUAUAAUAAAUUUUAAUUUAAAAUUAAUAAAUUUAAGAUUAAAUAAUUUUAGUUAUGUAUAUAUACAAAUUAGCUCGUAAACUUAUAAAAAUGAACUUUUAAAUAUUAAGAAUCCAAAUAUAUGCAAGUUUUAAGAGUGUAAUUAAACUAUAUAGACCUAAACUUUAAAAAAUUUAGAUUUGGCUCAUAAAAAUAUAUAUAAGAUUUGAGUUUAUUUCUCUUAUAAUAUUAAUUUCAGUAUGCUUAACGAGUCUGAUCACGAGCUUGCUUAUGAACUCAAAAACGAGCCAAACUCAUGAGUUUUAACGAGUUGAGUACUAUGGAGCCCAAAUUUGGCUCGUUUACUAAAAGGCUAAAAAUUAAGUUCCACUUUGGCUUGUUUAGAAAUCGAGUGGAGACCGGUCGAGUUUUUAUCGAGUCGAACCCGAAUAGCUCACGAACAGUUUGAUAAAUUUACAACCUUACCAAAAUCUGUCGGAAAAGUCUGAAACCUUGAGUUGUUAGACAUUAGAGACACAAAUAUAAAAGAACUUCCAAGUGAAUUAAGUAGCUGAGUUGCAGAAUUUGCAUCAUCUUGUUAUGUCUAGUAAGUAUCUUGCAGGCAACCGUAACUUUGAACUUUUCAAGGGGGUGCAAGUGCCAUUUGGAAUUAGCAAAUUGAAGAAAUUGCAAGACAUGAUUUACAUUGAAGCCAAAGGCGACAUAAUAAGGCAACUUGGCAGUAUGACCCAACUCAGCCGAAUGAGCAUUUCAAAUGUGAAAGAAGCUCAUGAACUGGACCUAUGCUCUUCAAUCCAGAACUUGAAACUGCUAUAUCUGAUGGUGAAUAAUGAAUUGAGCAACUUCGGAUUAAUGCAUUGCAAUCACCCCCACCACAGCUUCAGAAGCUUUUUUUUGUUUGGGAAAUUGGAAAGGUUACUGCAUUGGUUUUGCUCACUUCAAUACUUAACAUAUUUGUGGUUACAUUGGUCUAGAUUGAAGGAAGAUCCACUCCCCCACUUAGCAGCACUACCCAAUUUGGCAACGCUUGAAUUAGUAAAUGCCUUGAUCAGAGAAAAUCUCCAUUUCUGCUGUGGCUUUGCUAAGCUUAAAACAUUAUUCAAUGGUUGUCUGCUUGUUCUUUAAUUAGGUUUUUAAUCUGUAUAUGCUAUGAGGAGAUGGUAAGCUUCUCAAAUUCUUUAGUACCUCUCUAUUAGACUCUGAAUUAAAGAAAAAAAAAUUAAGUCAUUUUUAUAUUUUAAGAUUUUUAUUAAGAUCUCUAUAUAUGAAUUUAUAAUAUAUUUUAAUUUUUAAAUUAAAAUUAAACAAUAACCUAUCCCAAGCAGAAAUAAUCUUGCAUUGGUCUCUUUAGGUUGAACAAAUUGAUCACUAUGUGAAGGUUGCUCAAACAAAGAGUGAGAAUUAAACUCUUCUACUUCAUUUGUAUGGAAUGUCUUCUACGGAAGAAGGGAUACAUAGGAAAAUGUGCUUCUGUCCCAAUAAAUAGAGAUAUCUGUGGAAUAAUUUUUCAUUAUUAUCUUUUAUUUGUAAUUAAAAAUUUUACAAGAUUUAAUUUAAUUAAUUUUUUUAUUUGAAAGGAAAGAGUUUUAUAUUUUUUAAUUUUAAAAAAUAUUUUAUAAAAAUUUAUUUGAAUUUUUUUCAUAAAAUGAAUCGUAUGAAUUGUGAGGUAUUGAAAAUUGUGAUUAUUGGAGGCAGAUUAAGAUACAUGAAAUACAACAUAAUGUGGAAUUUAUUCAAGGAAAUUGCCAUAGAGAGGGAGAUGUUUUAUAGUAAGAUUUGAUGACUGCUAGGUUUUUCUUGUACGUAAACUGAGAUCGAGUUCUGAAAAAAUAGAAAGGUCCAAAGUUCAUUAGAGUCUACUAAAUAAGAUGACCCAUCAACACACCAUUCAAUCCGCAACUACAGUAGAAUAGGUUGAUCGAGGGGUCGGACCUGAUAGAAAGAAACCUACAUUGUUUGAUGUGACGAGUAGGAAAGUAGACUUAAUUAUGCCGCAGCCCUAUUAAAACGGGCAUCGGAAGAGAAUUAAAUGAUCGCGUCCGUACGUACGAUUCUGUAUGACAAGAGUGGUGGCUAUGUGUCACUGGAGAAUAAAGAAAAAAUAAAUAAAAAAAAGAGUGUGACCCCUACACACAAAACCAUAUUCUUUUUGGAUUUCAGAUUAAGAGCGGCUAUAAGUUUUUUUUAUUUCUUUUGCUAUAUUUUUUUCAUAGGUUUUUGUCAAGGAGAUUGUUUUUCCUUGAUGGCCGGUGUUUUUUCUUUAUUUAUUCUUUUGUAUCGGUAGGUUAUUAGCCUAAAAGUUAAGUUUUGGACUUUAUUGGUUCAUUCUUAAAAGUACAGGGACUUAUUAGGACUUUCUUCCUAUUGGUUCACGUGUUCCUUCAGUUUUUCUUCCCGCCUUGACGGUUGUCUUUUGGUUACUUCAGUAGCAACGACAUCGUUUUGCACAUUUAUUCAUAUAUCUGUUGUUUCAAACGGCGUCGCAUCUGUUCACAAUUGCAUCAGCUUUCUUCGUGUGAGGCUCAAAGUUCACGGCAGCGAAACCUACUCAACGGACUACCGGCGGCGACACCAUUACGCCGUCCGAAAAGCUUCAUGGCAAGAGGUAUUUUGCUCAUAAGUGUAUUAAUUCACGUGUUGAUAAUUGUAUNNNNNNNNNNNNNNNNNNNNNNNNNNNNNNNNNNNNNNNNNNNNNNNNNNNNNNNNNNNNNNNNNNNNNNNNNNNNNNNNNNNNNNNNNNNNNNNNNNNNNNNNNNNNNNNNNNNNNNNNNNNNNNNNNNNNNNNNNNNNNNNNNNNNNNNNNNNNNNNNNNNNNNNNNNNNNNNNNNNNNNNNNNNNNNNNNNNNNNNNNNNNNNNNNNNNNNNNNNNNNNNNNNNNNNNNNNNNNNNNNNNNNNNNNNNNNNNNNNNNNNNNNNNNNNNNNNNNNNNNNNNNNNNNNNNNNNNNNNNNNNNNNNNNNNNNNNNNNNNNNNNNNNNNNNNNNNNNNNNNNNNNNNNNNNNNNNNNNNNNNNNNNNNNNNNNNNNNNNNNNNNNNNNNNNNNNNNNNNNNNNNNNNNNNNNNNNNNNNNNNNNNCAAUGGUUGGUGCUAUAGAAGCUUUUUAUUACAAAACGGAUCCUUAAACUGGUUGAAGGAAAUAAAAAGUUUCUUGCCAUUGAUAAAGCAAUCGGUGAAAAUGGAUUCAGAGUUGUUACCCUUCUUCGUUUGAGCCCUUUGCUUCCAUUUUCCCUUGGAAUUAUUUGUAUGGAUUGACAUCUGUUAAGUUUGUCCCAUAUGUUCUGGGAAGGUUUGCCUUUAUCCCAUUGUUGUUGCUAGUUAUGAAGUUGAUUUCCUAUUGGAAAUAUUUUAUGAGAUGUCCCCUUUAGUUGUUUGUGCUUGAUGCCCUUCUUAUAGGAUCCAUUUGUUUGUGGACAUGCAUACUUUCUAUGCUUUUCGCUAGAAUUUUUGGGGAUACGAUACGACUUGUUGAUUGCAUUUAAUGUGUACUAGCAUAUGAAAGGCGAUAACGUUUUUAUGCUGUGUCUGGCCUUGUUGUCACUCUGUGUACUGUUGGUGGACUGAGUUGACAUGUCUUUUUCUUUUUCCUCUCUCUUUGUGUGUGUGUGUGUGUGAUGCAUAUGCUAAAGUGAUAUUCUGAAGGAUAUACUAACAGAGUAAACAUUUCUGCCAAAUAACUUAUAUGGGUUUUUCAAUGAUAACAUACUCGUAUAAGUCUGAUUUGUGCAAUUACUGAACUGAAAUUGAAACAAAGAUGGGCUUAUUAGAAGUUCUGAAAUAUCAUUCCAACUUUAGCAAAAUGUAUCUGGAAUUUAUUGAUUCAAUAUAAAUGUAAUAAUAAUUCCUAACAUCUGAUGCACAAAAUACCAUGAUUCUUAUUUUCUUAUGGGACUUGGAAAUUCUCAUGGGUUCCUUAUAAACCAUAUCUAAUUACUUGUAGAAUCUUUUUUGAAAUUUCUCCUACUAAUUAAGAUUUUAUUGUCAUGCAGUUGGUUGGGAAUGCUUCCAGGAACAUGGGCAUAUGUGAGUGCUGGCGCAUUUGGCCGUGCAAUUAUUGUGAGUUCGUCCUCUCUUGAUAUCCACACGAGAUUUCAAAUGUUAUCUUUUGCUACUCAAUUAUUUAUGCUCUAUUGAUAUUUAUGUCUUAUGUCCUGGAAGUGAAAGUAAUGGAAGAAUAAUUUGUUAGGCAUUCUGUUUUAUUAGUUAUAUCUUGGUGGUUCUACCAUUUACGUUGUUUUCUCCUUUGUUGCAUUAUAUUUAUGCCAGAAAUAAUUAUCUUAGCAGUAGCUUGGUUACUUAAAACUGUCUAUAUGGGAUGUAUUAGUAAUGAUGGUACUACCAGCCACUGGAGUGGUGAAGAAUUAAUGCCUUCUUUCUGCAGUAAUUUAUUUGAAUAAUGUAACUAAAAAAUAUGUUUAUUUAAAUAAAAUAUAAAUAAAUUAAUAAAAAGUAAAUAAAUUUCCCCUUCGAUAACAGGAAAAAUUGGUUUACCUUGUUGUCUAUCUUUUUAACAAGUUGGUUGAAGUAUAUAGAGUUCUACCUUGUAUGUGCGCUAAUUUUGUUGGAGCCUCUAGUCUUAACUUAUAACUAAAAAUCAGCAUGAGUUGCCACCAUUUUCUCAUAAAUAUUGUAAAAUUAUAAAAUUGUAAAAUUAAAAACAGCAUGAGUUGCUACCAUUCUCAUUCCUAACUUAUAACUUGUCCAGUCCCAUAAUUGACUCCUCUAUUUUCCUUUGCCACCAUUUUCUCAUAAAUAUUGUUAAACCUUUUUUUCCAUCAGAAUAAUCUUGAAACUUUUUGCUAGUGCUGUGAAAAUUGUCCAUCAUAGUUUUAAAUCCAUGCUCUUUGCUUCCUUAAACUUCUGAUCUUGUUCUUUGUGACGCACCUUGUAUUCUUAGAAAUUUUGACUUGCUGAAAUUUUCAUUAUUGAUCAUUAAAAUACUGCCUCACUAGUAGUUUAUUGUAGUUGUAACGUGAAAUGAUAUCAAUGAACAGAAUCCAGCUGAAAUAGCAUUUGUUCAUUACUCAGAUUGAAUAAAAUCAGCAAAAUUAUCUAAUUUAUGAAUUUUUACCAUCUUUACUUCAAAUCAAUAAGCAGAAACGAAUUGAUGAAUUCUUUAAGAGGAACAUUUACUACUUUCUUGUGGGUUUAUCAUUUUAUAAUGUUGUUACUGGUGAUCAUAAUUCAUACUUUUUUUUUUUUGGGUUCCUCUUUGAUGAUUUGCCUGGAUGGAUGUUUCAGCAAGAAGAAUCUGAUAUUGGAUUAACUGGAGGGAACAAUUCACUGUUGACUCUUGGGCUGGGUUUAUUGGCGACAGCUUUAGCCGCGUAGUAUGUAACAAGGCUUGCAAAGGUAAGGCUGUUUUUGAUCAGCACUUUCAAUAUUACCAACAAGGCAAUAACAAAUUCUGUGCCUCAAGUGCUACUUUCCCACAGUAGUUCGUAAUAACAAAGAAACUGGUUUUACUAUGUGUUUUAUGAUUUCAAGUUAUUUCUACACUGACUGCUCUAUUUAGCUAGAUGCAAUGGUGAUCAUUCAUAUUAAAUGAUUAAAAAGUUUUUUAUUCUUUGAUUUUGGUUGGAAUCUGCAUCUCAAUACAUUCUCAUGUAUUUCUUUUGCUCUAUCACUCAAAUAACCAUGAAAGGCUAAUGGCCCAGCCAAUGGGGUGGCAUUAGUUGCAUCUCUAUUUUCUGAGAGAAUCUUUUGCCACAACCAAUGGCUUAGUUACGUGAGAUUCAAUGUCUUUGACUUUGUUACACUCCACAAAUGCAUUCAUGUCUUUUUCUAGGACUAUGGCUGGUGGCUAGUUGACAUACAUUAUUGUAGAAAAUUUUGUGCAUAAAUUUAUAAUUAACUAGCAUUAGAAGUUUUGUUGAGAAAGCUGAUGAUAACUUGUAGAGAUUCGCAUUAUUGUCUAGUUAUUGGACCUUCCUCUUGGAAAGUUACAGCAGUUCUUAAGUGCAUGGGAUGGAAGGGAAAAUGUAACAAAUAAAAAUUUGGGUGUUUCUUGUUUCUAAUUAAUAGUAGUUAUAUGUAACAUCCCAACUCCAAUUGGUUCAAAUAAUUUUUCUCUAAAUGAUUAAUUAAAAUUAUUUAGUAGGUCUGAACUAGAUUAUUAUAUAAUCUUUAAUUAUUUGCUAAUCAACCGACGUGGGAUAUCACGUUGCAACUCUGUUGUGCUAUAUUAAAUACUAUUGUUAAAUCAGAACCAGAUCCUCAACUAUUAUGGUUUCUUAGUGUUUCGGACAAUUCUCAACUAUUAUGGUUUGUUAGUGUUUCGGACAAUUCCAACCCGUUGUCCCACGAGUAGAUUUUUCAUUGCUAACCCUCUAGCUCCGCAUAAUUUUCUAAUUCAGGAUGGUUUUAAUAUCAAUUGUAUUGGCCCGACUCCAAACAACACAAAUAAAUUUUGUACACUUGGAUCUAAAAUAGUUUAUCCAAAUUAUUUAAUAGUUUUGAGCUAGGUUAUUAUUUAAUUCUCUGCUAACCACUGAUAUGGGAUAUCAUAUAUUAUAUGUUAUCUUAAUUUAUUAUUAUUUUUAUUGUUAUAUUUCAUGCAGGAUGCGGUGAAAGAUAUUGAGUAGAAGCAAGAAGAUUGGGUUUAACAAGGCAAGUUAAUGACAAGAUGACUGAAAUUGUAAGUUUACGAGGAUCAUCAUGUAAAUCCAUUUGUAUUAUUUGAUCCAAUCUCAUCCAUCUUUUUUCCUCCCAGUCCCUGUAAAUUAGGGAUUCUUUAGAUUUGCUAUAUAGCUAAAUAAGCAUUAUAGCAAAAUGAGCGCAAUUCUAGUUUUAUAUAUUUAUUUUUUGGAAAAAAAGUAUCUCUACUUAUUUUAUCAGUAUUCUUCUUUUGAUUUCUUCUUCUCCUCUAGCUGGAACUUGAGCUUGUCAUGAAUCUCAUUAAUUAUUUCUUGGUAUGAUGAUUUUUUUUUUCUUUCUUUCCCCAUUUUUCUUCAAUAUUGCUCUUUUCCUAUGAGGUGGAAAAUGGGGAAGCAAAAAUAAUAAUCAUUUGCACUUAGUGUAUUCCUUUUCUGAUUUUAUGAGUACAGCAGAAAAAUUACUAUUUAGACUCUAUAAUAUGUAAAAAUUUAUUAAUUGGUCUUUAUAUUUUAAAAAAUAUAUUAAAAUGUUCUUGACGUUUUAAAAAAUUUACUAGUUAAUUAUUCUAUUAAUUUUAGCAGUUAAAUAAUUUAUUAUUUAGUCUAUAUGAUUUUGAAAAACUCAUUUUUUGAAUUUUUAAAACAUUUAUUAAUUAGUUAUUUUUUAUUGAAGAUAUUUUAGCCUUUUUCGUAAUAUCUAACAAUUAAAAUUAUUGGAGAGACCCAUUAAUAGAUUCUUGAAAUGUCUGAAACGUUUUAUUAUAUCUUUUAAAAUAGACGGAUCAAUUAAUAAAUUUUUUCAUAAUAUAAAAAUUAAAUAAUAAAUUUUUUUAAUAAUAAAAUUGCAGAUGGCAGAUGGAUAAUAUUUUUGGCUUCUGCAAGAUGAAUUGGAAAAUACAAGGAAAAAGAUGCUUGACCUAAGAACUGCCAUCUGUUGGUACUGAAACUUGAAAGAGAACACAAACAAAGAAAAUCCAAAAUUUAUUAAAAUUCUAAAAAAGUAUACGUAAAAUUCAUCUCAAUAUAUUUUUUUGAAAUUUGAAGCUACAUUAAUUACAUCUGCAAGGUAAAGUCAUCUCCUGCUGGAAUAUUUUUUUAAAAAUAUUUUUAAAAAAUAUUUUUCAAAUAUAAAUUAGAUGAGAAUUUUACUAAUAUUUUUAUAUAUAAAUUUGUUAGCAUAUUUUAUUUUUAAAUUAAAAUUAAAUAAUAAAAAAUUAAAUUAUUUUACUGGAAUAUUUUUUUAAAAAAUAUUUUUUAAAUAUAAUUGUUUUUUAAAAAAAUAAAAUUUUAAUCCAUUAAUUUUCUUUAACUAAUUCCAUUAGUGUUUAUUUGUUAAUAAAAUAAAAAAGAAUAGACAGAAAUCGUUAUUAUAACAGUUAAUAUUAUCGAACAGACCUAAAUAUAUUAGUUAAAAUGUAGUAAAUUAAAUUGUGAUAUAAAAGUAAAUUAAAACAUUUUAAUUAUAAAAUAAAUUUUAAAAAUUAUAUAAUCACAUUUUUUACAAUAUUUAAAAUGAUUUUUUUUUUUUUGGUCAUUGGCAGUAUGAUUCUAUAAUCAUGUUUUAAUUAGUUGCAACAUCUACAUAAUUAAAAUAUAUCAAAUAUAUCAAAUAGGCAUUAACAUAUUAAAGAACAACCAGUUUGUGCACAAUCCAAUGUCACAAACCCUAACACGCUUAGCCCUUGAUGUAAUAACAUAUUAAAUCACAAUUAAUUUGUAUUUUUAUACUUUAAAAUCAACCAAGGCUAAUUACAUAAUUAAUAUAGUGUAUAUGAGAUUCAAGAAUGGAUCUAGGUUGAGGAAAUAUUUUAGUAAAGUUUAUUUCUAUUUUUAUUUUAUUUCUUUUUAUUUAUUUAUUUUUUUAUCUUUUUUAACGUUUAACCGUCCUCUGUCACAUUCACACUGAUAAUAUGUACGAAGGUACUGUAUUAUUUUCUCUCGUUAGGGGGUCAUUUAAUUCUAUUCGACGCCACUUGGACACGAUCCCGAACAUUGCGGGGUCUGCUUUUUUAUGGAAGUUAACGGGUUUUUGGGACUAGGAUCCCACAGGCAAAUUCACGUCUAACCCGGCUUGUUUGGACAGACGCUGAACCAGUAUGGGGUUUAGAGCCGUGUAUUAGGCCCUCAUUGAGUUCAGGCUUGGUUCUUCUCAUUUGGGUUGCCUCAAGCCUAGACAUAUGGAGUUUGACGGUCAUCAAAUGCCCCUUUACCCGCUCAUUAAUGAUUUCAUGAUUUACGAGGGAGUAAAUUUUGAGAUUGUAAUUAUUACCACGUGAUUCUUGGAGGAUUCUGUCAAAACGUCCUUUCCAUGCCUUUCUCCAUUUCAAAUUUUCACUUUUGCUUGUUGUUCUGUCUCUUGCGCUGCUUCUGCUAUCUUGCCCUCUCUCUUCCCUAUAAUCUCGAUUCUCCAAUCCGAGGUACAUUUCGCUCCUCUUAUGGCUUCUACUAGGAUUUCCGAGGUGGGCGGUCUGAUUUCUUCUAUCACUCCAUUUUUUUUUCAUUAUUUUUCUUAUGACCUUGCUGAUACCUCAAUAUUCAAGAUUAGGGCUUCCUUGCCUAACAAGCGCAUAGUUCUUCCUAACCUACCACCAGAAGGCUUGAUAGAUGCUCAACAGGAGUGUAAUUUGGUCUUUCUUGUCAAACAGUACAAAUUCGGGCUAACAUUUCCUUUUACCCCUUUUUCAUCGAGGUCUUUCGGUAUUUAGGGUGACCCCUCAAAUGUUGUCCCCCAAUUCAUCUUAUUUAUGUGUUGUUUUGAGUCCAUUUGCUUAUGUUGGGAAUUUGCCCCUUCCGUCGAGUUGUUCUAUACUUUGUUUCAUUUGGUUAGAUCUAAUCGUGGGUUCUAUUAUUUUGGCCCCCGAGCUGAGUUGUCUAUAUUUGGAAGGUAUAAGGGCUCAAUUAAGGGCUGGAUAGAGAAUUUUAUUGUCGUUGAGCUGAAGGUGAGCUCGAGAAUUAGUUGGGAUAUUAACCUCUCCUGGGGAGAGGUGCCUCAGGGCUGUAAUGAAUUCCCUAAGUUAAUCCUAGUAGAUCAGAUCUGCCUUCUUCGACCCACCUUUGUAAGGAAGAAAUAUGUUGUCGAAAUGUGCAUGUUCAUGUCCAAUCUAGGAGAUUGUCAUCAAGUUGGUACCUUUUAAUUUUUUCUCUUUGUGUUUUUUUUCUGCUAUUUUAAGUUUUAAUUAAAUUGGUUUUUUUUUCAAUCUCCGACAUGCCAAUGGGUAAAUCAAGCUCCCCAAGAACUUCACCCUGUUUAGGGAGAGCAUGAAAGACACCUUGAUUGCUUUCAAAGCCAACAAGUCCAUUGCCGAUGUGGCCAAGAAGGUUUUCCAGACUGCAACUUUAGCAUGUGAGCUUGCCUCUCUACUCGUACUACCGUACCUUCCUUGGCUUUGGUGCUUCCCAUUCUACAACCUCUAGGACAUCAUUCCCUCCCAAGACGCCGGCCUCCUUUAAGGCUCCAUCUACUCCCAAGGUAGUUCCUAAGGAGUCUAUCGUUUCCCCCUUGAACAUUUCUCCCAUUAGAGUUGUGGGUGCUAUCGCCACUUGGUUUAAAAUGGUCAACCCAAAUUAUUUAGUAGUUUCGUGUUAGCUAUUAUAUAUAAUUCAAUUUUUUUCAAAUCUAUCGAUGUGGGACGGAAUAGAAAAUAGUAAAUUAAAUUAUGAUAUAAAUUAAAUUAAAAUAUUUUAAUUAUAAAAUAAAUUUUAAAAAUAAUAUAAUCACAUUUUUAACAUUAUCGAAAAAAAAUAUAUUUUUUGUCAUUGGCAGUAUGAUUCUAUAAUCAUGUUUUAAUUAGUUGCAACAUCUACAUAAUUAAAAUAUAUUAAAUAGGCAUUAACAUAUUAAAGAACAACCAGUUUGUGCACAACCCAAUGUCACAAACCCUAACACGCUUAGCCCUUUAUGUAAUAACAUAUUAAAUCACAUUUAAUUUGUAUUUUUAUACUUUAAAAUCAACCAAGGCUAAUUACAUAAUUAAUAUAGUGUAUAUGAGAUUCAAGAAUGGAUUUAGGUUGAGGAAAUAUUUUAGUAAAGUUUAUUUCUAUUUUUAUUUUAUUUCUUUUUAUUUAUUUAUUUUUUUUAUCUUUUUUAACGUUUAACCGUCCUCUGUCACAUUCACACUGACAAUAUGUACGAAGGUACUGUAUUAUUUUCUCUCGUUAGGAGGCCAUUUAAUUCUAUUCGACGCCACUUGGACACGAUCCCGAACAUUGCGGGGUCUGCUUUUUUAUGGAAGUUAACGGGUUUUUGGUCCCACAGGCAAAUUCACAUCUAACCCGGCAUGUCUGGACAGACGCUGAACCAGUAUGGGGUUUAGAGCCGUGUAUUAGGCCUUCAUUGAGUUCAGGCUUGGUUCUUCUCAUUUGGGCUGCCUCAAGCCUAGACAUAUAGAGUUUGACGGUCAUCAAAUGCCUCUUUACCCGCUCAUUAAUGAUUUCAUGAUUUACGAGGGAGUAAAUUUCGAGAUUGUAAUUAUUACCACGUGACUCUUGGAGGAUUCUGUCAAAACGUCCUUUCCAUGCCUUUCUCCAUUUCAAAUUUUCGCUUUUGCUCGUUGCUUUGUCUCUUGCGCUGCUUCUGCUAUCUUACACUCUCUUUUCCCUGUAAUCUCGAUUCUUCGAUCCGAGGUACGUUUCACUCCUCUCAUGGCUUCUACUAGGAUUUUCGAGGUGGGCGGUCUGGUUUCUUCUGUCACUCCAUUUUUUUUCAUUAUUUUUCUUGCGACCUUACUGAUACCUCAAUAUUUAAUAUUAGGGCUCCCUUACCUAACAAGCGCAUAGUUCUUCCUAACCCACCACCGAAAGGCCUAAUAGAUGCUCAGCAGGAGUGUAAUUUGGUCUUUUUUGUCAAACAGGACGAAUUUGGGCUAACAUUUCCUUUUACCCCUUUUUAUCGAGGUCUUUCGGUCCUUUAGAGUGACCCCUCACAUGUUGUCCCCCAAUUCUAUCUUAUUUAUAUGUUAUUUUGAGUCCAUUUGCUUAUGUUGGGAAUUUGCCCCUUUCGUCGAGUUGUUCUAUACUUUGUUUCAUUUGGUUAGAUCUAACCAUGGGUUCCAUUAUUUUGGCCUCCAAGCUGAGUUGCCUAUAUUUGAGAGGUAUAAGGACUCAAUUUAGGGUUGGGUAGAGAAUUUCAUUGUCAUUGGCCUGAAGGAGAGUUCGAAAAUUAGUUGGGAUAUUAACCUCUCCUGGGGAGAGGUGCCUCAGGGCUGUAAUGAAUUCCCUAAGUUAAUCCUAAUAGAUCAGAUCUGCCUUUUUCGACUGACCUUUGUAUGGAAGAAAUAUGAUGUCGAGAAGUUCAUGUUCAUGUCCAAUCUACAGUAUUAUCAUCAAGUUGGUACCUUUUAAUUUUUCCUCUUUGUGUUUUUAUGUUUGCUAUUUUGAGUUUUGAUUAAAUUGGUUUUUCUUUUUCAACCUCUGACAUGCCAAUGGGUAAAUUAAGCUCCCCAAGAACUUCACCCUAUUCAGGGAGAGCAUGAAAGACACCUUGAUUGCUUUCAAAGCUAACAAGUCCAUUCACAAUGUGGCCAAUAAGGUUUUCCAGACUGCCCUCUGCUCGUACUACCGUACCUUCCUUGGCUUUGGUGCCAGUGUUGGGAGAUUCCCAUUCUACAACCUCUAGGACAUCAUUCCCUCCCAAGACGCCGGCCUCCUUUAAGGCUCUAUCUAGCAGAGAGCAAUUCGAAUGAGGGAACUAGGUCCCUCCCUUGAACAUUUCUCCCAUUAGAGUUGUGGGUGCUAUCGCCAUUGAGGGUAGGGCUGUCAAGCAUGCUAGAACUUCAAAAUCCACGAAGGCAGUCCCUUCCCUACUAUUGAUAAAAGGAAGAAGAUGGCGGAGAACCUGUCUUUGCUCCAUGAUAACGAGAUGUUGAAUACUGCCGAGGUAAAUGUUGAAUUGAAAAAACUUUUGAAAAAAAAAUUAUUAAAAUAUUUUUAGCAUAUUUAAAAUUUAAACUUUACAUAUUUCUACCAUUAAAAAAAUAAAUUAAAAUAGACUCUUUUUAAAAUGAAUAUAAUAAUAUAAUUAGUUUAUUAAUACUGAUGAUCUGAGAUCCAAUAUAAUAGGGUUUUUGUAUUGAAUAAUAAAGCUUAAAACAUUCUGAGGAGGGGACUCCUCUUUUAUACAUUGUCUUGCUUGCUGGUGACGUGUAAAGGUCUCUCCAGGAUUGGGCCACGCGUCUCUGCCAUACAGAUUCGGGUGUACUAGGGUAUCAGCUGCCUGUUACAUGCGUAACGGCCUCUGAUUCUCCUCAUGCGUACGUUCGAGCGGAUCUGCCAGGCUGUCUGGUGAGUACUGUUCUGGACCCCGGGCUGGGCCAAGAGUUGGGCUGGACGCUGGGCCUGAGAGGGGUCUGCUAGUCAGGGAUCAGACUGGACUGAGUGAGGAAGCUUGGUCGAGCCCGGCCCGGAAGCUGGAAUGAGCCAGGCUUGUUGGGGGGUAUCAAGUGCGUGGGCCUCUGUAUCAUGGGCCUUUGGCUGCGGUCACGCCCCUGUUCUGGGGUGAAGAAAUCCAGCGGUCAUCAAAUACUAAUUAUAAAUAUAUUAAACAUUAAUACUCAAUAUUAAAUAUUUUUUUAAAAAAAGUAAUUAUUAAUUAAAAAUAUAAACAAAAUUUGAAAUUAAAAUAAAUAAAAAACAAUGAAUAAAGGAAAAGAAAAAAGAAAGAGUUAUCAAUAGCUAAAUAAGUAAUUUUAAUAUAAAUGAUUUUAACUGAAAUCAUUUUUCUAUCAAAAUCUUAACCAUUUUGAUAAGAUUUGAUUUUAAUUCGAGAUCAAUUCUCAUAAGAUUGAACUUUUAUAUUAUUAAUUUUACCAAAUUCAAAAAUUAUAAAAAUAAAUUUAUUUCUUUUAAAUUUUUUAAAAUUAUUCAUUCCAAACAAGAGGUUUACAUUCAGUAGUGACCGAAUUAUGAUCUCUCAACUUUGUAAAAUUUUCAUUUUUAUUUUUAUUUAUAUAUUUUUUAGAAAUUUUAUUAAAAAUAUAAUUUUGAGAUCUCCAAUUUUAUAAAAUUUGUAUAUAUAUUUUUAUAUUUUUCAUUAUUUUUCAUUUAUAUAUAUAUUAGAAAUUUCAUUAAAAAUAUAAUUAAACAUGAAUUUACCAUAUAAAAUUUUGCUCAUGUAUUCUAAGUAAAAUUACUCUCAUUUAAUUCUGCCGAUUUAUAAAAGUUUAGUGUAUAAUUAAUAAAAUUUUAAAUGUAAUUAGUAAUAUUUAUAAUUAAUUUUUUUUUUUCAAUAAAAUGUAGAUAAUAUGAUUUAUAUGUGCUUAAUUAUUAUAAUUUUUCUAAAUUUAAGUAUUGAAGAGUGUAAAAGUUUAAUUUGAGUAUUUAAUAGAUUAAUUCAAUUAGAAAGGGGUGUGUGUAUAUAUUCAAUAAAAAUAUAAAUAGAAAAAAAAUUAUUUUUCUCCCAUUAUUUAGAUAUCAGAAAGAAAAAUAAUAAGAAAAAAUAUAAUUUUUUUUAAUAGUUAAACUUUAUAUUUAUAAUUAAAUAGUAAUUAUAAAGAUAAAAAAGUAAUUAUAUUUUUUCUGUUUUUUCUCUAAAAUAAAGAAAAAGUGAGGGAAUUAAUUUAUUAUUUUUUUAGCUUAAUUUUAAUUUUAAUUUAUUAAGGAUUAAAAUUGAGAUUUGCCGUUAAAUUGCCAGCUGCCACAUCUUUACCUCUCAGCCACACAUUUCAAAGUCACCGGUUGACUCACUGUUGUUGAAGUCUUCCUCAGGUCGAUAACAUAAAAUUUGCAAGAACAACUUGCUCACUAUUCCUCGAGAUCGGCGGCGAUAUUCUUUCUUCUCUACUAAGGCUUUCUGAAAUCUGUUAAAUUUAACAGUAAGUCCUUUGAUUUUGCAUAAUUUUCUAAUAUAGUCCUCUAAAUUAAUGUAGAUAUAUUAUUAUCUGGUUGAUGUUUUAUUUGAUAGAUGCAUGGUUAAAUCAUUUAAUAAUAGCUAAUGCUCUUAUGUUUCAAUCAAUUAGUAAAUCUGAAAACAUUUGUGCUUACUAUCUAACCAGAGAAGAGUUGAAAGCAGGUGAACACAGUAGGCGAAGAUGGCCUCAGUUGCAGUUGAUCAUGUGAUAGGCACAAUAAUGUCUGCUCUUCAAGAGGAAGCAACAUUGUUAGUAGAUAUCAAAGAUGAACUUGAGGAAAUCAGCAAAGAACUUGUAAGCAUGAGAUCUUUUCUACAAGAUGCUGAGAGAAACAAAGUCAUGUCAAAAGGAGAGGAGACAUGGGUUGCAGAGGUGAGGGACACUGCACACCAAAUAGAAGACCUCAUUGAUGAUUACAUGUAUGACAUGUAUCGGAAACAAUAUUCCACAGGAGCCCGUCGAAUUUUUCUUACUCUAAAAUCUCUUUUGGAAAAGCUUAGGAUUGCCUCUAAGCUACGACAGAUCAAUAAAAACAUCAUAGGGAUGGAUGAGAGGAGAAAAAGAUUUGAAAAUGAUCAUAUAGAAGGUUUCAAUGAUCACUGCCAUUUGACAUUAUACCCAAGGGAUUCAGCGGUUUUUAUGAAAGAAGAUGAUGUUGUAGGGUUUGUAGAUGAAAGCCGAUUGUUGAAAACAUGGUUAGUAGAUGGCGAAAAGCAUUUAAAUCUCCUUUCAGUGGUUGGAAUGGGAGGAUCUGGUAAGACAACUCUAGUUGCCAAGACCUGCAACAAUGAAACUGCAAAGUCCUAUUUUGAUUGCUAUGCGUGGGUUACUGUCUCUCAGACAUAUGCGAGAGAUGAUUUACUCAGGAAGUUAAUCAAAGAAUGCCAUGAAUCAGGGAAGGCACGAGUUCCUAAUGAUUUGGGUACAAAGGACUUCAAAGACCUCGUAGAAUAUCUUAUUGGUUAUUUGAAGCAUAAAAAAUACCUAGUUAUCUUGGAUGAUGUGUGGGAUAUAAGCUUAUGGGAGAACAUAAAGGCAUCACUUCCAAAUAAUGAGUUUGGAAGUCGGAUUAUAUUUACAACUCGAAAUGAAGAUGUGGGAUCUUUUUCUUCCAAUGUUAGAAGUCACAUGCUUACUAUUAAACCGCUGAAGAAUGAAGAAGCAUGGGAUCUUUUUUGCAAGAAAGCAUUUUUCAGCAAUCCUGAUAAAUCUUGUCCAGAAGAACUUAAACCUCUAGCAUUAGAACUGGUGGGAAAAUGUGAUGGACUACCUCUUGCAAUUGUGGCUUUAGGUGGUGUCAUGUCUUCCAAAAAGUCAACAAGGGAGUGGAGUAGUGUCUGGGACAACUUGAAUUGGCAACUGAACAAUAAUCCAAGGCUAGAAAUAGUCAAGAGCAUUUUGCUGCUUAGUUUCAAUUACUUGCCAUCUCCAUUAAAGUACUGUUUCUUGUAUUGUUGCCUCUUCCCAGAAGACUAUAAAAUUCGACGACAAAGGCUCAUUAGACUAUGGAUAGCGGAAGGAUUUAUUCAGAAUGUUGACAGGACUACACCAAAUGAAGUUGCAGAAAGGUAUUUCAUGGAGCUCACACUUCGUAGCAUGCUUCAAGUUGAAAGCAGAAAUGCACGUGGGAGACCAAAGGCUUGCAAGAUGCAUGAUUUUUUGCGUGAAAUUGGUAUAUCAAUGUUAGAGAGAGAGAAGUUUGGUGUCGUAUAUGAUGAAAAAGUAAAGAUUAACAAAUGCCAACUUCAUCAAGCUCGUCGCUUGUCUAUUCAAACAACUAACUGGGACCUUCAAUCGUUUGACAAUAUGACACGUCUUCAUUCACUACUUGUCUUUGUGGAUAGUUCUGUGUCUUUCUCGAACACAUCGUCGCCAAAUUUGAAAUUAAUGAGGUCUUUGGAUUUGGAAAAUGUCGCGAUUAAUAGUUUACCAGAAGUAUUGGGGACUCUAUUCAACUUAAGGUACUUGAACUUGAGAGGAACUCAGGUGGAAAAGCUUCCCAAAUCUAUUGGAAAACUGAGGAACCUUGAGAGUUUAGACAUCACGAAUACAAAUGUAAAAGAACUUCCGAGUGAAGUAGCUGAGUUGCAGAACUUGUAUCAUCUGAUUAUGCGGAGCAAGGGGAUUACAAAUAACUUAGAGAGAUUUUUUGUAUUUCAAUGGAGUGCAAGUACCAUUUAAAAUUAGCAAAUUGAAGAAAUUGCAAGUCUUGUAUUAUAUUGAAGCCAAAGGUGACAUAAUAAGACAACUUGGGAGUAUGACCCAACUGAGGAGAAUGGGCAUUUCAAAUUUGAGUGAAGCAGAUGAGCAUGACUUGUGCUUUUCAAUCCACAACUUGAAACUGCUACGCACCUUGCGUCUCUUUAUGAAUAAUGAAUCAGAGUUCCUUCGAAUGGAUGCACUGGAAACACUCCCGCUCCAACUUGAAAAGCUUAGUUUGGGUGGGAAACUAGAAAGGGUGCCACAUUGGUUUUGCUCACUUCAAAACCUAACGUCAUUAGGAUUGCUUGGGUCUAGAUUGGAGGAAGAUCCACUCCCUCAUGUUGCAGCGCUACCCAAUUUGGGACGCGUUACUCUAAUUAAUUCCUUCGUCGGAGAAAAUCUACAUUUCUACAGUGGAUUUGCUAAGCUUAAAGAGUUAUACUUGUUGAAGUUCCCUCAACUGAAAGGAAUUAUUAUAGAGAAGGGGACUAUGCCAGAUAUCCAGAAAUUGUGGAUAGAUUCCUGCUUUGCGUUGGAUGCAGUGCCUCGAGAUAUCGAAUUCCUAACCAAUCUUCAAAUAAUGUGAUUAACAAACUUUUCUUCAAGUCUUAUAGAUAUGAAAAGUAUAGAUCGUUCAAAGUUGCAGCACAUCCCAAAUGUCAAUAUCAUUGAUAGUAUGUGUGAGCUUCCACAGACACAAACACAAACACACCGUGCAUUAUAUAGGAUUUGAUAUAACAUUUUAGAUUGAGGAUGAAAACUGUAAUGGUCUCCAUGUGGGGUUUUCUAAUCUCCUAUAAAUUCAACUCACUAUGUAGAAAUAAUGAGUUUAUUUAUAUCAAGUUUAGUUCGUGCGUUGCGCAGAUAUUAUUAUUAUUUAUAUAUUAAUAAUUAAUAAAAUUAUCUUGAAUAUUUAUUUUUUAUAAUAAGAAUUACUGUAAUUAUAAAAACAAAAUUUUAUUAAUUCAACCAAUUAAAAUUAAUAUAAGUUAUAACAAUUAUUUUAUUUAAAGUAUAUUAAAAAUUACUCUAUUUAUGAAAAUAAUAUUUUUCAAAUUCAACUAAUUAGAUGAAUUAAGUGAUAUCAUAUAUUAUUUUUUAUACACGGUAAAAUUUGAAAUCUUGAGAAUUUUGAAAUGUAAUUUAUUAGUGUAAUUGAUUAAUUUAUUAGAAAUUAAUAAUACUAAUUAUUAAGAUUAUUACAUAAUUACAUAAUUAAGAUUAUUCUAAACCCUAAAUCACAUAAUUGGCUAAGAUAAUGUGUUAAAAAUAUUUGUUAACAUUUUUUUUAUUCAACCGUUGGUUAUUAUUUAAACCGAAUCGAAUACCGAAUCGAAUUAAAUAAAUUGAAAAUCAAAAUUUUUGUAUUUAUAAAAAUCAAAUCGGACUGAUUUUAUUCAGAAAUCAAAUUAAAUCGAAUCAAUCUUAUUUAAUUUGAUUUGAUUCGGUUUAAUCGAUUUGAACUUUUAAUAAAUUUUUUAUUUUUUACACUUUAUUUUUAAUAUUUUAAAAUUUAAUUAGAAUAUUUUAACCUUGAUAUGAUCUAAUCUCUCUAUAUUAUUAAAAAUAAUAUAACAUUAUCACUAAUCGGUUUGAUUUAUUUUUUUUUUAUUUUUUCUGAUAAAAUCAAACCGAAUCGAAAUAAUCAAAAUUUUUAAAAUUAAAAAUCAAAUUGAACCGAAUUGAAAUGAAUAAAAAAUCGAAUUGAAUUUUUAAAUUAAUUUUAUAUGAUCAAUUUUUUCAAUUUGAACCGAAUACUAUUCGCUCCUAAUUAACCGUGCAUAUUAACUAUUAUUUUGUUACAAAAAUAAUAACAUUAUAAUAUUUAUUUGUGAUGUUUUGCUCUGCACGGUAACUAAUUAUAUUUUUUUAAAUUAAAAGAUAUUUAUAUACUAAUAAAGAUCAUGAGCUAGUACAUUGUUGAUUCACAGUUUAUUCUAACAUAAUUUUUAAUUUUUUAAAAUUUAAAUAAUGAUUAAUUUAUUUACAUUUUUUAAUUAUUUUUUAACUAAAUUAAAUAAGUUGUACUUUUAUUUUUAAUUUGAUAUUUUAAUUUUAUUUUAAAACUUAUUUUCUAAUUAUUUUCUUAAUUUUAUUUUAAACCAUUAUUAUUAAUGUUGAAAACCAUCAUUUUACUUUUUUUUAUACUUAUCCUUUUUUUUUUUUGGAAGAAUUGAUUUUGAAAAAAAAAUAUAAUUAAUUUAAGACUUAAGGAUAUUAGAAUUGAUUUUGGAAAAAAAUAUAAUUAUCCUAUUUUUUUAAGAAUUGAUUUAAAAAAAAAAUUAUUUUGCUUAUACUUGUUUAUAAUUCUCUUAUAUAUUUUAUUAGAAAAUGUAUAUUAGAAUUUGUCUCUGCUUUUACAACUGUUCGAACAUUUUGCCGUGUCAAAGGCUUGCUAUUAUAUACUACCAUUUAAAGAUGGUAUUUUGUCUGUAUAAAUUAUUUUUAUAUAUAUAUUUUAUUAGAAAAUGUAUAUUAGAAUUUGUCUUCUGCUUUUACAACUGCUUAAACAUUUUGACAUGUCAGAGGCUUCCUAUUAUGUACUACCAUUUAAAGAUAGUAUUUUUCCACGUGUCAACCCUGAUUGCACCAAAUUUAUUUGGGAGCGAACGUGCAGAAUUUGGAGGAUGCAAAAUAACAUGCAGCUUCUCAGAUUAUUGACUACUUAAAAAUUAUUUAUUGAUUUGAAUUGAAAGACUACAACUAAUGACUAUGUAUAAGGCUAACUACUCUCAAACCCACCAUUAAUCCAAUCAAAUUUCAAAUUCAAUAGCAAUGCUUUACAAAUAUGAAAAGAUCUUGCCAGUAUUUUAUUCAAAACAUUUAGAAAAUUUAAAGUUUUUAUUAACAAUAUGAUUAUUGAUGCUGGCUCUUAAGAGGUUUUUAAUUUUUUUUUUUAUCAGAUAUUAAAUUGUUAUGUUAUGCUUAUCCUUUGUGUGUUUCAAUUGAUUUUUUAUUUUUUUUUUAAAUUUUAUUUUAAUAAUAAUUUUAAAUUUAGCUAUAUUAUAAUAAAUAUAUAUAAUAUAUUCAUUAAAAAAAUAAAAUUUUAAUAUAUUUAAAAAAAUAUCACUGCAUAAAAUAGAUUGUAUAAAUAUAUAUAUAUAUAUAUAUAUAUAUAUAUUAAAUAAAAAUACUACAAGACAUCAAACUAUAUAUAAUUCUUUUAUCAAUUUAAAAAUUAUAACAAAAUCUUUCUAGUGAAUAUAACAUUACAAAAUUAUAGUUUAUCAUUAUAUAAUAUCAUGGUAUAAUUAAUGAUAAAAAAGUAAUGGAGAUCAAAGUAUUAUUACAAAUAGCUAAAUUAUAUGGUAUAAUAUUAUACAAUGGAAAAAUAAUAAUAAGUAAAAUUAAAUUAAAAAAAAAGUAAAAUAAUAAAGUAAAUUUAUCAUAUUGAAAUAUUUGUUUUAUGUAAUAAAUUGUUCAAUUGAAAGUUUGAGUGAGAAUUGAAAUCACUGAAUUUAUCUACAAUGAAAACAUGGAAUAAGAGGAAGAGCAAAAAUCUAUCGGAAAGACUCAAGUUGCAGAGCUUCCAAAAUCUAUCGGAAAACUCUAAAACCUUGAGUUGUUAGACAUUAGAGACACAAAUACAAAAGAACUUCCAAGUGAAGUAGCUGAGUUGCAAAACUUCCAUCAUCUUGUUAAUUGCAAGUCAUGAUUUACAUUGAAGCCAAAGGCGACAUAAUAAGGCAACUUGGGAGUAUGACCCAACUCAGCCGAAUGGGCAUUUCAAAUUUGAAAGAAGCUCAUGAACAGGACCUAUGCUCUUCAAUCCAGAGCUUGAAACUGCUAUGUCUGAUGGUGAAUAAUGAAGAGGAGCAAAUUCGGAUUGAUGCAUUACAAUCAACCCCCACCACAGCUUCAAAAGCUUUUUUUUUGUUUGGGAAAUUGGAAAGGUUACUGCAUUGGUUUUGCUCACUUCAAUACCUAAAAUAUUUGUGGUUACAUUGGUCUAGGUUGAAGGAAGAUCCACUCCACCACAUUGUAGCACUACCCAAUUUGGCAACGCUUGAAUUAGUAAAUGCCUUGUGAUGAUCUGAAAUCUAGAAAAUAGGGUUUUACAAGGGUUCUGUAAGCUUAGUCUGAGAGGAGAAUGUUUCUCUCCUUUUAUUCUUUUCCUUUAUCUGCCAGGGGCGUGUCAUGGCCUUACGGCCAUUGGGCCACCUUUCUCUACCAUACUAAUACGGACGUACGAGAAUAUCAGAUAUCUGCUCCAUGCGUAACGGCUAUUUAAUUUUUCCCUAGCACGCAUGCAGAUGGACCCACUAGGCAAAUGGGCUGGCUACCUUUUCUCCUCCGGGUUAGGCUGGAAGAUGAGAUUAGGACUGGAGCCUAGGGGAGGUCUGAUCUUAGGGCCGAAAGGACUGGGCUGACCCGAUUGAGAGGCUUUAGAAGGAGUCCCGUCUUCAGGCCGAGCGGGCUGAACUUGGUUCAUGUGGGAGGCUUAAGAGCCUUCAAGUAAUGGGUUGUCAUCAUGGGUCAGACCUCAGACCGGGGUGGUGAAAUCCAGCGGUCAUCAAUUGCCCCUUUAUCUUCUCGUCAGUUAUUGUAUGACUGAUGAGGGGGUAAAUAUCGAGAAUCAUAAUGACCGCGCCACUUAAGAACAGUUUUCCUCAGAACACCUCUUCGUCUCAUUGCUGUUUCAAAAUUUCAAAUUCUCUCUGUCUUCUCAGAACUUUUGCUUUCCUCUAUUCUUUAUGCGCUUCGCUUGCUCUGUCCUUCUGCUCUACCCGCUCUUCAGGUACGCUCUUCAUUCUUCCAUGGAAGGCCCAAAACUCCCCGACAUUAUUAACCUAGAGUCUAGCAUCACUCCGUCCGUCCUGAAAAAUUUAUUCUCUAGGGAAUAUUUAGAUACCCCCCUUUUUCAUAUUCGGGCUCCCUACCGGAAUGAGAGGAUUGUUCUUCCUGAUCCUCCUCCCUCUGGUCUAAUUGAUCCAUAAAAAGACCUUAGCUUGGUCUUUUUUGCCAAACAAAGGGAGUAUGGCUUAACCUUUCCCUUCUCUCUUUUUUUUAUUGAGGUCUUCCGGUACUUCGAGAUAACCCCUCGAAUGCUGGCUCCUAAUUCCAUUCUUUUCAUGUCUUCUUUUGAAUCUGUCUAUCUAAGCUGGGGGUUCACACCCACGGCGCGUCUGUUCGUCACUUUCUUUAGGCUAGUCAAGACAAGCUAAGGUUUUUACUAUUUUGCCCCUCGCGGGGGGCUGUCAAUCUUCUCGGGUCAUAAAGACUCGAUAAAAGGCUGGGUAGAGGGGUUCGCAGUGGUCGAGCUAAAGAAGGAGUCCGGGUUGUCUUAGGAGGUGGAUCUCUCCUGGGAGGACGUCCCUCUAGGUUGCAACGACCUGCCCUAGCUAAGCCUUUUCGAGCAAAUCGGAUACAUUCGACUGACUUCUAUUGAAAAGAAGUAUGAUGUUGAAAAGUAGUAUGAUGUCGAAAAGUGUAUGUUUGUGUCCAAUCUUCGGGAUAUCAAGGACGCGGGUACUUUAUUUCAUUUAACCAUUUUGUCUUGUCUUUGUGAUUUUUUACUGAGGGUUGUUCUAAUUUGUUUUGGCUUUGGAUCUUUGCAGCUUUCGACGUGAAAAUGGACCAAAUCAAGCCCCCGAAGAACUUCACGCUAUCUCGGGAGAGCAUGAAUGCUACUUUGGACGCCCUCCGAGUUGGGCGAUCGGUGGGAGAGACUACUUAGAAGGUGGCUGAAGUCAUUUCCUCCAGGUAGGCUAGCCGGCCUCCUGCUCCAGCUUCUUCCCGAGCUCCCAAGCCGAGCUCCCGAGGUACUAGGUCUUCUAGGCCAUCCAGCCGCAGCAGGUCGAGCUCGGCUCCUCAGUCUUCCCAAGCCCCCAGGUCCUAACGAACCUGUACUGAGGAGACGAAAAAGGCUCUGAGGGUCACCGUCCGACCGGUCGAAGGCACCGUGCUGAUGAGGACGGAUCCUAUUCUUCCUCCUGAGGAGGUUUCUGAGGGGAGGCUCGAGACCUCCACAACUGAUGAGAGGGUUCCCGGGAUGGAGGUUAUCCCAGCUGGUGAAGAUUUCCAAGAGACUCCCGUUGAGGUCGGCCCUGUUACUGGGGAGGUGGAGUCUAGACCUGUUGAUGAAGUUCCUCCUCAAGAGAAGACACCAACUGCCCCGGAGGAGGCUGCUGAGAGAGUCGCGAGCAAGCGUCCCCUCCCUUCUGACACUCCUACCCCGGCUCCUGCUCCUAAGAAGUCCCGGGCUUCUAAGAGACUAGCUCCAGCUCUGCCUCCUCUCGAGAAGGAGAAGACAUCUGUGGUGCCUCUGUUGUCUGCCCCCAACAACGACAUUUUGAACGCGGAGGAUAUCACUCACCAGUCCCCGGCGAACGUGGUCGCUGAAAUUCUCCAGGAGCGGAUGUUUGGCGGGGUGACCGAGGCCUCAGACCCUCGCCUACUUGCUCUCACUGGCCUUUUGGCCAGCUCUACUCGAGAGCAAGUAGCGUUCCGAUCUCGGACUCGGGGGGAGCUCGGAGAUACGAUCAGGGAAAUGCUUCUCAUGGUAAGUUGUCCCUUCUGAUUUUUGCUCUUAUUUUGGUUCUCUUUGUUUCUCUGUCCUAACGGUUUUCCUCUUUGCACUAGGUGAUGGGCCUCUUCAUGGAGGUGGAUGCUCGUGACCACUCUCUCCGGGAGUCUGUAGAUCGCCACAUUGAGGAGGCACGCCUGGAGGAGAACUUAUCAGCUACUAGUGACGCCCAGGGCAAUCUCGCGGCUACCCAGGAGCACUCGAAAUCCCUCCAGGCGGAGUUGUCCUAUACUCUAGAGGCUCUUAAGAGAGCUGAUGGGAGGGCGGCUGUAACGACCCGAAAAUCGAACCGUUAUCGGCACUAGGAUCCAGAUCGGCUUAAGGCCGCCGGGACCCGUAGCAAGCCUAACAUACAUCCUGUGAACCUGUUUUAUCCCAUACAUAAUCAACAACAUAUAUAAAAAUUUUGGACUUUUCCUUUUCAUUCAUAAACCAAACUUAACCUGUGCACACACUAUCCAUAAUCAUCAAUUCCCUCAUUGGAGUUCUCAAACAUACUCCAAGGGGUAACAUUCGUAUUUUAAGUUUGGUUUACAUAACAUCAUAAAACAUUUCAUUAAUAGAUCAUGUAACCAAAAGGGGAUUAACAACAUACUAGGGUCAAGCACAACUAUAAACCUCAAUAGACAUCAUUACAUUACAUUCACUACUAUACUUUUACAUGACUGUACUAAACAUGACAUAUUAACAUUUAUCAUGUCCACACUAGCUAUUACAUGACCAUAACUUCAUUACUCUUGCUGACCUCCUGGUCUACCCUGUACCUGCAAACCUGGGGUUUAAGGGAGAGGGGUGAGCUACUAGAGCCCAGUGAGCAGAAUAAUAAAACAUAUUAUUUAAAACAUAUGAUAUCAUGGAAUGCAUCACAGCACAAACAUUUCACAUCAAGGAUGAACUUGUCACCACUUACCCCUCUAUACAGUCCAAUUAUGCCAGGGGCGUAGUGCAGGCUCGCCUGGACUUCCAUAGCAUACCAUACAUAUCCAAUCAUGCAGGGGCGUAGUGCAGGCUCGCCCGGACUUCCUUAGUCUGUCAUGUCAUACCAUAUAAGGGCUAAUGGAUCAUUCAACAUUCAUCCACAUCAACAACGUAAUAUGCAAUGCAACAUAUUCGUGAAUUCUAAUGCAAGCAUCCUAGUAUAUCUCAUGGCAUUCAUGAUGCGUGAAUCAUGCUAAACUUACAUUAUUUGCUUUAAAACGUAAAGAGUUAUUCCACUCACCUCUGGCUAGCUCUGACCAGACACCGAAAGCAACUAAACUCAUUGCUGGGGUCCUCGGUUCCUCGGGUCUGAACCUACACAGGUGGACUCAAAUGAGGGACCUAACAUGCAUAAACAUGACUCUAAAAUACUCCCCAAAAACCCCCUAAAACACCUCAAAACAUCCAUAGAAAGCAUGCAAAGGAAGGCUGAACAGGGCACUUUCGGCGACAGGUUCGACGGCCAAAAGUCCCUCCAGAGCCGAAAGUCAUGCAGGUUCGGCGGCACCUUCGGCGGCCGAAAGUGCCCUCCAGAGACAAAAGUCCAUUUUCGGGGGCAGGCUUCGACAGCCGAAAGGCCAGCCUUCACAAGCAUGUUCGGCGACCGAAAGUUCCUUCGGCUGCCGAACCUGGUUUCUCCCAAAUGGCAGAAACUCGGCUCCAACAUGCACAACAACCUCCCAAACCUUCUAUCAUGCAUUCUACUUAACCAAAACAUGCAUAGAAACAUACAUCAACGCCUAGGGGCUUCAAACUAUCUUAAACCCCAACUACAACACAUCAAACAACCACAAACAUCCUACAUUGCUCAAAAACUAAACAUGAACCCAUGAACUCCAAUAUAACCUAACAUGCAUUUCUACCCCAUAAAUCAACUUAAAACUUGUUUAAAACAUAUAAUGAGCUCAAGAUCGCCUCUUACCUCUUGAAGAUCGAGAGGAAAAAUGACUCUAGCUUGGAGAUGGGAGAGAUCGAGUUCCUUGAACCUCCAAGCUCUAAAACUUGCUAUUUGCUCAAAAUCUUCAAAACAAAGGUAUAAACUCAUAAAAAUCAAGAAAGAUUUGAAGAAAGAAACUAAAAAUCGGCGAGGGACGACGGAGAGCUCACCUUGGCCGAAAAUGGGGAGAAAGCUCGCCCAUUUCGGCUAAGGGACCCCUUUAUAGGUGGCUGGCCAGGCCACAUUCGGGAGCCGAACGUGCCUCCGCAUGCAUGCCAUGUUCGGUGGCCGAACACAAGGUUCGGCGGCCGAACCUGGACUUCCCUCACCUAUGCUUUCGGGGGCCUAAAGCACUCCCGAAGUGCAUGCAUGUUCAGCGGCCGAACCUGAGUUUUCCUCCAAGGAAAUUUUCAUGCAAAAACUCAUUUUCUUUCUUGCUUAAAACAUAAAAUGCAUUUAAAACAUCUUAUAAAAACAUAGUUUUACCGUUCUAGAGGUCUCUGACACCCAAAAUUCCACCGGACGGUAGGAAUUCUAAUACCGGAGUCUAGCCGGGUAUUACAUUCUCCCCCCUUAAGAACAUUCGUCCCCGAAUGUUCACCAAACAAGGCACAUGCAAAGCAUACAACACGAACAUACAACAAAACACAUAAAACUUACCUUAAAAGAGAUGAGGAUAUUGCUGGAGCAUGGACUCCCGUGUCUCCUAGGUACACUCUUCGAUGUUGUGGUGAUUCCAAAGGACUUUCACCAUCGGGAUUUCCUUGUUCCUUAGCUUUCUGAUUUGGGUGUCUAGGAUCCGUACUGGCUGCUCAACAUAGGUAAGAUCUUCUUGGAUCUCCACAUCAGGCUCACUAAGAACCUUGCCCGGAUCUGACACGAACUUUCUUAACAUAGAAACAUGGAAAAUCGGAUGGAUUCUCUCCAUUGAAGCAGGCAAGUCCAGCUUGUACUAUACAUUCCCAAUCUUUUGCAAGACUUCAAAGGGUCCGAUGUACCGCGGAGCUAGCUUACCUUUCUUCCCAAACCGAAUCGCCCCUUUCAUUGGAGGCACCUUGAGCAAUACCAAAUCCCCCUCCUGAAACUCUACUUGCCUUCUGCGGAUGUCUGUAUAACUCUUCUGUCUGCUUGCAGCAGUCUUGAUCCUUUCUCUGAUGAUAGGCACCACUCUGCUGGUGAUCUCUACAAGCUCAGGCCCUGCCAAGGCCCUUUCCCCAACUUCUUCCCAACAAACAGGUGAUCUGCACUUCCUUCCAUAUAAAGCUUCAUAUAGAGCCAUCCCUGUAACGAUCCGGAAACCGGUACCCCUCAGUAACGGUCCGAACCAUCACUGGCACUAGGAUCUAGAUCGGCUUAAGGCCGCCGGGACCCAUAGUCAGCCAACUAUACUCUCUGUGUACCUGAUAAAUCCCAUACAUGAUACAAAAAUACUCAAUAAUCCUGUAAAACUCUAUAGGCUUAACUACUGCAACUCAGAUAUGAUAAUCUGAAAUGGCCCUCAGGGCCUAUACCAGGGACUACUAUCUGCUGUGGGUUAAGGGAUUGAAACCCUUUUCCUCUGUGAUACAUCCCACUGGUAUCUCAUCGAAGCCAAACAUUAAGCCCAACUCACACAUUUCUCAUCAAGAAACGUAAAACAGGAUUCAUGUACAAGGGAUUAAUCAUACAUCACACUAUAGCAAAGAUACUAGGGAAAGNNNNNNNNNNNNNNNNNNNNNNNNNNNNNNNNNNNNNNNNNNNNNNNNNNNNNNNNNNNNNNNNNNNNNNNNNNNNNNNNNNNNNNNNNNNNNNNNNNNNNNNNNNNNNNNNNNNNNNNNNNNNNNNNNNNNNNNNNNNNNNNNNNNNNNNNNNNNNNNNNNNNNNNNNNNNNNNNNNNNNNNNNNNNNNNNNNNNNNNNNNNNNNNNNNNNNNNNNNNNNNNNNNNNNNNNNNNNNNNNNNNNNNNNNNNNNNNNNNNNNNNNNNNNNNNNNNNNNNNNNNNNNNNNNNNNNNNNNNNNNNNNNNNNNNNNNNNNNNNNNNNNNNNNNNNNNNNNNNNNNNNNNNNNNNNNNNNNNNNNNNNNNNNNNNNNNNNNNNNNNNNNNNNNNNNNNNNNNNNNNNNNNNNNNNNNNNNNNNNNNNNNNNNNNNNNNNNNNNNNNNNNNNNNNNNNNNNNNNNNNNNNNNNNNNNNNNNNNNNNNNNNNNNNNNNNNNNNNNNNNNNNNNNNNNNNNNNNNNNNNNNNNNNNNNNNNNNNNNNNNNNNNNNNNNNNNNNNNNNNNNNNNNNNNNNNNNNNNNNNNNNNNNNNNNNNNNNNNNNNNNNNNNNNNNNNNNNNNNNNNNNNNNNNNNNNNNNNNNNNNNNNNNNNNNNNNNNNNNNNNNNNNNNNNNNNNNNNNNNNNNNNNNNNNNNNNNNNNNNNNNNNNNNNNNNNNNNNNNNNNNNNNNNNNNNNNNNNNNNNNNNNNNNNNNNNNNNNNNNNNNNNNNNNNNNNNNNNNNNNNNNNNNNNNNNNNNNNNNNNNNNNNNNNNNNNNNNNNNNNNNNNNNNNNNNNNNNNNNNNNNNNNNNNNNNNNNNNNNNNNNNNNNNNNNNNNNNNNNNNNNNNNNNNNNNNNNNNNNNNNNNNNNNNNNNNNNNNNNNNNNNNNNNNNNNNNNNNNNNNNNNNNNNNNNNNNNNNNNNNNNNNNNNNNNNNNNNNNNNNNNNNNNNNNNNNNNNNNNNNNNNNNNNNNNNNNNNNNNNNNNNNNNNNNNNNNNNNNNNNNNNNNNNNNNNNNNNNNNNNNNNNNNNNNNNNNNNNNNNNNNNNNNNNNNNNNNNNNNNNNNNNNNNNNNNNNNNNNNNNNNNNNNNNNNNNNNNNNNNNNNNNNNNNNNNNNNNNNNNNNNNNNNNNNNNNNNNNNNNNNNNNNNNNNNNNNNNNNNNNNNNNNNNNNNNNNNNNNNNNNNNNNNNNNNNNNNNNNNNNNNNNNNNNNNNNNNNNNNNNNNNNNNNNNNNNNNNNNNNNNNNNNNNNNNNNNNNNNNNNNNNNNNNNNNNNNNNNNNNNNNNNNNNNNNNNNNNNNNNNNNNNNNNNNNNNNNNNNNNNNNNNNNNNNNNNNNNNNNNNNNNNNNNNNNNNNNNNNNNNNNNNNNNNNNNNNNNNNNNNNNNNNNNNNNNNNNNNNNNNNNNNNNNNNNNNNNNNNNNNNNNNNNNNNNNNNNNNNNNGCAACUCUACCUGUAACCUCUUUAAAAGCUGUUAAAACCAUAAAACAAGUAUAAAGACCUCUCUUACCUCCUGAAACUAGAAGAGGAACAACUUGAACUCAACAAAUCCCCUUCACAAGCUUCAAACCACCAAAACCUCUCUUUUCUCUCAAAACCUUCAAAACCUCUUGCAAACGAGCAACCCUUUGCAUGAACUGAUUAAAAGCUUGCAGAUGAGUCAAGGGAGACGUGGCCUAACCUCUGGUCAUGAUCUGGAGGUGAACACCUGGCCAAACCACAGACUGAGGAGCAUGCACAACUAACCGACCACCUCAGCUUCGGCUGCCGAAACUGCAUGCAAAACCAUGCAACUUUCGGGGGCCGAACAUUGGACACUUUCGGCGGCCGAACUUAACCUUCGGGGGCCGAACAUGACAGAAACUCCUUUGGCCAAUUCUCCACGAAACUCAACUCGUUUUUUACGCUAAACCUUUAAAACACUUGCAAAUAGGUUAGAAAACUUUCUCUUACCCUUCCAAAGACCUCUGACAUCCUCAAAUUCCACCGAACGGUAGGAAUUCCGAUGUCUAAAUCUAGCCGGGUAUUACAUUCUUCCCCCCUUUAAGAACAUUCGUCCUCGAAUGUUCACACAACAAACACAUAUGCAAAGAAGCAAUUAAGGAAAGCUUAACACUUUUCCUCUGAGAAGAGAUACAGAUACUACUGGAGUAAAACUCCCGGGUUAUCUAACUUCCUGAUUCUUACCUGCUUCAUCUGUGUCCCCACUUCCACUGAUUACUGACCAUUCCUGUUUGUACACAGUCCAUUUGACUCUCUUCUCUAACCCUCUUUAACUUUUCUCAGCUCUAUUCAUACUACUCUGGUUAUACUACCUCUUUACUCAACCCGGUCAGAGGAGCAAUAACUCUAAGGAAAUGCUACAUGCCUUGCCUAUAGCUUUAACUUUCUCAAGUAUGUCCCGAUAUCGAACUCAGAUUACAUAACUUGGCCUCUGUGCCAUGUUCUCUUACAAUCUACAACACUUCAUAGAUAAUGGGCAUGCUUCUCUCGUUUUCUGAACUAUUCUACGCUUUUGCUACGCCACUCUGACCCUUGCCUGCCUUUCUUCUUCUUUCCUAUCCUGACUUCUUCUCUUUUGAUCCUUCUAACUACACUGGACUAUCUCUAGCUCUCUAGCUCUUUAGCUCUCUAGCUCUCUGUCUUGAUAGGAUAAACUGAUAAGCGACUUUUGACUGAGGGCAGCUAACAUCUCAUCUGCCUUACCCAGUAAAUACUAUCUUAUAUACUCAGAGUCGCUGAGCAGUUUUACCCCUUACCUCUGGUUUAGACUCUUCACUAGAAGAAAGAUCUUAUCUCUACUCAACUACUACAAUGACUUUUCUCUAACUUUGGACAUAUAGUUCCUAACUCUCAAACAACCAGCUUCUCGUUGGUCCUAUAGAUCAUCCAUUCUGCAUGGGAACACCUGUUCUUGGUAGUGAUUUGGUGCAACUAUUCACAGUUGUGACAAAAUCUCAAGGUUUCAUCCUUCGGUUCUCAUAACGAUACUGGAAUAUUCCAAGGUGUGUGGUACUAAGUCGGAUAGAAGCCUUAACUACCAAGUUCACAACUGCUCUACUAUCUCUCUCAAACUUGCAACUGCUUUUCUAACUCUUACAUGCUAUAGGUACCACUUCAAAGGAAGAGGUGAAAAUGAGUCUAGUCUCCAUCUUCACUUAACUUUCAGACUCUAUAUUGUUUUACCAAUGGUAACCCUGUUGGCCUGUCUGGGAUAACACAUAUAACUCUCUUUCUCUCUUUCUGAUUAUGGGUACUGAGACUGGUUCCCUGACCUGGCUUCUAUGCUCUCACCCAAGAGCAAGAAAACCCCUGACUACCUUUCCUAACGCGUUCACGAGCCUGUAGGGCUGCUAUCAAACUUCUGGGUAUGCUAUACUGUCCCCUCAAAGGACUAACUCUGACCCAUCCGAGCCUCUAACCUCUGAACUUUUCUACCUUGUCUUUGCAGACUUAGGUAGUACCUCGAGUAGCUAGCCCAUCCGCCCUAGGUUGACAUCACCAGUCACCCCUAGAACCAUAAGGUCAGCUGGAAGGCAUCUACUACUCUCAACAAACUUUGAUCUAUACUGACUCACUGACUCUACCUCAGAUGGAUCACACUCGGGUUCACUAACCCAGAGAAAACACUCUAAGCCCAGAAGUUAUUAACCCUCCUCUAUCUAUGGCUUUCAAACCACAGGGAAAGAAACAUCAGGGUCCACUAUAACCUACACAUUUGAACAUCCUCAAGUGAAUGUAUCUAACGUCACCGUGUUCGAUGUGUUAGCCUUCUACUGAGUCAGGAUGAAGAUCCAAGCUAAAGCUAAGGAAUCUUCCCUCGGGAACCGACCAAAGAAAAGGAGGACUCUCUUCUCCUGCCUCACCCACUGUCCUGAAAUAUGGCUAGAGCUACAGGCUGAGUUACACUACUAGACGUCAUCUGCUGGGACUGUGCCAAUCAGGGUCGCAGUAGGACACUCACAUAAUAUGAGUCCUUUCUGCUCGCAUCUAUACAUGCCGUAGUCCCAUACCAUUAGACUACUUUUGUGUAAACUCCACGCCUCACGUAUCCAGACCUAUCUGAACUAUCUGAACUAGAGCUCAAUCGCCAUCUAAUCCCAGACUAAACUGAAAUCUCUUUCUAACCUUUCUGCUCUCUUCUAUUUCACUUACUCUUCUCUUAUUCUUUUCUUACUUUUCACGUUCUUACACUAUGCUCUGCCUUAUUUUCUUUACUUAAGGUCUACACUUCAAAAUACCUGGAUUAAUAACAUCCACGGCUAUAGCUCUCGAGCUCUUUCUUGACUCACUAACCUUUAGCGACUCACUCGUCUCUGAACCUUUAUCUCUGACCAUCUAACUCUAUUACACUUUACUCUUCUCACAUCAACUGCUCUUCUAGUAAGAUCCAGAAAACCAUACACAUCAGAACACGCAAAAAUGAGCUUACCUGGCACCACUGUGUUUGGUGUGUCUGUCUCUGGCUGAUCCUGGGUGAAAAUCCGAGCCGAAACUAACGGACUUCCACUUAAGGAACCUCCUGAAGAAGGGACUACCUCUUUUUCUCUAUCUCUGGUUGGAGCUUCUGGUGGAAUGAUAUGGUCUGAGGAUGUCUGUGGGCACUGUGCUGACACGAUGAUAGUGGAACACUCUCGUGCCAUGUGCCCCUCCUGUCCGCACCGGAAACAUGCUGUUGUCCCAGCCCGACAGACUCCUUUGUGCCUCCUACCGCACCUCGCACAGCUAGAACUAUCCCAACCAGAACUCGAACCCUCGCGACAACCCAUGCCAAACUGUACCCUAUUCCAGAACUCUCUUUUCUUUGAUCCUUUCAGGCCUCUCACUUUCUUUUUAUUCGUUGCAGCAGCCUUACCCAAAGGGAAACGAUCACUAUUCUCUGGGUCAUUUUCUAUACUCAUGUUUUCUGUCUGCCCUGGCUGCUCACAGUCACUCUCUUUAUGCUCCCUUGAGCUAUCUGAACAAGCCCAUCCUGCAAACUCUAUAGCAAAUUGUUCCCAGGAUAAGCUUUCUACCCUCAGGUCCACAUACUGGGUGAACCAUUCCCUUGUCUUCUCACAUUUCACUGUGACCCCUGCCAUCUGAAUGGCUCUACUCUCACUGGCUCCCAACUCGUCAGUUAUCAUCUUGACCAUUCUAAGAUACUCCAAAAGGUCAUCACCUGUCUCAAAGUUGGGAACAUCCAACCUCAAAUAAUCUGUCAUCUUUCCCUCACUUCCUCUAGGUGAACUAGGCUUAGGUGUUUGGACAAUUGGGGCUACUGGGUCUACUGGUGGUGGAGGAGGUACAACAUGCUCUGGGUUAGGGUUGACUGACCCGGGGUAACAAAAGAAGGGUGAACACAUGGUAUACUGUGAAUAUGACGGUGGAUAUGGCGGAUAACAGGAAGGAUAGGGCAUAAAGGUGGGAUAUGGGUUAUACCUAGGACACUCCGCUGUACCCCUCAUCAGGUACUCUGCCCCCCACGGGUAGGGUGGUUACUGAAGUGGAAUAAAUCUCGAGGCCUGAGUGUCUCCCUGGGACUCACCCAAAUCUCCUCCUAACCUGCUCAUGCCAAAGCUACCCUCUCUACUCUGCUCAUCCUCCUCUAUGUCCCUCAUAACCCCCGACAUACCACUCUGAACAAUUCCCCUUCUACUCUCAUCAACAGACCUUCUAGGGUCCUUUGAUGUACCUUCUCUGCUUAAGCUAUUUGAUGUUGCCCUUUGCAGAACGGGGAGAUGAGCAUCCAUGUCCUCAUCCUCCGGCGGAGCUCCAGUCAAUCUAGCAGAUCGACGAGUUCCUCUCAUCCUGCCUCUGAAAAGCACAACAUCACACAAAAAUAUCAUCAAAUGAUCCAUGUGAAAACACAUGAAUCCUCAGCACAUAUCAAACAUAUCAAUAAUGCACAUGCAGCUCAUCAUGGCAUUUCACAUCAGCAUGCAAGACAGGACUCCACAUCCUAUCCUAGUGGACAUGAUUAUACCUAUGGUGCUUCCCCUCCUAUACAAAACAUCACCUCUUUCCGAUGUGGGAUAUCUCUAAGUCUUGAGCAAAGAUGCUCAACACACCGUACUCUUGAGGCCCUAUGCUCUGAUACCAAUCUGUAACGACCCGGAAACCGGUACCCCUCAGUAACGGUCCGAACCAUCACUGGCACUAGGAUCUAGAUCGGCUUAAGGCCGCUGGGACCCAUAGUCAGCCAACUAUACUCUCUGUGUACCUGAUAAAUCCCAUACAUGAUACAAAAAUACUCAAUAAUCCUGUAAAACUCUAUAGGCUUAACUACUGCAACUCAGAUAUGAUAAUCUGAAAUGGCCCUCAGGGCCUAUACUAGGGACUACUAUCUGCUGUGGGUUAAGGGAUUGAAACCCUUUUCCUCUGUGAUACAUCCCACUGGUAUCUCAUCGAAGCCAAACAUUAAGCCCAACUCACACAUUUCUCAUCAAGAAACGUAAAACAGGAUUCAUGUACAAGGGAUUAAUCAUACAUCACACUAUAGCAAAGAUACUAGGGAAAGCACAAGUCUAUCCAGUAUAUGACAGUACAUAGCUAUACAUGACAUUACAACUAAGCUUUUAAUUACAUCAUGUCCACUAUGCUAUUACACCAUACAAUCAUGCAUAACUUUCCGCUGUACUCUUGCUGACUUUGACUUCCCAUAGCUAUCUCAGAACCUGCAAAAUUGGGAUUAAGGGAGUGGGAUGAGCUCUAGAGCCCAGUGAGGAGGAACAAUAAAAACAGUUCAUUAAUUACAUGCUCUCAUGAAAUGCAUCACAUCACAAACAUAUCAUCUCAAGGAUGAAUUUGUCACCAAUAACCCUCAACUACAUGUUAUAAUAAUGCCAACUAUGCCAAGGAGACUAUGUCAUCACCUGGUCUACACUUAUCUCUCUGAUAUCAUAACAUAACCAACUGUGCCAAGGAGACGAGGUCUCACCUGGUCUACACUUACCUCUGAUUUGACAGCCCAGCUGUCUCACUCAUAGUACCAGGAGCGACCUGGACUAUCCAGGGGCGACCUGGUAUGGCUAUCUCAUGCCAUAACUCUGUAUCUGCUCUCUGUCAAGGGCUAAGAAUCAUCCAACAUUCAUCCACAGGAACAACAACAUAUGCAAUGCAUCAUAUUCGUGAAUUCUAAUGCAACACAACCUAAUACAUAACAUGGCAGUUUAUGAUGCAUGGAUCAUGCUCGAAUCGUGUCAUUUCUCAAGAUAAAAUAUGUAGUUUAGUUCCACUCACCUCUGCUCUUCUGCCAGAUACUGUACUGACUCUGAUAUCUCUAACUCUGAUGACCUCCUCAAACUCUCGGGUCCAAUCCUACACAAAUGGACUCGAAUGAGGUGUCACACAUACUUUGAAUAACUCUUAAACAAUUCCCCAUAACCCCCUCUAAACCUCUGAAAAUAAAUCACAUAACUCAUGCAAAAGAAGGCUGGACAGAACACAUUCGGCAGCAGGUUCGGCGGCCGAAUGUCCUCUCCAGAGCCGAAACUCAUGCAUGUUCGGCGGCACCUUCGGCGGCCGAAUGUGCAUGAGAGAUCCGAAAGUCCAUUCUUUCGGAGGCAACCUUAGGCAGCCGAAACUACCUCCACAAGGGGUUCGGCGGCCGAAUCCUCCCUUCGGCGGCCGAACCUGAGUUCAUCCAGAACUUAGCUUCGUGCAUGAACAAGCCUGUCAAGCAACUCCACUCCACAAGAGGUUCGGCGGCCGAAUCUUCACUUCGGCGGCCGAAGCUGGGUUCUCCAGAAGGCAGAACCUUGCUUCCUCUCAUGCACAACUUCUCCAACACACUCUAACAUGCAUAACUCAGCGUCUCAACUCACAUAUACUCUGGUAUAUGCACAAAGGGGUCCCAAACUACCUAUUAACCCCAACAAAACAACUAACACAACACAUAAUCAUGCUUUCACCAUUAAAACAUCAAAACUAAACUCUAAAACCUAACCAUGCAACUCUACCUGUAACCUCUUUAAAAGCUGUUAAAACCAUAAAACAAGUAUAAAGACCUCUCUUACCUCCUGAAACUAGAAGAGGAACAACUUGAACUCAACAAAUCCCCUUCACAAGCUUCAAACCACCAAAACCUCUCUUUUCUCUCAAAACCUUCAAAACCUCUUGCAAACGAGCAACCCUCUGCAUGAACUGAUUAAAAGCUUGCAGAUGAGUCAAGGGAGACGUGGCCUAACCUCUGGUCAUGAUCUGGAGGUGAACACCUGGCCAAACCACAGACUGAGGAGCAUGCACAACUAACCGACCACCUCAGCUUCGGCUGCCGAAACUGCAUGCAAAACCAUGCAACUUUCGGGGGCCGAACAUAACCUUCGGGGGCCGAACAUUGGACACUUUCGGCGGCCGAACUUAACCUUCGGGGGCCGAACAUGACAGAAACUCCUUUGGCCAAUUCUCCACGAAACUCAACUCGUUUUCUACGCUAAACCUUUAAAACACUUGCAAAUAGGUUAGAAAACUUUCUCUUACCCUUCCAAAGACCUCUGACAUCCUCAAAUUCCACCGAACGGUAGGAAUUUCGAUGUCUGAAUCUAGCCGGGUAUUACAAUCCCGAUUCUAGCAUGAUGGCUGUUAUUGUAGGCAAACUCCACCAAAGGUAGGUGCUGCCUCCAAGAACUGCCAAAAUCCAGCACACACAUUCUGAGCAUAUCCUCUAUUGUCUAGAUGGUCCUCUCUGACUGUCCGUCCGUCUGUGGAUGGAAAGCAGUGCUAAAAUCCAACCUGGUACCCAUAGCGUUCUGCUGACUCCGCCAAAACCUGGAGGUGAACUGGGACCCUCUAUCCGACACUAUAGAGACAGGAACCCCAUGCAGCCUGACAACCUCAUUUACAUACACCUGCGCCAACUUGUCCACAGAGUAGCCACUCCUGACAGGGAUGAAGUGAGCAGAUUUGGUGAGUCUGUCCACAAUCACCCAUAUGGAGUCCAAUCUGUUGGACGCUGCCGGUAACCCCACCAUGAAGUCCAUAGCUAUAUUCUCCCAUUUCCAAUCUGGAAUAGGUAGUGGGUUAAGCAUUCCAGCCGGCUUCUGAUGUUCCAGCUUCACCUCUGACACACUUCGCAGGCUGACACAAACUGUGCCACUUCUCUUUUCAUAGCUGGCCACCAAUAAACCUUCUUCAGAUCUUGAUACAUCUUGGUGGCUCUAGGGUGAACACUGUAUCUGGCAUUAUGAGCCUCUUUCAUAAUGUCUCCCUUCAGCCUUACGUCAUCUGGUACACACAAUAUGUUUCCAUAGCGGAGGAUCCCCUUGCUGUCGAAUCUGAACUCACUAUCUUUGCCUGACUGAACAGUCCUGGCAAUCUUCACUAACUCUGGGUCCUCGUGCUGUUUCUGAGCCACCUGCUCCAGAAACAUGGGUGCCACUCUCAUCUGGGCAACUAAAGCACCUGUACCAGACAACUCCAACUGUAGCCCUUCAUUGAGGAGCUCGAAGAACUCCCUCACUAUAGGCCUCCUCUCUGCCGAAAUAUGGGACAAACUGCCAAGUGAUUUCCGGUUUAAGGCGUCUGCCACAGCAUUCGCCUUACCCGGAUGGUACUGGAUCUUGCAAUCAUAGUCACUGAGCAGUUCUACCCAUCUUCUCUGCCUCAGAUUUAGAUCCAUCUGACUCAAGAUGUACUGCAAGCUCUUAUGAUCGGUGAAGAUCUCACAUUUUACCCCAUAAAGGUAGUGCCUCCACAUCUUGAGUGCAAAGAUUAUCACUGCCAUCUCUAGGUCAUGUGUAGGGUAAUUCAACUCGUGCUUCUUCAGCUGCCUAGAAGUAUAAGCAAUCACCCUUUCAUUCUACAUUAGCACACAACCCAGCCCCACACGGGACGCAUCACAAUAGAUUGAGAAGUCUUCAUUACUAGAUGGCAGAGCUAACACUGGUGCUGAAGUCAACCUCUUCUUUAGCUCCUCAAAGCUCUCUUCACACUGGUCGGUCCAUACAAACCUCUGGUUCUUCUUAGUCAGUUUGGUCAUGGGAGCUGCAAUUUUAGAGAAGUCCUGAACGAACCUCCUGUAGUAACCUGCCAAACCCAAGAAACUCUUGAUCUCUGUCACUGUAGUGGGUUUAGGCCAGUUAGCUACGGCUUCUACCUUCUUGGGGUCCACCUCUAUUCCAUUUUCUGACACAACAUGCCCCAAGAAUGAAAUGCUCCUCAGCCAGAACUCACACUUGGAGAACUUGGCAUAUAAGCCAUGUUCCCUCAAGGUCUGCAGAACUAACCUCAGAUGAUGGGCAUGCUCCUCUGCAUUCCUGGAGUACACUAAGAUAUCAUCUUGAAGACAAUAACAAAGUGAUCCAGGUAUUGGCUAAAUACUCUAUUCAUGAGAUCCAUGAAUGCUGUAGGGGCAUUGGUUAACCUGAACGGCAUUACAAGGAACUCAUAAUGCCCAUAUCUAGUCCUGAAAGCUGUCUUCGGCACAUCCUCUUCUCUUAUCCUUAGCUGAUGGUACCCCGAUCUCAGAUCUAUUUUGGAGAAACAACCUGCUCCGGCUAGCUGGUCAAAUAGAUCGUCGAUCCUUGGCAACGGGUACUUAUUCUUGGUAGUGACUUUGUUCAACUGCCUGUAGUCUAUACAAAGUCUGAGAGAUCCAUCCUUCUUUCUCACAAAUAGCACUGGAGCACCCCAAGGUGAGGUACUCGGUCGGAUGAAACCCCUAUCUACCAGCUCUUGCAACUAUUCUUUUAACUCUUUCAAUUCUGCUAGUGCCAUCCUGUAGGGAGGGAUAGAGAUCGGUCUGGUUCCAGGCAUCAAUUCAAUUUCGAACUCUAUCUCCCUAUCAGGUGGUAAACUUGACAGCUCGUCUGGGAACACAUCUAAAAACUCACUGACCACGGGCACUGAGGCGGGCUCUCUGACAUGACUAUCCAGCUCUCUCACAUGAGCUAAAAAACCCUGACAACCCCUCUUGAGUAGCUUACGAGCCUGUAGGGCUGAUAUCAAACCUCUAAGUGUACUCCCUCUGUCUCCUCUGAAGACAACCUCUGACCCAUCCUGACAUCUGAACUUGACUACCUUGUCUCUACAGUCCAAGGUAGCACCAUGGGUAGAUAGCCAAUCCAUCCCUAGAAUGACGAUAAAAUCUGUCAAAUCUAGAACCACAAGGUCGGCAGAAAGGCAUCUUCCCUCUAUAAAAAUUGGACUAUACUGGUAGACUGACUCUGCCACUGACGGGUCACACUUGGGUCCACUGACCCAUAGGGGACACUCUAACCCAGAGACCAUCAAUCCCAACCUCUCGACGGCCCUCAGAGCAAUGAAAGAAUGAGAUGCACCAGGGUCCAUUAAGGCAUAAACAUCUGAGCAACCAAUGAUGAGAUUACCUGCCACCACGGUGUUCGAUGCAUUUGCCUCCUGCUGAGUCAUUGUGAAGAUCUGCGCUGGGGCUGAUGGACCUUCACCUUUGAAACCCGCUGAAGAAGAGGCUGACCUUCUCCCUCUGCCUCUGCCACUAGCCUGAGUCACGGCUGGAGCUACUGAUUGAGCCACACUACCCGAAGCUGUCUGCUGAGACUGUGCCACAAAAGCUGCUCUAGGACACUCCCGUGCCAUGUGUCCCUCCUGCCCACAUCUGAAGCAGGCUGUCAUCCCCACCAGACAUACUCCUUUGUGCGGCUUCCCACACUUCAUGCAUGCUGUAAUACCUGCACCUGAGCUCGAGCCACUUCCUAAUCCCAGACCUGACUUGAUCUUACUCCAGAACUUGUUCUUCUUGGACUUUCGGAAGCCUCUGUCCCACUUCUUACUGCCUGAACUCAGAGAAGAAGGGUCAAAUCUUCCCCCAUCUGGGGUCUUGGAACCAGAAGGCUGUGCUACUGACUGCUUAACUUUCCCUUCGAUGAUUGCACUAGCCUCCAUUCUCCGAGCCAUAUCCACAAUGGCAUGGAAACUCUCCCUCUCUGCGGACUGAAUCAAGGAGGAAUACCUGGAAUGAAGCUUCAUGAUACACCUCCUUGACUUCUUCUGGUCUGAAUCCAGAUUCUGCCCAGCAAACAGCAACAGCUCCAAGAACCUGUCUGUAUACUCAUCCACACUCAUCUCAUCUGUCUGCCUCAACUGCUCAAACUCAAUCAUCUUCAGCUCCCUUGAACUGUCAAGGAAAGCCAAUCCUGCAAACUCAUUAGCAAACUCCUCCCAGGAUAGACUAUCCAACCUCGGGUUCACAUAAUUCUUAAACCAUUCUCAGGCCUUCUUGCAUUUUAAUGUGAACCCAACCAUCUGAAUGGCUCUACUGUUAUCAACUCCUAUCUCAUCUGUAAUUGUCUUGACCCUCUCAAGGUACACAAAUGGGUCAUCACCGGUUUCAAACUGGGGAGCACCCUGCUUCAUGUAGUCGGUCAUUUUGACCUUGCUCCCCCCAGAUGAGCUAGGUUUAGGCAUUUGGGUUUCUGGGACAACAGGUGCUGCUGGUGCUGGAGGAGGUGCAACAUCCCCUGGGGUAGGGUUUGUUGUACCUGGAUAGAAAGAUGAGGGUGGGUACAUGGGGUACUGUGGGUACGGUGGGUAGAAAGGUGGGUAUGGCAUCUGAGAGUGAUAAGGGUUAAAACUGGGGUAAUCCGAUGUACCUCCCAUCGAAUACCCGGGAUUAUGUGAAAAGGGUGGGUAAUAAGGUGGCUGAACAAAUCCCGAGGCCUGAGUGCCUCCUUGGGACUCUCCCAUUCCCUCUUCCGACAUACUUACUCCGAGACUGCGAUCCCUCCUCUGAUCCACAUCCAUCUAAUCUCCCACAUCUUCUGACAUAUCCCCUUGCACUGUUCCCCUCAUUGAUAUGCUCCUACCCAGAUCCAAAGACCUUAUAGGGUCUCUUACUGCUCUUUCCCUGCUAGACCUGCUAGACAUUGCCCUUGGCAAUGCAGGGGGACGGGCACUCAUGCCUUCAUCCUCCGGUGGUACUCCAGUCAAUCGUGCAAAUCGACGAGUUCCUCUCAUCCUGUUUACUGGGUCUCUUACUGCUCUUUCCCUGCUAGACCUGCUAGACAUUGCCCUUGACAAUGCAGGGGGACGGGCACUCAUGCCUUCAUCCUCCGGUGGUACUCCAGUCAAUCGUGCAAAUCGACGAGUUCCUCUCAUCCUAUUUACUGAAAAUAGCACACAUCACAUAAACAUUAGCAUCAAAUGGUUCAUGGGCAAACACAUGAACCCGCAUCACAUACAUAGCAUAACAUCAAUGCACAUGCAUAUAAUCAUGGCAUUUCACAUCAUCAUUCAAGACAGGACUCUACAUCCUAUCAUAGUGGACAUGAUCUUCCUAUUGUGCUUGACCUUCUAGAACAUCUAUGAGCCUGACACUCUAGGUCCGACCAUAUGAACCUAGGGCUCUGAUACCAAUCUGUAAUGACCCGAAAAUCGGACCGUUACCGGCGCUAGGAUCCAGAUCGGCUUAAGGCCGCCGGGACUCGUAGCAAGCCUAACAUACAUCCUGUGAACCUGUUUUAUCCCAUACAUGAUCAACAACAUAUAUAAAAAUUUUGGACUUUUCCUUUUCAUUCAUAAACCAAACUCAACCUGUGCACACACUAUCCAUAACCAUCAAUUCCCUCAUUGGAGUUCUCAAACAUACUCCAAGGGGUAACAUUCGUAUUUUAAGUUUGGUUUACAUAACAUCAUAAAACAUUUCAUUAAUAGAUCAUGCAACCAAAAGGGGAUUAACAACAUACUAGGGUCAAGCACAACUAUAAACCUCAAUAGACAUCAUUACAUUACAUUCAAUACUAUACUUUUACAUGACUGUACUAAACAUGACAUAUUAACAUUUAUCAUGUCCACACUAGCUAUUACAUGACCAUAACUUCAUUACUCUUGCUGACCUCCUGGUCUACCCUGUACCUGCAAACCUGGGGGGUUAAGGGAGAGGGGUGAGCUACUAGAGCCCAGUGAGCAGAAUAAUAAAACAUAGUAUUUAAAACAUAUGAUAUCAUGGAAUGUAUCACAGCACAAACAUUUCACAUCAAGGAUAAACUUGUCACCACUUAGCCCUCUAUACAGUCCAAUUAUGCCAGGGGCGUAGUGCAGGCUCGCCUGGACUUCCAUAGCAUACCAUACAUAUCCAAUCAUGCCGGGGGCGUAGUGCAGGCUCGCCCGGACUUCCAUAGUCUGUCAUGCCAUACCAUAUAAGGGCAAAUCGAUCAUUCAACAUUCAUCCACAUCAACAAUGUAAUAUGCAAUGCAACAUAUUCGUGAAUUCUAAUGCAAGCACCCUAGUAUAUCUCAUGGCAUUCAUGAUGCGUGAAUCAUGCUAAACUUACAUUAUUUGCUUUAAAACGUAAAGAGUUAUUCCACUCACCUCUGGCUAGCUCUGAUCAGACACCGGAAGCAGCUAAACUCACUGCUGGGGUCCUCGAUUCCUUGGAUCCAAACCUACACAGGUGGACUCAAAUGAGGGACGUAACAUGCAUAAACAUGACUCUAAAAUACUCCCCAAAAACCCCCCUCAAACACCUCAAAAUAUCCAUAGAAAGCAUGCAAAGGAAGGCUGAACAAGGCACUUUCAGCGGCAGGUUCGGCGGCCGAAAGUCCCUUCAGAGCCGAAAGUCAUGCAGGUUCGGCGGCACCUUCGGCGGCCGAAAGUGCCCUCCAGAGACGAAAGUCCAUUUUCGGGGGCAGGCUUCGGCUGCCGAACCUGGUUUCUCCCAAAUGGUAGAAACUCGGCUCCAACAUGCACAACAACCUCCCAAAUCUUCUAUCAUGCAUUCUACUCAACCAAAACUUGCAUAGAAACAUAUAUCAGCUCCUAGGGGCUUCAAACUAUCUUAAACCGCAACUACAACACAUCAAACAACCACAAACAUCCUACAUUGCUCAAAAACUAAACAUGAACCCAUGAACUCCAAUAUAACCUAACAUGCAUUUCUACCCCUUAAAUCAACUUAAAACUUGUUUAAAACAUAUAAUGAGCUCAAGAUCGCCUCUUACCUCUUGAAGAUCGAGAGGAAAAACGACUCUAGCUUGGAGAUGGGAGAGAUCGAGUUCCUUGAACCUCCAAGCUCCAAAACUUGCUAUUUGCUCAAAAUCUUCAAAACAAAGGUGUAAACUCAUAAAAAUCAAGAAAGAUUUGAAGAAAGAAACUCAAAAUCGGCGAGGGACAGCGGAGAGCUCACCUUGGCCGAAAAUGGGGAGAAAGCUCGCCCAUUUCGGCUAAGGGACCCCUUUAUAGGUGGCUGGCCAUGCCACAUUCGGGAGCCGAACGUGCCUCUGCAUGCAUGCCAUGUUCGGCGGCCGAACAUAAGGUUCAGCGGCCGAACCUGGACUUCCCUCACCUAUGCUUUCGGGGGCCUAAAGCACUCCCGAAGUGCAUGCAUGUUCGGCGCCCGAACUUGAGGUUCGGCGGCCGAACCUGAGUUUUUCUCCAAGGAAAUUUUCAUGCAAAAACUCAUUUUCUUUCUUGCUUAAAACAUAAAAUGCAUUUAAAACAUCUUAUAAAAACAUAGUUUUACCCUUCUAGAGGUCUCUGACACCCGAAAUUCCACCGGACGGUAGGAAUUCCGAUACCGGAGUCUAGCCGGGUAUUACAGCGGAUGCGGCAGAAAUUCACCUUGAUGAAGCUUUAGAGCAGUUGUCCUCCCUGGAAGAGAUCUGGCGAGAGAGGGACGAGGCCGUGAGCCGGAGGGAUGAGCUUCGGCACCAGCACGAGUCGUUGAAGGCAGAUUUUGAUGCCGUGCUAGCUCAGGAGGAUGAAGCCCUAGCUCGAGUUGUCGUCCUCGAGCAAGAGCUGCUCAAGCGUGCCGAUAAUGAAAAAGACUUGGCUCUGGCAGCAGAAGCAUCUAGGCUUCAAAUCCAGCAUCUCUGCUAAGAAGUCGAGGCUCUUAAAAAGAGGUGUUCAGCCUUGCUUGAGGAUGCCAAGCAUGCUGAGGAUAGAGUCCAGUUGGAGUGUGAGGAGCGGCUGAGGGAGUACAAGGAGUCAGCCGAGCUGAAGAGAGAGAUUGAACAGGCAUGUGAAGCUCAUCUCCAAAGUUAUAAGGACUCUUUUGAGUUGAAGGCCAAGAUAGCUGAGGCCUGCGAGGAGCGACUUGCGGAAUUCAAAGCCUCUGGUGAGAUGAAGCAUGCAAUAUGGCAGAAGGGCUUCCGCAUGUUCGUCUCCGGUUUCAAUCGGGGCUUAAGGGAAGCCAGGUAUGCCCCUUCCACCCCGUUAGCUGAACUCCGAGCUGCUGAGGAAGACUUCGAUGGCGAGGAGGUGCUUUACGGGGAGGAUGACAGACCCUUGCCCAAAGGAGCUCCUCAUACUGCAACUGGGUUUCCUGAAGAAGAUGUCGAGCUAGGGGAGGAAAGUGAAGAAGGAAACAGCCAGUCCACAGAGGCUGAUGCCAUACCUCAGGGGGAAGAUGCAGGGCCCCAAUGAGGGGAAAUUGUACCAUUUGUAGAUAGUAGUGUAGGUACUUAUGUAAAUAAUGAGGCUCCUAGGCAUGUAAGUCCUUUAAGGAUAAUUUUUCCUCCAGUAGUUAUAGAUGACUAAAUAGGUUGUAAUUCUUAUUUUUCUUUUAAUGAAAUUUAACUUCUGCUUAUAUUUACAUUUGAAUCGCUUCUUCUUUUAUUUGUUUUUCUGGCUUUACCGAACUACUCAAUCUGUAAAAAGCCUAAUAUGUUAAGAAUAAAACAUUUAAGCCAUGUGCUCAAUGAUUUUUCUAAGGAAUCAACUAUACUAUUUUUUAUUUCUUGCCCUUGAGCUAAUCAGGGCUAAAAUUCUAGCAAUUGACGAAACUUAUAACUUAUGAAUUUUUCCAAUCUCGCAAAGGCAUUCUUAUUAAUUUUUUAUUUUGUUAACUCGUCCAUAAUACGAGCUCGAACAUAUAAUACUUGUAUAACCAAAGUGAAAUGGAUCAUGUACCUUUUCAAGUGAUGAGCAGAGCUGGCCUUUUUGUUUUUAGUUCUAUUCAGAUAGGAUAUGAGGCUGGGGCCUUGUCUGCUCAUGCCUUAGAUUUCCUCUUGCUCCAUGGGUUGGAGGGAAUUCGUGACUUCCACUUUACCCCUCUGGCUUUCUUGAAUUUAGUUAUUUUCUUGCUUGACUCGUCAGAGCUCAGAUUUAUGUAUCUUAAUUUGUGUUUCAGCCCUUUCCAGUCCUGCCUUGUUCUCUUGUGAUUUUUGAAUUUAUUCAAGGCACCGUGGCUUUACUGUCGUUUCAUCUUCUUAGCCGGUUUUGUGGUGCCGGGGGCACUUGGGGAGCUCGGUCACCUACCUGACUGAGGUCUUGCGCAAGAUUCAGGCUCUUUGGCCUUACUGUUGCUUCAUCAUCUCAGCCGAUUUUGUGGUGCCGGGGGCACUUGGGGAGCCCAGUCACCUACCUCACUGAGGUCUUGUGCAAGAUUCAGGCUCUUUGGUCUUACUGUCACUUCAUCAUCUCAGCGGGUUUUGUGGCGCCGGGGGCACUUGGGGAGCCCGGUCACNNNNNNNNNNNNNNNNNNNNNNNNNNNNNNNNNNNNNNNNNNNNNNNNNNNNNNNNNNNNNNNNNNNNNNNNNNNNNNNNNNNNNNNNNNNNNNNNNNNNNNNNNNNNNNNNNNNNNNNNNNNNNNNNNNNNNNNNNNNNNNNNNNNNNNNNNNNNNNNNNNNNNNNNNNNNNNNNNNNNNNNNNNNNNNNNNNNNNNNNNNNNNNNNNNNNNNNNNNNNNNNNNNNNNNNNNNNNNNNNNNNNNNNNNNNNNNNNNNNNNNNNNNNNNNNNNNNNNNNNNNNNNNNNNNNNNNNNNNNNNNNNNNNNNNNNNNNNNNNNNNNNNNNNNNNNNNNNNNNNNNNNNNNNNNNNNNNNNNNNNNNNNNNNNNNNNNNNNNNNNNNNNNNNNNNNNNNNNNNNNNNNNNNNNNNNNNNNNNNNNNNNNNNNNNNNNNNNNNNNNNNNNNNNNNNNNNNNNNNNNNNNNNNNNNNNNNNNNNNNNNNNNNNNNNNNNNNNNNNNNNNNNNNNNNNNNNNNNNNNNNNNNNNNNNNNNNNNNNNNNNNNNNNNNNNNNNNNNNNNNNNNNNNNNNNNNNNNNNNNNNNNNNNNNNNNNNNNNNNNNNNNNNNNNNNNNNNNNNNNNNNNNNNNNNNNNNNNNNNNNNNNNNNNNNNNNNNNNNNNNNNNNNNNNNNNNNNNNNNNNNNNNNNNNNNNNNNNNNNNNNNNNNNNNGGGGCGCUUGGGGAGCCCGGUCACCUACCUGACUUAGGUCUUGAACAAGACUCAGGCACUGUGGCCUUACUGUUGCUUCAUCAUCUCAGCUCAGUUUUUUGGUGCCGGGGGCGCUUGGGAAGCUUGGUCACCUACCUCAUUGAGGUCUUGAACAAGAUUUAGGCUCUGUGGCCUUACUGUCGCUUCGUCAUCUCAGCCGGUUUAAUGGUGCCGGGGGCGCUUGGGGAGCCCGGUCACCUGCCUCACUGAGGUCUUGCGCAAGAUUCAGGCAAUAUGGCCUUACUGUCGCUUCGUCAUCUCAGCCAGUUUAAUGGUGCCAGGGGCGCUUGGGGAGCCCGGUCACCUACCUCACUGAGGUCUUGAGCAAGAUUCAGGCAUUUUGGCCUUAAUGUCGCUUCAUCAUCUCAGCUCGGUUUUUUGGUGCCGGGGGCGCUUGGGGAGCCUGAUCACCUACCUGACUGAGGUCUUAAACCUUUGUGCCUGUUUUAUUUUUCUUUUCUGUUUCUUUCAAUGGAAACAAUGUAAGUUGUGGUAAAUAAAGAAUUGGACGAUAACAACGUCUAUUUUAUUCCUAUGCUUUAAAAUACAAUCAAUCUUCUUACAUUUGGUAACAUUUUAAAGGAAGUACCUUUUCAAAUGUUGGAUAUUCCAAGCAUGAGGCUCAGGGUUUCCCUGCAUGUCCUCAAUUCGAUACACCCCUGGUUUGACCACUUUUAUUAUUCUGAAAUGACCCUCCCAGGUCGGCGCCAGCUUUCCUACUGCCGCUCUCUUUCCAGUAGCUUCCAGAUUUCUCAAGGCUAGAUCUCCUACCUUCAGGCUUCUUUCUCUGACCCUUUUAUUGUAAUAACGAACCGCUCACUGUUGAUAGGUGGCUGUACGGACUUGAGCUUCCUCCUUGACUUCUUCCAGGGCAUCCAGGUUACUUCUCAGUUUAUCACUGUUGGCAUUCUCGUCAUUGAACUGGACUCGAUGUAUAGGGACUUGUAGCUCCAUUGGAACUACGACCUCAGUGCCAAAUGCAAGUGCCUAAGGCGUCUCUUUGGUGGACGUCAUGGGGGUAGUUCGGAGUGCCCACAGGAUACUGUUGAGUUCAUUAGCCCAAUUUGCCUUAGCUCCAUCGAGUCGCUUCUUCAGUCCUUAGAGGAUAGCUCUGUUAGUGACCUCUGUUUGGCCGUUGGUCUGAAGGUGGGCCACUGAGGAGAAUUUAUGCCAGAUGCCCAUAUUUCUUGUAAAUUCUCUGAAGGCACUGCAGUCAAAUUGUCUGUCAUUAUCUGAUAUGAGCACUCUUGGUACCCAAAAUCUGCAUAUGAUGUUGCCCCAGACAAAGUCUAUCAUUUUUUUGGCUGUAAUUGUGAGGAUUGCCUCUACCUCCAGCCAUUUUGAGAAGUACUCCACGGCCACCACUAUAAACUUCUUCUGCCCCGUGGUUUUAGGAAAAGGUCCCAGGAUAUCUAUGCCCCACUGUGAGAAUGGCCAUGGGCUAGAUAUGCUGGACUGAGGGGUGGCUGGUACGUUGAUGGCGUUGGCAAACCUCUGGCAUACAUCGCAUCUUCGGACAAACUCUUCAGCUUCUUUUUUAACGGUGGGCCAGUAAUACCCUUGCCUGAAUAUCUUAUUUGCCAGCGUUCCCGCUCCUUCAUGAGCUCCACACAUUCCCCGGUGUAUUUCCUCCAUCACCUUUAUUGCCUCUUCCGAGCUCACACAUCGGAGCCAUGGGCUGGAUUUUCCUCUUCUGUAUAAGGUCCCCCUUACUGCUUGGUAAUUGGCAGCUCGAGCAGCUAUUCUCUUUGCCUCAUCCUUGUCUUCAGGGAGCUUUCACUUCUCAAGGUAUUCCAGGUAUGGGGUCAUCCAACUUUGGCCUUGCUUAACCUGCAUUACAGUGGCCGUUUUGUUAAAAGCAGGUAUGCUAAUGUGUUGUAUGUAUACCUCGUCAGGGAGCUACUCUAGCUCCUCUUUAGACAAUCGGCUAAGCAGGUCUGCCUCCUCAUUCUCCUCCUGAGGUAUUCUCUGGUAUCUGACUGUGAUUCCCCGACUCUUGAGCUCGGCUUCUAUGGCCUUUACCUUUGCCAGGUAAUUCUGCAUAGUAGGGUCUUUGGCCUGAUAUGCCCCUGUUAUCUGAUUGAUCACUAGCUGGGAGUCACUAUUCACCUCGAGAUCAGUUGCCCCUACCUCCAUUGCUACCAGCAUUCUAUUUAUCAGGGCCUCGUAUUCUGCUACAUUGUUAGAGGCUUUGAACUCUAGGCGCAGAGCGUAGCAAACUUUGAAUCCUUCAGGUCCCUUCAACAUUAUCCCAGCGCCACUGCCCCCAGCGCCGGAUGCCCCAUCUACAUACAGCUUCCAACUGAAUUCUUGAGAGGGCUGCCCUUCUCUCUCGUUCCCCAACGCUUCCAAAGAUGACUCACCCGGUUCCGUCUGCUCUUCAUUGAAAGAGCACUCUGCUAUGAAGUUAGCAAGGGCUUGAGAUUUUAUGGUGGUCCGAGGUCGGUACUGUAAGCAGUAAGGGCUAAUCUCAAUGGACCAAGCGAGCAUUCGGCCUGAAGUUUUCGGCCUGUGGAGGAUCUUCUUCAACGGCUGGUCUAUCAUCACUACACCUUGGUGGCUUUCUAAAUAAACUCUGAAUUUUUUGAAUGCCAGCAACAGAGCAUAUGUUAUUUUUUCAAUGUUCAGGUAUCUCACCUCGGCAUCUUUGAGCACUUUGCUGACAUAGAAAACAGGCUUCUGUUCUGCUCCUUCCACUCUCACCAAUAUGGCACUAAUGGCUUGCUCUGAGGCCAAUAAGUAGAUCAGGAGCUCUUCUCCUUCCAACGGGUGUAAUACCCGGCUAGACUCCGGUAUUGGAAUUCCUACCGUCCGAUGGAAUCUCGGAUGUCGGAAACCUCUAGAAGGGUAAAAUCAUGUUUUUAGAAAAUGUUUUAAUGUAUUUUAUGGUUUUAAGUAAGAAAGAAAUUAAGUUUUGAAUGAAAAAGACCAUGGAGGCAUUUCCAGGUUCGGCCGCCGAACAUUGGGUAGUUUAGGGGGGCAAGUUAGGCUCCCGAAAGUGGCUCAGGUUCGGCCGCUGAACCCCAUGUUCGGCCGCCGAACUUGCAUGAGUUUCGGAGGCACUUUAGGCUUCCGAAGGUGGUCUGGCCAGCCCCUAUAUAAGGACCCCAUGGCUGAAACGGGCGAGCUUUCUCCCCUAUUUUCGGCCAACGGUGAGUCCAUGCUCCCCCAUGGUUGGUUUUGUUGAUUUUCCUCCAAUCUUUCAAGUUUUAAUGAGUUUUCACCUUGUUUUGAAGAUUUUUUGAGCAAAGAGCAAGUUUUGAAACUUGGAGGUUCUAGGAGCUCGAUCUCUCCUAUAAUACCCGGCUAGAGUCCGGUAUCGGAAUUCCUGUAGUCUGGUGGAAUCUUGGAUGUCAGAACCCUCUAGAAGGGUAGUACAUAUGUUUUCUAAAGUAUUUUGACUUGUUUUAAUGUUUUAAAGUGUAAAGGAAAUGAGUUUUUGAAAGAAAAGCACCAAGGAAGAAAAGCCAAGUUCGGCCGCCGAAGGUGACUUUUGGCCGCCGAACAUGCAUGGCUUUCGGGAGCACGUUUGGCCGCCGAAGGUGGUCUGGCCAGCCACCUAUAAAAGGCCAAAGGUUAGUGGAUGGAUAAGAUUUUCCUUCCAUUCCCACUCACAGAGGUGAGAUCACUUCAAGUUUUCUUCAAAUCUUUCAAAGUUUAAGUAGUUUUUGUGUUGAUUUGAAGGUUUUGAGCAAAAGAGCAAAGUUUGGAAGCUUGGAGCUUUGUGAGCAAGUUUCUCCAUAUCUCCACGUUGGGAUCGCCUAUCCUCUAGUUCUUCAAGAGGUAAGUGUAGAUCCUUAGCUUCUAACAUGUUUUCUAAAGGUUUUAUGGAGUUUUUAUGGGUAGAGAUGCAUGUUUAGGUUAAGUAGGUUUUAUGUGAGUUUUGUGUAAAAGUAUGUUUAUGUAUUGUGUUGAUGUUAUUGCUUGGGGUUUUAAGUUAGUUUUGGACCCCUUUGUGCAUAUACAUGAGUAUAUGCUAGUUGUGGUUUGGUUGGUUGCAUGUUUGAGUGUGUUUGGGGGAAGUUGUGCAUGAAAAGAGCAGGAUUCUGCCUGAUUGGAAAAUCCAGUUUCGGCCGCCAAAGGAAGGUUCAGCCGCCGAAUGUGCUAAGGAGGUGGUUUCGGCUGCCCAAUCUCGCCCUCGAAAGUUUGGACUUUCGGCUCUGGAGGGGAGUUUCGGCCGCCGAAGGUGCCGCCGAAGGUUGUGGACUUUCGGCUUUGGAGUGUGUUUCAGCCCCCGAACCUUGCCCCCGAAAGCUAGGCUUUCGAUUUGAGAAGGGACUUUUGGCUGCCGAAAGUAGAAGUUUGGCCGCCGAAAGUGCAUGAGUUUCGUCUCUGGAGAGGACUUUCGGCCGCCGAACCUGCCGCCGAAAGUGCCCUGUCCAGCCUUCCUUUGCAUGCUUUAUGUGAUUGUUUCAGGAUGUAUUAGAGGGGUUUUGGGGAGUUUUAUAGAGAUGUUCUUGAGCUAGUUUGGUCCCUCAUUUGAGUCCACCUGUGUAGGUUCGGACCCGAGAAACCGAGGAGAUCAGCAGUGUUAGCUGCUUCAGAGUCUUCAGAGUCAGUACAGAGUCAGCCAGAGGUGAGUGAAACUAAACUUAAUCUUUUAAUAUGGGAAAUUCAAUAUUUUUAGCAUGUUCAUGCAUCAUGAUGAUAUGUAGUAGGUUGAUUGCACUAGUUUCACGAAUAUGGCGCAUUGCAUAAUAUGUUGAUGAUGUGGAUGGACCAAGGUGACUCCAUUAGCCCUAGAGAUGUUGUAAGACCUGGCCGGGCCAGGAAUAUUGAAAGUCAUGUGUGAGCCCUUUAAGAGCCGGGCAACUGUAUGCGAAAGUCCUAUGUGAGCUCUUUGGGGGCCGGGCACCUGUAUGUGAAAGUCCUGUGUGAGCUCUCUGUGGGUCGGGCAUUAUGAGGGAGUUUUGGUGGUCAUGUCCAUCCGUGAGGUGAAAUGUUUGUGCUGUGGCGCAUUUCAUGAGAGCAUGUUUUAUCACCUAUUUUCAUUACUGUUCUACUCACUGGGCUAUAGUAGCUCACCCCACUCCCUUAACCCCAGUCUUGCAGGUUUAGGGUGCAGGGAAAGUUCAGCAGGGUACAGGAAGAGAAAGAGUAAAGAGACGUGUAAUUGUAUAGUGUGGACAUGCAAUGUUAUAAAGAGAGGUUAUAGUUUUGUACAGAGUUUUGUAUAGAAUGUGCUUGACCCAUAUGUAAUGUAAAUCCCUUUUUGUAUACAUGGUCUGUUUUAUGUAUAUGUUUAGUUGAUGAGUAAGGAUGACCAGGUUUAACAUAUACUGUGUGGACUCAGCUAGAGCUUUGAUGAAUGCUCUGGCAAGGGGUCUGUGUACAGAGUUAGUGCAUGCACAGGUUAAACCAUGGUACAGAGCAGAGUUUUACAGUUUUUACAGGAUAUGUAUGAUCAUGUAUGGGAUUUUACAGGUACACAAAGAGUAUAGCAGGCUUGCUACGGGUCCCGGCGGCCUUAAGCCGAUCUGGAUCCUAGUGCCGGUAGCGGUCCGGUUUUCGGGUCGUUACAUCUCCCAUCUCCGAGUUGGAUCGUCUUUCCUCUCGUUUCUUCAAGAGGUAAGCUUAGAUCCACUCUUCUUGUAUGUUUUAAACAAGGUUUAUGGGGUAGAGAUGCAUGAUUAAGUUAGAUGUUUGAUGUUAGGAUGUAUGUAGAGUUUAUGUGCAAUGUGGGUUGUUUUUGUUGUUAAAUGUGUUGUUGUUGGGGGUUUAAGUUAGUUUGAGGCCCCUAAAUGCUUGUGUGAAUGUGUAUGCUUGUUUUGGGAGAGUUGAAUACUUGAUUGGAAGGUUUGGGAGGCUUUUGUGCAUGUUGGAGCUGAGUUUCUGCCACUUUGGGAGAACUCAGGUUCGGCAGCCAAAGGGACUUUCGGCCGCCGAACCUGCCUGUGAAGGCAAGCUUUCGGCUGCCGAAUCCUGCCCCCGAAAGAGGACUUUCAUCUCUGGAAGGGACUUUCGGCCGCCGGAGGUGCCGCCGAACAUGCAUGAGUUUCGUCUCUGGAGAGGACUUUCGGCCGCCGAAGGUGCCGCCAAAAGUCACUGAGUUUCGGCUCUAGAGGGACUUUCGACCGCCGAACCUGCCGCCGAAAGUGCCCUGUUCAGCCAUCCUUUGUAUGAUUUUCAUGAUUGUUUCAAGGUAUUUUAGGGGGUUUUUGGGGAGUAUUUUAGAGUCAUGUUCAUGUAUGUUUGGUCCCUCAUUGAGUCCACCUAUGUAGGUUCGGACCUGAGGAACCGAGGACCCCAUCAGUGAGAUAGGUGCUUCAGUGUCUUGUUAGAGCUAGCUUGAGGUGAGUAGAAUAAACCCUUAUGUUUUAAAGCAAAUAAAUAUAAAUUUUGAGCAUGUUCAUGCAUCACGAAUGCCAUGUGAUAUUUUAGGUUGUUUGCAUUAGAAUUCACGAAUAUAUUGCAUUGCAUAAUUUGAUGAUGAUGUGGAUGGACGUUGGAUGAUCCUUUAGUCCUCGAUAUGAUACGAUGCGAUAUGAUAUGGUAUGUUAUGGUAUGAAAGUCCGGUUGACCCAUUUUACAUCCCGGCACUAUGUAAGAGAAAGUCCGGUUGACCCCUUCUACGUCCUGGCACCUUGGAAUGUAGAGGACUAUUGAUGACAAUAUCUGUUGGGAAAUCUCGAGAUUAUUGCAACCCAGUUACGCAGCGGAAAAAUAAAAUCUCUGUUGAUUUCCUUUCCCAGAAUCUGAGUGCUUCGUUUAAUUAAUAAGAUAGAUAUGAGACUAACUUGUUAAUCUCGUCAAGAAGAAACAAUGUUGGACUGAUGGUGCUGCUUUUUCAAACGAACACCCUCUAUGGUAUCCACACGAACGUCUUCUAUCCUUCUAGAGUGCUAGCUCUCUCAAAGAUAGAUAGAUUAUGUGCUCCACAAUCUGCAAUCUUUUAGACUGAGUUUUCUCAAAAACACAUUCCUUCCACAAUUCGUAGAAGGGGUAUUUAUAUGUUUCAGUCUUUUGUUUUUCCACAAAUCUUUUUCCUAAAAGAAGUUGUGUUUUUCCACAAAUCCUUUUCCUAAAAGGAGUUGUGUUUUUCCCACAAAUCCUUUUCCUAAAAGGAGUUGUGUUCAUAACCAACUAUCACAAUCUCGCAGAUACUCAAAUAUCUUAUGUGAUAGAGUCCUUUAUCUGUAACAGUUACAGAUAGACUGCAGAUCUUUUAAAUAUUAUUAUCUCAUAAUAAUAAAUGAUUAAUAAUAAUAAUAUUUUAUUAUUAUUAAUUAUAUUAAUAAUUAAUAUUAAUAAUAAUAACACUUAUUAUUAUUAAUUAUAUUAAUAAUUAAUAUCAAUAAUAAUACUUUAUUAUUAUUAAAUAUAUUAAUAAUAAUAACACUUUAUUAUUAUUAAUUAUAUUAAUGGGCUUUGGGCUUUUAACCCAUUAAUAUGACAUAGCACAUCAACAACGUUCUUUUGUGUGUGACCCAAUAGGCUCACAUUAAUUAGCAAUAGGCCCAGUCCCACAAGGCCCAUAAGUUAUAAGUGACCUCUAGUAAGACAUUAUGACUACCCAACUAAUAUGAGGAUCAAUAGUCCAAUAAAACCUAAUAAAUAGAACAUAAAUUAAUUCCUUUGUCACACGAUAUCUAGUUUGAAUAUAAGUCAUGGUCAAUGUCAAACUUAUAAUGUUUAAACUUAUGAUUUCUCGAUCUCCAAGUAGACUGAUAAAUUCAAAUGAUAUUGAUCACACUAUCAAUUUAUUUGAGCACGGCCAUGCAUUUCUCAGUCUCACUCAUCGAGGGGUCCAGAAGAUAUCUCUCUCAUAGAGAGGGACAAAUCCUAUCUUGAUUGUUCAUUUUUCUCUACAUAAUUUCUAUUAUGCUCAAUCAUAACCUUUAUGAUUGUCCGAUUAAAGACAAUGUUUGGUUAUGUCAAAACAUAACAGUCCUUAUAUUGAAAACUAUGACAAUCUCAAGUCAAAUGAUUAAGACAUAACUAUUUUGAGAUUCACUUAUGACAAUGACCCAUGUAGUGAUCUCAAUGCGGGUCCAUCCAAUACUUUGUUCUCUAACAAGUAUUUAUGAUUAUUGAAUUAUAUCAACAUAUACAUAAUCAUCUCAUGAUUAUCAAUCAAUAAUCAUACCAGUUAUAUUUUAUUAUUAUCAACAUAAUAAUAAGUAACCAGGGAUGAUAAUCAUUAUUAUGUAACAUGCAAACAAAUAAUAAUGAUAAAAACCUCUUUUAUUAAUAACCAAAAUGACAUACAAAAAGGUCCAAGAUAAUGGCCUAGGGCAUAUACACUAACAAUCUCCCACUUGCACUAGGCCUAAUCAUACAAGUAUCUAAUAUCCGUAGACCUAGUGUGCUGAUCAUGCUUGACCUGUGAAAGAGGCUUGGUCAGUGGAUUUGCAAUGUUGUCAUUUGUGUCUACUUUGCAUAUUUUGAUAUCUCCUUUAUUAAUGAUCUCUCGAAUAAGGUGAUAUCACUUGAGUAUAUGUUUAGAUCUCUGGUGAGAUCUGGGCUCCUUUGCCUAUGCUAUGGCACCGUUAUUACCGUAAUAAAGGUCCAUAGGAUUUGCAAUGCUGGGAACCAUUUCCAACUCUGAGAUGAAUUCCUUCAACCAGACUGCCCUUUUAGCCAUCUAAUGCUACUAUAUACUCAGCUUCUAUUGUAGAAUCUGUUAUAGUGCUCUGCUUGGAACUCUUCCAACUAACAAUUCCACCAUUUAAAGUGAAUACGAAUCUUGACUGCGAUUUGAAGUCAUCUAUGUUGGUUUGGAAACUAGCAUCUGUGUAACCACUUACAACUAGCUCAUCUUCCAAACCUCCAUAAACUAGGAAUGCAUCCUUAGUCCUUUUAAGGUACUUUAGAAUAUUCUUAACAGUUAUCCAGUGACUUUCACUGGGAUCUGCCUGAUAUCUGCUUGUUGUGCUCAAGGCAUAUGAGACGUCUGGUCUAGUACAUAACAUGACAUAUAUGAUAGAUCCAAUAGCAGAAGCAUAAGGGAUCUUAUUCAUUCUUUCUCGCUCAUCAGAUGUCAUAGGACAUUGAUUCUUGCUAAGAUGAAUACCAUGAGACAUGGGCAAGAAUCCUCUUUUGGAAUCUUGCAUGCUGAACCUUUUCAGCACCUUGUCAAUAUAAGUACUUUGACUCAGACCGAUUAUCCUCUUGGAUUUAUCCCUAUAGAUCUUAAUACCAAGGAUAUAUGCGGCCUCACCUAAGUCCUUCAUUGAAAAAGAAUUCCCAAACCAAGUCUUAACCUUUUGCAAGGUAGGGAUAUCAUUUCCAAUGAGUAAUAUGUCAUCCACAUAUAGGACUAGAAACACAACUGCACUCCCACUAACCAUCUUGUAAACACAAGGUUCAUCUUCAUUCUUGAUGAAUCCAAAGUCCCUGACUGUCUCAUCAAAAUGAAGAUUCCAGCUCCGAGAAGCUUGCUUCAAUCCAUAAAUGAAUCUCUGAAGCUUGCAGAUCUUUCUAGAAUUCUCAGGGAUUACAAAACUCUUAGGUUGUGUCAUGUACACAUCCUCGAGCAAAAGUUCACGACUGUCAGUCAUGAGAAAUCCAUAUCUCUCAGGCUGAUGACGUGUCCUAUCAGAUCUGCGUGGGACUUGUGUCUCCCUUUCAGUUUUCACAACUGUUUGUGGUUCUGAAGGUGGUUCUACCAGCGGUUCAAUGCUCUUUUGUGGUACUCGAGUUUCCUCAAGUCGCACUGUACUCCCACUGAAUCUCUGAGAGAUAAAUUUCUUUUUUCAAAAAGGUACCAUUUCGAGCAACAAACACUUUGUUCUCUGAGGGAAUAUAGAAAUAGUAUCCUUUGGUUUCCUUAGGAUACCUCACAAAAUUGCACUUGAUAUAUUUUGGAGCUAGCUUAUCUGAACAUUUCACAUAAGCCUCACAACCCCAAAUCUUAAGGAAAGACAAACUGGGCAUUUUGCCAGUCCAUAACUCAUAUGGUGUCUUUUCAACCGCUUUCGAUGGUACUUGGUUUAAAAUAAAUGCAGCUGUUUCCAAGGCAUAACCCCAAAACGAUAAAGGGAGAUUUGUUUGACUCAUCAUAGAUCGAACCAUAUCUAAUAAAGUUCGAUUUCUCCUUUCAGAAACACCAUUCCAUUGAGGAGUUUCUGAAGGAGUCAAUUGUGAAACAAUUCCACAGUUUCUAAGAUGUUCAUCAAACUCUUGGCUCAAAUAUUCACCACCUCCAUCAGAUCGAAGCAUCUUAAUAGUUCUACCAAGUUGAUUUUGUACUUCAUUUUGAAAAAUUCUAAACAUUUCAAAAGAUUCAUGCUUAUGUUUCAUUAGGUAGACAUAGCCAUAUCUACUGAAAUCAUCAAUGAAUGUAAUGAAGUAUUGAUAACCUCCCCUAGCACUAAUGCUUAGUGGGCCACAUACAUCUGUAUGUAUUAAGCCCAAUAAGUCUGAAGCCCUUUGACCUUGUCUAGUAAAAGGGUCCUUUGUCAUCUUACCUAGCAAACAAGAUUCACAAUUUUCAAAUGAUUCAAAAUCAAAUGAAUCUAAUAAACCAUCUUUAUGGAGUUUAGAUAUGCGAUUCUCAUUUAUAUGGCUAAGACGACAGUGCCAUAAAUAUGUUGGGUUUAACUCAUUUGGCUUAGUUUUCUUAGAAGUUAUGUUAUAGAUAUUGUUGUCUCUAGAAUCAUCUAGAUUAAGGACAUAAAGGCCAUCAUAUGAAUUUGCAAUACAAUAAAGCAAAUCAUCUUUAUUAAUGGAGCAUUUCUUAUCUUAAUAAGAAAUGAAAAACCUUCAUCGUCCAAAACAGAAACUGAAAUAAUAUUCUUACUCAAAGUAGGAACAUAAAAGCAAUUGUUCAGAACUAACAAAAACCCAUUGGGCAACACAAGUUCAUAUGUCCCUACAGCUAUGGCAGCAACUCUUGCUCCAUUGCCUACACGUAGGUCCACAUCGCCCUUUUUCAGUUUUCUACUCCUUUUGAGACUCUGCACAUUUGUACAAAUGUGAGAACCAUAUCCGGUAUCUAAUACCCAUGAAGUAGAAAUAGAUAAAUUAAUAUCUAUAACAUAAAUACCUGAAAUCGUAGUUUCACUACUCUUCUUCUUCUUGCACUCAUCCAAAUAGAGUUUGCAAUUUCUCUUCCAAUGCCCUGGUUACAAUGGAAGCAGAUUCCUUUGCUUAGGAACUAUUUCCUUAGGAACUUUUAUUUUGGAUUGCCAUUUAGGCUUGCCUCGUCUCUUAGGCCCAUUACCACCUUUAGACUUGGGCUUCCCCUUAUUUUUCAUGGGCUUACCCUUAUUGACAUUCAAAAUUUGGGUAGGCCUUUUCUUGAUAUUUACCUCAGCUGUCUUUAGCAUCCCAUGCAGCUCAGGAAUGGAUUUCUCCAUAUUGUUCAUGUUAUAGUUCAUGAAAAACUGAGAAAAACUGCCAGGUAAAGAAUGUAGGAUCAAAUCCGUGGAGAAUUCUAAACUCAGAGGAUAGCCAAGCCUAGAAAGGUGAUCAAUGUAGCCUUUCAUCUUUAAAACAUGAGCACUAACUGAAUCACCUUCAGUCAUUUUGCAAUCAUGCAAUGCGAUGGUGGUUUCAUACCUGUCCUGCCUAGCUUGCUGUUGGAAAGCCUGUUUGAGAUGGACACUCAUCUCAUAGGCCUCAAGGUGCUCUAGAUCCUUCUGAAGUUCUGGGCACAUAGUUAUCAACAUAAGACAUCCAAUGUCAUUAGAAUCAUCCAUAUGCUUCUUAUGCUUGUUCUUAACAGCAUUAGUAGCAUCAGCAGGAGGUGGUUCAGGGACAGCUUCAUCAAGCACGUAGGACUUUUUCUCUUGCUUGAGAACAAUUCUCAAGUUUCUAAACCAGUCAACAAAAUUAGUUUCAUUUUCUUUCAGUUUAUCCUUCUCAAGGAUAGAUCGCAGUGAUAAGGUGGAAUUGUUAUUAACAGCCAUAAUUAUCUACAAAAAUAUGCAAACAUAAUUAAUUUAGUAAACAAAUUAAUAUUAAGGUGAUAAUAAUCUCCCACUAAAAUAUAACCCUCAAAAUAAUAAUAUUUUAGUGGGCUAAAAUCCAUAUUUCACCUAAUUCUAAGUCAGCUUUGGCAUGACGCUUAGAAUUAAGUUAUUUAGGUAGGUAACUCCUUACCAAUUACAUCUAAUGUAACUCUUAAAUUAUAAGGUGUUGACAUCAUAUAUCAAAUGCAUGUUUUACCCCAUCUAAUGCUUUAGGCCCAAAACCCUUUUUAUAGCCUAAUUAAGCUCAACCAAAAUUAAAUAAAUGAGUAACCAUUACUCAUCCUAUCUUACUAGGAUAACCUAAUGCACUUUGCUUUGGCAAAACCUGCAUUUUGGUGAUCUUAAUCUUGAUAGGUAUUUAAUAUAUGGGUAGCAUUAAAACUUAAAAUUUUAGAGUGAGGGUUCAAUAUUUUUAAUUUUUAAUUAUUUUGUCUUGCAUAUAUAUAUCAUAGCAUCUUAUAUAUAUAUAUAUAUAUAUAGACUUCAUGCAUAGUAUCUCAUACUAAUAAAUAACAAAAUAAUAAAAUAUAGUCAUUUAAAUCUAAUUUAAAGACUAAAAAAAAAUAAUUUUANNNNNNNNNNNNNNNNNNNNNNNNNNNNNNNNNNNNNNNNNNNNNNNNNNNNNNNNNNNNNNNNNNNNNNNNNNNNNNNNNNNNNNNNNNNNNNNNNNNNNNNNNNNNNNNNNNNNNNNNNNNNNNNNNNNNNNNNNNNNNNNNNNNNNNNNNNNNNNNNNNNNNNNNNNNNNNNNNNNNNNNNNNNNNNNNNNNNNNNNNNNNNNNNNNNNNNNNNNNNNNNNNNNNNNNNNNNNNNNNNNNNNNNNNNNNNNNNNNNNNNNNNNNNNNNNNNNNNNNNNNNNNNNNNNNNNNNNNNNNNNNNNNNNNNNNNNNNNNNNNNNNNNNNNNNNNNNNNNNNNNNNNNNNNNNNNNNNNNNNNNNNNNNNNNNNNNNNNNNNNNNNNNNNNNNNNNNNNNNNNNNNNNNNNNNNNNNNNNNNNNNNNNNNNNNNNNNNNNNNNNNNNNNNACAUAUAUAUAUAUACAUAUACAUAUAUAUAUACAUAUACAUAUAUAUAUAUACAUAUACAUAUAUAUAUAUAUAUACAUAUAUAUAUAUAUAUACAUAAAAUAAUGCAUAGUAUCUCAUACUAAUAAAAUAGUCAUUUAAAUCUGAUUUAAAGACUGAAAAUAAUAAUAAAAUAUAAUUAUUUAAAUCUAAUUUAAAAAUUAAAAAAAUUAUUUUAAAAAUUAUUUUAUUAUUAUUAUUAUUUUUUUAUUAUUUUCAUGGGCAGAAUUGUAAUUAGAAUUUCUUCUUCCUAAACAUAAACCCUAGCCACCGCACACUGUCAUCACAGCAGCCGACCAACAUUCCUCCUCAGCCGCACCAUCACCAGGCGUCACCAGCGACCAACACACAACAAUUGUCCAUGGAUGCGUGCAGCGUCAUGGCCAUCACGUGGGUUGGCGUCCUUAGUGAUUUAUGGGUUCACGAUGUUGUUCAUCGUGAAUCCAAAUUUUCCUUUUUAUUUUUAUUUAUUUUUUUUUAAUAAUUUAAUUUUUUUUAACAAAAAUUAAAAUUGUCUAAAUGAUCCAAUCAUUCAUCCAUAAUUCUCAUAUCAUUCUAAUAAAUAUAUAUCACAUAUAUAAUAUCAAUGAUGGCAUAAUUAAUUUAAACGAAAAGCACAACCUGACUCUAAUACCACUGUUGGGAAAUCUCGAGAUUAUUGCAACCCAGUUACGCAGCGGAAAAAUAAAAUCUCUGUUGAUUUUCUUUCCUAGAAUCCGAGUGUUUCGUUUAAUUAAUAAGAUAGAUAUGAGACUAACCUGUUAAUCUCGUCAAGAAGAAAUAAUUUUGAAUUGAUGGUGCUGCUUUUUCAAACGAACAUCCUCUACGGUAUCCACACGAACGUCUUCUAUCCUUUUAAAGUGCUAGCGCUCUCAAAGAUGGAUAGAUUAUAUGCUCCACAAUCUGUAAUCUUUUAGACUGAAUUUUCUCAAAAACUUCCACAAUUCGUAGAAGGGGUAUUUAUAUGUUUCAGUCUUUUGUUUUUCCACAAAUCCUUUUUCUAAAAUAAGUUGUGUUUUCCCACAAAUCCUUUUCCUAAAAAGAUUUGUGUUUUUCCCACAAAUCAUUUUCCUAAAAGGAGUUGUGUUUUUUCCACAACUACUUUUCCUAAAAGGAGUUGUGUUCAUAACCAACUAUUUCAAUCUCGCAGAUACUCAAAUAUCUUAUGUAAUAUAGUUCUUUAUCUGUAACAGUUACAGAUAGACUGUAGAUCUUUUAAAUACUAUUAUCUCAUAAUAAUAAAUGAUUAAUAAUAAUAACACUUUAUUAUUAUUAAUUAUAUUAAUAAUUAAUAUUAAUAAUAAUAACAAUUAUUAUUAUUAAUUAUAUUAAUAAUUAAUAAUAAUAACACUUUAUUAUUAUUAAUUAUAUUAAUGGGCUUUGGACUUUUAACCCAUUAAUAUGACAUAGCACAUCAACAAUGUAUUUUUGUGUGUGACCCAAUAGGCUCACAUUAAUUGGCAAUAGGCCCAGUCCCACAAGACCCAUAAGUUAUAAGUGGCCUCUAACAAGACAUUAUGACUAAACAACUAAUAUGAGGAUCAAUAGUCUAAUAAAGCCUAAUAAAUAGAAUAUGAAUUAAUCCCUUUGUCACACGAUAUCUAGUUUGAACAUAAGUCAUGGUCAAUGUCAAACUUAUAAUGUUCAAACUUAUGAUUUCUCAAUCUCUAAGUAGACUGAUAAAUUCAAAUGAUAUUGAUCACAUUAUCAAUUCAUUUGAGCACGGCCAUGCAUUUCUCAGUCUCACUCAUCGAGGGGCCUAGAAGAUAUCUCUCUCAUAGAGAGGGACAAAUCCUAUCUUGAUUGUUCAUUUUUCUCUACAUAAUUUCUAUUAUGCUCAAUCAUAACCUUUAUGAUUGUCCGAUUAAAGACAACGUUUGGUUAUGUCAAAACAUAACAAUCCUUAUGUUGGAAACUAUGACAAUCUCAAGUCAAAUGAUUAAGACAUAACUAUUUUGAGAUUCACUUAUGACAAUGACCCAUGUAGUGAUCUCAAUGCGGGUUCAUCCAAUACUUUGUUCUCUAACAAGUAUUUAUGAUUAUUGAAUUAUAUCAACAUAUACAUAAUCAUCUCAUGAUUAUCAAUUAAUAAUCAUACCAGUUAUAUUUUAUUAUUAUCAACAUAAUAAUAAGUAACCAGGGAUGAUAAUCAUUAUUAUGUAACAUGCAAACAAAUAAUAAUGAUAAAAACCUCUUUUAUUAAUAACCAAAAUGACAUACAAAAAGGUCCAAGAUAAUGGCUUAGGGCAUAUACACUAACAAUACCAUCCUUGAUGUGAUAUGUUUGUGAUGUGAUGCAUUUCAUGAAAGCAUGAACUAUAAUAUGAUAUUUUUAUUAUUCUGUUCACUGGGCUCUAGUAGCUCACCCCUCUCCCUUAACCCCAAGGUUUGCAGGUACGGGCUAGAUCAGAAAGUCAAGAAGAGUAAAGUCAUGUAUUAUUUAAUAGUUAGAUGUGGACAUGAUAAAUUGUAAAAUGUAGAAAUGUUGAGCAGUCAUGUAAUGUAAGAAUGAUAUUGAGGAUUUGAAUUUGUGCUUGACCCCAUGUGUAUGGUUAUCCCUUCUAGAUAUAUACAUGAUCUAUGUUUUAUGAUGUUUAUGUUCAACCAACCUUAAUGUAUGAUGUUAUACCCCAUUGGAGCAUUUGAUGAGGGCUCCAGUGUGAGGUUUUAUGUUUAUGUCUAUGAGUAUGUACAGGUUAAGCUUGGUAAAAGAAAAAGAAAAGUUCACAGUUUUAUGUAUAUGUAUGAUCAUGUAUGGGAUUAAACAAGUAUACAGGAUGUAUGUGUAAUACCCGGCUAGACUCCGGUAUCGGAAUUCCUACCGUCCGGUGGAAUCUCGGAUGUCGAAAACCUCUAGAAGGGUAAAAUCAUGUUUUUAGAAAAUGUUUUAAUGUAUUUUACGGUUUUAAGUAAGAAAGAAAUUAAGUUUUGAAUGAAAAAGACCAUGGAGGCAUUUCCAGUGUAACAGCCCAGAAACCGGUACCUCUCUGUAACGGCCCCAAACUGCUUGGCGCUAGGAUCCAGAUCGGCUUAAGGCCGCCGGGACCCGUAGCAAGCCUAAACUGAACUCUGUGUACCUGAUCAAUCCCAUACAUGAUCUGACUCGACCACAAGCUUUUGCAAACUUUUUCUGAAAAACCACCAGGCUUAACCUUAAAACAGUCAGACAUGUCAGUCUGAAACGGCCCCCAGGGCCUACACCAGCAAUCUACUACCAAGCUCAAUCUCCAUGCACUAUGCCUGAAAAAAUAGAACCCACUCUCUUAGGGUCAGCAUAUCACAGAUUAGCCUUGGUUUCUGCUUUGGGUCAAGGGGCUCAAACCCUUUCUUCCCUCACAGUCUGCUCUUGGGUCAAGGGGUUUUAUACCCUUUCUUCCCUAUUACUGGAGUUUUCGAAACACAUCAUACGUUAAGCCUAGUUUGACACAUUUCUCAUCAAGAAACGCAAAACAGGAUACAUGCAUACAACAGGGAUUAAGCAUACACCAGGCAAAGCACAUUCUAAACCAUAAACAUACUCACGUACUAUCUAUUAUAGCCUUUUACAUAUUUCUUUGAGUUACAUCUUGUCCAGUACUCUAUUACAUAAUCACAACCUGAGCUAUGACUUCAGUCUGACUCUUGCUGCCUCUGACAUCCCACAGCUAACGCUAACCUGCAAAACUGGGGUUAAGGGAGAGGGAUGAGCUAAAAGCCCAGUGAGCAGAAACUAUAGAAAACAGUUCAUUCCAUACAUGCUCUCAUGAAAUGCGUCACUGCACAACCAAUUCACAUCACGGACUGGACAUGACCUCAAAACUCCCUCUGUCGGUGCACGGCCCCCUACGGAGCUCGCCACUACAUGUACUAGCGCCCAGCCCCUACUGCGGAGCUGACACAGGUCUUACCCAGACAUAACAGAUUAUGGCUAUUGAAGUCGUCUGGGUCCAAUCCCCAUCACAGUAAAUAAUGCAAUGCAGCAUAUUCGUGCCUACUAAUGCAAUCAACCUAUUGCAUACUCAUAAUACUCAUGAUGCAUGAACCAUGCUCAGACAUAUAUCAUUUCUCAGAGUUAAAAACAUUAAGGUUAGUUCUACUCACCUCUGGCUGACGCUGGACUGACUCUGCCACUGCUACCCCUGAUGGCCUCCUCGAUCUCUCGGGUCCGCUCCUACACAGGUGGACUCGAAUGAGGUGCCAAACACACUCGAAAUGACUCAUAAACAACUCCCCAAAACCCCUCUCAAAGCUCUUAAAACAAACACAUAAAGCAUGCAAAAGAAGGCUGGACAGGACACUUUCGGCGGCAGGUUCGGCGGCCGAAUGUCCUCUCCAGAGACGAAACUCAAGCACCUUCGGCGGCCGAAUCUCCACUUUCGGCUGCCGAACCCUUUCGGGGGCAAGGUUCGGGGGCUGAAACACACUCCAGAGACGAAAGUCUCUAACCUUCGGCGGCACCUUCGGCGGCACCUUCGGCGGCCGAACCUCACCUCCAGAGACGAAAGUCCAAUCCUUCGGGGGCAGGUUUAGGCAGCCGAAACCACCUCCUCAAAACGUUCGGCGGCCGAACCCUUCUUCGGCGGCCGAAGCUGGGUUCUCCAGUUAGGCAAAACCUCGCUUACCUCAUGUACAACUUCCCCCAAACUUGCUCAAACAUGCAUACAACACUCCAUAACACACAUAUACUCAGGUAUAUGCACAAAGGGGUCCAAAACUACCUUAUAACCCCAACAAACAACACUCAUAACAUCAAACAACUCAUACACAUCAUAAAAACCCUUAAAGCCAUAAACUUGCAAACUUUCCAUCAAACCUUCAUAAAUCUAUCAAAACCAUGAAAAGAUGUUAGCACACUCCAUAAACCUCUUGUAAACAAAAGGAUGGAAGACCCUAACGUGAAGAAAUGGAGAAAACACUCUCCAAAUCAUCACACUUUCAAAACUUCAUCUUUUUGCUCAAAACCCACAAAACUUCCAUAAAUCUUGUUUAAACUCUUGAAGAUUUGAAAGAACACAUAAAAAUCACUUAGAGGAGCAAAGGAACGCACCUGAGGCUGCUGGGGAUCAGAAAAACUAUCCCUUGACCGACCUAAGGCCCCCUUAAAUAGUGGCUGGCCAAACCACCUUCGGCAGCCGAACGUGCCUCCCAAUCCAUGCAAAGUUCGGCGGCCGAAACUCAACCUUCGGCGGCCGAACCUGGCAAUUUCCUCAAAACAUUACUUUCCAAAAACAUCAUUCCUUAAACACGCUGAAAUUCUUUACAAUACUUAAAACCCUUGAAAACAUUUGAAAACAUCUAUGAAAACCUUUCUCUUACUCUUCUAGAAUCCUCUGACAUCCUCAAAUCCCACCAGAUGGUAAGAAUUCUGAUGCCUGCUUAAGCCGGGUAUUACAUCCAGGUUCGGCCGCCGAACAUUGGAUGGUUUAGGGAGCAAGUUAGGCUCCCAAAAGUUAGCUCAGGUUCGAUCGUCGAACCCCAUGUUCGGCCGCCGAACUUGCAUGAGUUUUAGAGGCACUUUAGACUGCCGAAAGGUGGUCUGGCAGCCCUAUAAAAGGGCUCCAUGGCCGAAACGGGCGAGUUUUCUCCCCAUUUUCGGCCACGGUGAGUCCCUGCUCUCCCAUGGUUUGUUUUUAAUGUUUUUCCUCCGAUCUUUAGAGUUUUAACGAGUUUUAUCUUGAUUUGAAGAUAUUUGAGCAAAAGAGCAAGUUUUGGAGCUUGGAGAUCAAAGAGUUGAGAUCUCCCCCAUCUCUAAGUUAGGAUCGUUUCUCCUCUAAAUCUUCAAGAGGUAAGCUUCGAUCCUGCCAUUCUAGUAUGUUUUAAAUAAGUUUUAUGAGUUUUGUGGGGUAGAAAUGCAUGUUUAGGUUAUUGUUGAAGUUUAUGGGUUUAUGUUAUGGUUAUGAGCAAUGUGGGUAGUAUGUGUAUGUUUAAUGUGUUUUGGUUGGGGUUUAAGUUAGUUUGAGACCCCUAUGUGCUUGUUGGCUUGAGUUUGCUUGUUGUAGAAUAGGAAAAUGCAUGUGUGAAUGAGUUGGGAGGCUUUUGUGCAUGUUGGAGCUGAGUUUCUGCCUUUUGGGAGAACUCAGGUUUGGUAGCCGAAGGGACUUUCGGCCGCCGAACCUGCCUAUGGAGGCCAACUUUUAGCUGCCGAACCCUGCCCCCGAAAGUGGACUUUCGGCUCUAGAAGGGAGUUUCGGCCACCGAAGGUGCCGCCGAACAUGCAUGAGUUUCGUCUCUGGAGGGAACCUUCGGCCGCCGAAAGUGCCGCCGAAGGUGCAUGACUUUCGGCUCUGAAGGGACUUUCGGCUGCCGAACCUGCCGCCGAAAGUGCCCUGUUCAGCCAUCCUUUGCAUGGUUUAUGUGAUUGUUUUAAGAUGUUUUAGGGGGUUGUUGGGGAGUAUUUUAGAGUCAUGUUCAUGGAUGUUUGGUCCCUCAUUUGAGUCCACCUGUGUAGGUUCGGACCCGAGGAACCGAGGACCUCAGCAGUGAGAUAGCUGCUUCAGAGUCUUUAGAGCUUCAACCAGAGGUGAGUGGAAUAACUCUUUACAUUUCAAAACAAAUAAAUAAAUUUUGAGCAUGAUACAUGCAUCACGUAUGCCAUGAGAUAUACUAGGUUGUUUGCAUUAGAAUUCACGAAUAUGUUGCAUUGCAUAACUUGAUGAUGAUGUGGAUGGAUGUUGAAUGAUCCUUUAGUCCUCGUAUGUUAUGGUAUGAUGAUGAUACGGUAUGGAUAGCCAAUGAGGCCCAUUCUACGCCCCUGGCACUAUGUUAAGAGAAAGACCAGUGAGGCCCAUUCUACGCCCCUGGCAUUAUGGAAUGUUAUGUUAUGUUAUGUUAGUCCUAUUCUACGCCCCUGGCACGAUUAGACUAUGUAGAGGACUAUUGGUGACAAGUCCAUCCUUGAUGUGAUUUGUUUGUGCUGUGUUGCAUUUCAUGAAAGCAUGAAAUAUAAAUUGAAUGUUUUACUAUUCUGCUCACUGGGCUUUAUAGCUCACCCCUCUCCCUUAACCCCCAGGUUUGCAGGUACAGGGUAGACCAGGAGGUCAGCAGGAGUAGAGUUAUGUUAUUAUUAUAGCUAGAUGUGGACAUGAACAUGAUGUAAUGUGAAAGUAUAGUAUAGAAAUGUAAUGUAAUGAUGCUUGUGGAAGUUUAGAGUUGUGCUUGACCAUAGUAUGAUGUUAAUCCCUUUCUAGUACAUGAUCUUAAAUGUUUAAUGAUGAUUAUUGUAAACCAAGCUUAAUGUAUGUUAUGUUAUCCCAUUGGAGUAUUUGAUGAGGACUCCAUUGAGGGAUUUUAUGUUAUGAUUUGUGCAUGCACAGGUUAAGCUUGGUGAAUGAAUGAAAGAAUGAAUGAAUGAGUGAAUGAAUGAUUCAAUGAGAAAGUUUUAAUUUUUAUGUAAUUGUUGAUCAUGUACGGGAUUAAACAGGUAUACAGGAUAAAUGUUUGGCUUGCUAUGGGUCCCGGCGGCUUUAAGCCGAUCUGGAUCCUAGUGCCGGUAGCGGUCCGAUUUUCGGGUCGUUACAGUAUGUUAGGCUUGCUACGGGCCCCGGCGGCCUUAUGCCGAUCUGGAUCCUAGCGCUGGUAGUGGUCCGGUUUCCGAGUCGUUACAACGGGCUACUGAGCACAUGCGGGGAGCUAAGAUAGCUUUUGAGCUCUUUGAAAGCUUCUCGACAGUCCUCAGUCCAUUCGAAGUUUGAAACUUUCCUCAACUUCUUAAAAAACGGUAAGCAUCUCUCUGCCGACCUCGACAUGAAGCGGUUGAGCGCUACUACCCUUCCAGUGAGUCUCUGGACGUCCCUUACACAGGUCGGCUCGGACAUUUUUAGGAUGGCUUUUACCUUCUCGGGAUUGGGCUCAAUGCCUUUUCCACUCACCAUGUAUCCUAAGAACUUUCCUCCCCUAAUGAAGAAAGCACACUUUUUCGGGUUCAGCCUCAUUCUGUAUUGUUCCAGCACUUCGAACACCUCCCUGAGAUCCACCAAGUGUUGCUGAAAAGUUGGGCUUUUUACCACCAUGUCGUUCACGUAUACUUCUACAUUCCUGCCGAUCUGGUCUUUGAAGAUUUUAUUCAUUAGCCUCUGGUAUGUUGCCCCGGCAUUCUUCAGCCCAAAAGGCAUAGCUCUGUAACAAUAGGUUCCAUCUUCUGUUAUGAAUGAGGUCUUCUCUUCAUCCGACUUGUCCAUUGGAAUUUGGUGGUAACCGGACAUUGUAUCCAAAGACGACAUGUAAUCAAAACCUGUCGUGGAGUCGACCAUUUUAUUAAUAUCAGGGAGGGGAUAACAAUCUUUGGGACAUGCCUGAUUGAGGUUGGUAAAAUCUAUACACAUCCUAUAUUUGCCAUUGGUUUUUUGACUAAUACAGGAUUUGCUAGCCAUUGUGGGUACAUAACCUCUCUAAUAAACCCUGCCUCCUCUAGCUUUUGCACCUCCUCCCUGGUGGCCUGCUGCUUCUCUCUUCCUACCACCCUCUUCUUUUGUUUCACCGGCCUGGCCUCUGGAAGGACGUUCAGCUUGUGAGUCAUCAGUUCAGGGUCUAUCCCAGGCAUGUCAGAAGGCUUCCAUGCAAAGCUUAAUGCGUGACCUCGGAUCAGGGCCAUUACUUCAGUUUUUUGCUCUUCAGUCAGGCCGGUGUUAAGUCUGAAGACCUUGUCUGUCUCCGCUUCCGAUAAGGGGAAGGUUUCCAGCUCUCCGACCGGCUCUGUUCUGGCCUCUUUUUUCUCAUCUCGGACCUCCAGAACUUUUGAGUCAAGCUUCUCUCUUGCCGAGCUCGGCUCUGAUACCGUGGUCAGGUACACUGCUCUCGCCUCUUCCUGACUUCCUCUGACUACUCCCACUCCCGCUUCGGUUGGGAAUUUCAUGGCCAAGUACCUUAUGCUGGUCACGGCCUCAAAGUCAAACAGCAUAGGUCUUCCCAAUAUUGCAUUGUAGCUCAGGGGGAGUUUUACUACCAAGAAUACCGCGUAGUGAGUUCGAGUUCUGGGUGCUUCCCCGAGGGUGAGAGCCAGCUUCACCUUUCCUUUCACAGGCACCGGGACUCCUCCGAUCCCUUUGACUGGGGCCUGGUCCCGAACCAACUGUUCUUUUGGGAUUCCCAUCUGCUGGAAGACUCGGUAUGGCAAUAAAUUCACCUUACUUCCGUCAUCCACCAAGAUCUUCUUAACCCGGUAGUUGUGGAUGAUGACUUCAAUAACAAGAGCAUCGUCAUGAGGCAUCUGAACACCCUGGGCAUCCUCCGGAGAGAAGGAGAUGGGCACUGGAGAAUGUUCAACUAGCUGCAUGACUUCGGCACUGCUGCCUUCCCCAUCUCGACCCCUUUUUCUUCCUCCCUUGCUCAUCCGACCUCCGGUUCCUCCGACAAUCAUGUUGAUGGUCCCACUGGAGCCAUCAUUCACCGGUCCUGCUCCCGUCCUCCGAGGUCGUUCUGUCGUAGGGUUCUGCUGAGAUCUCUCUCCCUCCGAUUUUUUCACAAAGUUCCUGAGAUGUCCCCUCUUUAUAAGCCUCUCUAUCUCGCUGAUCAGCUGGAAGCAAUUGUUGGUGUCAUGGCUGUGUGUACAAUGGUACUGAUAGUAUUUGUCAGGAUCUCACUGGUUUGCUUCUGCUCUCAUGGGCUUGGGCCAUUGGAGGAACUCCUUAUCCUGAACUGCCAUGAGCACCUCGGCUCUAGAGGCGUUGAGUGGAGUCAAGUUCUCUGGAACUCGCGGAGGGAAUGUUCUUUGUUUUGGAACCCGAGGGGAGAAAGGUCUCUGGUCCCUUCGGUCCCAGGGCUGUUUGUAUGACUCAGGUCUUUUGCUUUGCUUUUUCUCCUACCUUUCCGACCUCCUCUCUUUCGAGGCUUUUCCCCUGUCUGCCACCCCUUUGGCGAAUCUGCUCGUCACCAAGGCAUCAUCCUGCCUUAUGUACUUCUCCGCCCUCUUCAUCAGCUCUGCUAGUGAGGUGGGACGAUUCCUGCUCAACGAGCCAAAGAACUAUGGCGAGGUCGUCCCUUUCUGCAUAGCCUCCACCGCUCUGCCCUCAUCUAGCUCGGGGAUUUAUAAGGCCUCCGUAUUGAAAUGGGCUACAUACUCCCUCAACGAUUCAUCUCUUCUCUGUCUGACUGUCUCCAAGUAACUCGUCUUUAUGUCCGCAGGUACUCCGGCAAUGAACCGACUGAUGAAGAUAUUGGCCAAAUCUCCAAAGCUUCUGAUACUUUCAGCCUCUAGACUAUUAACCCACGCUCGUGCUGGCCCUGUGAGGGUCGUGGGGAAUACCUUGCACAUCAAGGCAUCCGAUAGAGUCUGCAGCUCCAUGAAAGUCUUGUAGUUAAGGACGUGCUCUCUGGGGUUUCCAGCUCCGUCAUACGCUGCCAUAGGUGGCAUCAUGAACUUCUUGGGGAUAGUCUCCUGCUGUACCCAUUUUGAGAAAGGCGAGGAGGUGGGCAAGAGAGCCUGAUUGUGAUCCUUCGUCCCAAACUCGACUAGGAGCUGUUCCCUCAUUCUCUGCACUUUCUGAUCCACACUCUCUUCCUCUUGUUUGGGCCUCUUCUCCAGACGAUAUUCUUCCUACCAUUCAUCCUCCUUCGUUCUCCUGGUUGUUCUGGCAAAAUAACUGUUUGCCUCAUCGUUUUCUAUCAACUCCCUCACCCUUCUUCCAUGAACUCUGGCUUCUGGUUCUUCUUCUCCCCCGGCUCUUCUGCCCCUUUCUCCGGUUUCUCGACUAUUUGUUUGGGGAUGGUUGAAGGUAGGCUGAGGUUCGUUGGUUCGGGGUUCUUCUACCACCGGCAACACAUUCACUGGGGUGCUGAGGCCCCUCUGUUGCAUCAUCUGCCCCAGCCAGUGGGCAGUGUUUUGUAGUUGAAGGGCUAUGGUUUGGAGGUCCUGGUUGGACAAGGUAGCUCCAGGCAUGUUCCCUGCCGAGUUCGGCGAGGGGUUGAAAGGGAUUGGUGGUUGGUUGUUUGGAGUUGUCGGGUUGGAAAAAUAGAACUGCUGCCCCUCUUGGGCAGAGCUCAGGUCAUUGGGAGUGUUAACGAUGUUGUUUUCAUUAUGGUUGGCCAUCGUGGAUCUCAGUGGGUAUUGUAAGAGUGGACCUCCGGCGAUGAAAAGAUCUCCUUCGUUUUCCACAGACGGCGCCAAUUAAUGAUCUGAGAUCCAGAAAAUAGGGUUUUACAAGGGUUCUGUAAGCUUAGUCUAAGAGGAGAAUGUUUCUCUCCUUUUAUUCUUUUCCUUUAUCUGCCAGGGGCGUGUCAUGGCCUUACGGCCAUUGGGCCACCUGUCUCUGCCAUACUGAUACGGACGUACGAGGAUAUCAGAUAUCUGCUCCAUGCGUAACGACCAUUUAAUUCUCCCCUGGCACGCAUGCAGAUGGAACCACUAGGCAAAUGGGCUGGCUACCUUUUCUCCUCCGGGCUGGGUUGGAAGAUGAGAUUAGGACUGGAGCCUAGGGGAGGUCUGAUCUUAGGGCCGAAAGGACUGGGCCGACCUGAUUGAGAGGCUUUAGAGGGAGUCCGGUCUUCAGGCCGAGCGGCCUAAAUCUGGUUCAUGUGGGAGAUUUAAAAGUUUUCAAGUAAUGGGCUGUCAUCAUGGCCAAGCCUCAGACCGAGAUGGUGAAAUCCAGCGAUCAUCACCUUGAUCAGAGAAAAUCUUCAGUGGUUGUUUGCUUGUUCUUUAAUUGGGUUUUUAAUCUGUAUAUGCUAUGAGGAGAUGGUAAGCUUCUCAAAUUCUUUAGUCUGAAUUAAAGAAAAAAAAAAUUAAGUCAUUUUUAUAUUUUAAGAUUUUUAUUAAGAUCUCUUUAUAUAUAAAUUUAUAAUAUAUUUUAAUUUUUAAAUUAAAAUUAAACAAUAACCUAUCCCAAGCAGAAACAAUCUUGCAUUGGUCUCUUUAGGUUGAACAAAUUGAUCACUAAGCUUUUCAUCCUUAUAAGCAAAAGGGUUGUGCAGGUUGCUCAAACAAAGAGAGAGAAUUAGACUCUUCUACUUCAUUUGUAUGGAAUGUCUUCUACGGAAGAAGGGAUACAUAUGAAAAUGUGCUUCUGUCUCAAUAAAUACAGAUAUUUUGUGGAAUAAAUUUUCAUUAUUUUCUUUUAUUUCUAAUUAAAAAUUUUACAAGAUUUUAAUUUAAUUAAUUUUUUAUAAUGUUUUAUUUGAAAUGAAAAAAUCUCAUACUUUUUAAUUUUAAAAAAUAUUUUAUAAAAAUUCAUUUGUAUUUUUUUUCAUAAAAUAAAUUGCUAUCAAUUGUGAAGUUUUGAAAAUUGUGAUUACUGGAGGCAGAUUAAGACAAAGGAAAUACAACAUAAUGUGGAAUUUGUUUAAGAAAACUGUCAUAGAGCUGGAGAUGUUUUAUCGUAAGAGUUGAUGGCCGCCGACCUCUAAGCAAUCAGGCUAAGGUCGAACUUUGAAAAAAGAGAUAAAUCCAAAUCUCAUUAAAAUUUAAUAAGCAGGUUGAUUUAUCAAUACAUCAUCCAACCUGCAAUUAAAACAGGCUGAUUGAGGGUUCGGAUUUAUCAGAAGAAAACCUAUCUCGUUUGAUGUGAUGGGGAGUAGGAGAACAGACUCAGCUAUACCGCAACCCUAUCAGUACGGAUGUCGGAGAAAAAUUAAAUAACCGGACGGGAAUGGACAAACAGAAAUAGAUGGUAAUACUAGGGGAUAGUAGCGAUUACAGAUAAUAACGAUUAUGCAUCACUAGGGAAUAAGGAAAAAAUGAAUAAAAAAGGGGAUCGUGACCCUUCAGAUUAAACUUUUCCCAGCCAUACAAAACUCUAUUCCUUUCUGGAUUUCAAUUCAAGAGUGAUUUUGCCAUUUUUUUUAUAGGUUUUUGUCAAGAGAUUUUUUUUUCCUUGAUGGCCAGUAUUUUUUCUUUAUUUAUUCUUUUGUAUUGAUAGGUUAUUAGCCUAAAAGUUAAGUUUUAGACUUUAUUGGUUCGUUCUUAAAAGUACAGGGACUUAUUAGGACUUUCUUCCUAUUGGUUCACGUGUUCCGUCAGUUUUUCUUCCCUGCUUGACGGUUGUCUUUUGGUUACUUAAGUAGCAACGACAUCGUUUUGCAUAUUUAUUCAUAUAUCUGUUGUUGGAAACGGCGUCGCAUCUGUUCAUAAUUGCAUCAGCUUUCUUUGCGCGAGGCUCAAAGUUCACGGCAGCGAAACCUACUUAACGGACAACCGGCGGCGACACCAUUACGCCAUGCGAAAAGCUUCAUGGCAAGAGGUAUUUGCGCAUAACUGUAUUAAUUCACGUGUUGAUAAUUGUAUUUUAACUCGUCUACUGAUGAACUAGGGCAUUGUUUUAAAUUUUCUGUUCGAAGCUAGAUGAAGUUUCUGAUAUUCUCGGUGAUUCCAUCCACGACAGCGGUGAAAUCCCUUACCAAUACGCGCUAUCGGUGUUUCGCUCCAAUGCCAUAUGGAGGAGAAGGAGAAAGUUUUUACGGGAAUCUUCCAUGUUUCAGGCGGCCGCGAAGGGCCGUAAAGAGAGGUAAUUUUGUUGUAAGCAGAUUGAUUUCGUUUUGAUUUUUGAUGUUAAAAUUUUAUUAUAUCCAUUUGGGCUUUUCAUUGAAUGAAAACCUAGAUUAUUAGGCCAAUAGUGCUACUAUUGACUUUGAAUCUUUAAUAGAUUGAAAACCUGUUAAUUCAGUUAAUUUAUUGUUAGUAGGUGAAUAUUCUGAUUAUUUAAAAUCAAUGAAAAAGAAUGUUCUGUGAUAUGACCAAUUCUGCUAAUCUACAAACUCUUUUUCUUUUCCUUUUUUCUUGAAGAAUCUAUUCAAGUUGAGAUUUGUUUAUUGCAGUCUAUUUUUCUAAGUCUUUGGCUGAGCAUAGUAUUGAAUUCUCCAUGUCUGUUCAUCCACCUUGUGUCAGCAAACUUGUUGCGCCUCUCCAGUAUAUUAUAAUGGUCAUUUGAGAAUCGUUAACUGUUUAUGUAAGUACAACCUCACAAAAUCACAAUUAGUUGAAUUUUGUAGAUAUGCUAUUUUGGGGGAUACGUAUCUAAAUCACCGUGCAAUUCGAGUUACUGAUUCACAGAGGCAACUUAUAGUUAAAAAAGAACUAAGAGAUCUUGGAGGUGUAGAUAGGCCUUUGUUCAUAUGGCAAACUAAUGCUCUUAAAUCUUUCUUCAAAGGAAGCUUAUAAGCAAAGAAAUUGAACUUUCUUCAAACAAUAGAAGCAAUAUUAAUGUAAUGGAUACAGCUCACCUGCAGCUGAGCUGAAAAAAAAAAAAACCAUUUGGCUUAUGUGGACAAGAAUCAUUGUCAUUAUAAUCAGGAAGUCAAUGGUUGAUGCUAUAGAAGCUUUUUAUUACAAAACGGAUCCUUAAACUGGUUGAAGGAAAUAAAAAGUUUCUUGCCAUUGAUAAAGCAAUCGGUGAAAAUGGAUUCAGAGUUGUUACCCUUCUUCGUUUGAGCCCUUUGCUUCCAUUUUCCCUUGGGAAUUAUUUGUAUGGAUUGACAUCUGUUAAGUUUGUCCCAUAUGUUCUGGGAAGGUUUGCCUUUAUCCCAUUGUUGUUGCUAGUUAUGAAGUUGAUUUCCUAUUGGAAAUAUUUUAUGAGAUGUCCCCUUUAGUUGUUUGUGCUUGAUGCCCUUCUUAUAGGAUCCAUUUGUUUGUGGACAUGCAUACUUUCUAGGCAACUUAUAGUUAAAAAACAACUAAGAAAUCAUUUGGAGGUGUAGAUAGGCCUUUGUUCAUACGGCAAACUAAUGCUCUUAAGUCUUUCUUCAAAGGAAGCUUAUAAGCAAAGAAAUUGAACUUUCUUCAAACAAUAGAAGCAAUAUUAAAGUAAUGGAUACAGCUCACCUGAAGCUGAGCUGAAAAAAAAAAACCAUUCGGCUUAUGUGGACAAGAAUCAUUGUCAUUAUAAUCAGGAAGUCAACGGUUGGUGCUAUAGAAGCUGUUUAUUACAAAACUGAUGACUAUUCAAUUGUAUGCAAGUGGCAGAAUUUUUAUUUGACAUUUGACGCUUUAAAAAAGGAGAAAGGUGACAAACUUGAUAUUGCCAAGGAAAGAGGGGAAAAGGGUAGUGUGUUGGUGAAUAAAAGAAAGGAGGGAAAAGAAAAAUAUUGUAGUAGAAGAAGAUGAAGAAGAAGAAGAGAGAAACAAGGCAAUAACAUUGCUGAAUUGCUGGCAGGAUAAGGCAUGCAGUUCGUGCAUCCAAUUGGCAUUCUUUGCAUACAUCCAAUGUUCCUUCACUUAUCAUUAUUCUCUCUACUACUCUUCCUCAAGGUUUUCACUUUAUCUCAAAUCAGUGUGUGAUAAUCUAAGUGAAUUGUUUGAUUUAUUGUGAAUGUUUAUUCCGUAAUAUGUAUUUGAAUUUCCGAUUGACUAAGUUUGCUGCUAGAUCCAUAUCCAUAUAAGUUUGUGUUUUCCACUUAGAGUUUUAAUUUCAUUAGAUUAUUUCAAUUUUGGUAUUCUCUGUUCUGAGAACAUACUUUUCUGCUUCGAAUUUCUUCUUUCUAAUCAAAUCUGUGUAGGAUCCAAAUAACUCCAAAAGAGAAGAAAAGCUAAUUGAUGUGAUUACCAGUUUCCAACUCUCAAUCAUUUAUGAACUUAAUCCAAAGGCAGUCAAAUUUUUAAAAGUUUAAUUAUGGCCAGUUUCUGAUAUCUGAAUAAUACACAAGGUAUCUUUUAUUACAUUAGCAAAUAUUAAGGCAAUUUUAUAUCUUUCGGCCACCUAAACUUCAUUUUAGGUGCUGAAUUAGUGCUGAUUCAGAAAUGGAUUGUAAGUAGCUAUUGGUUCACAUAUGUGCCUAAAAUAACAACUUAUAGCUAACCUGGAAUGAACAGCCAUAAUAAUUAUAUACUCAACAGAUUCUCUUUUUUUCCUAAAAUAAUAACUUUCUAACAACUUACUCUACUAAACUCAUAUAUAUUCUUGUUAAUUAGUCUAUUAAAAAAAUGGAUACUAGCUUCAAAUUUGGCUCAACAUUUAAAAAUUGCUCGUGUGAGGGAAGCAGUACGAAUUGACAUUAAUUUGGUAUUCAUGGUAUCUUUUUCUUCCAAUGUUAGAAGUCACAUGCUUACUAUUAAACCGCUGAAGAAUGAAGAAGCAUGGGAUCUUUUUUGCAUGAAAGCAUUUUUCAUCAAUCCAGAUAAAUCUUGUCCAGAAGAACUUAAACCUCUAGCAUUAGAACUGGUGGGAAAAUGUGAUGGACUACCUCUUGCAAUUGUGGCUUUAGGUGGUGUCAUGUCCUCCAAAAAGUCAACAAGUGAGUGGAGUAGUGUUUGGGACAGCUUGAAUUGGCAACUGAACAAUAAUCCAAGGCUAGAAAUAGUCAAGAGCAUUUUGCUGCUUAGUUUCAAUUACUUGCCAUCUCCAUUAAAGUAUUGUUUCUUGUAUUGUUGCCUCUUCCCAGAAGACUAUAAAAUUCGACGGGAAAGGCUCAUUAGACUCUGGAUAGCGGAAGGAUUUAUUCAGAAUGUUGACAGGACUACACCAAAUGAAGUUGCAGAAAGGUAUUUCAUGGAACUAACACUUUGUAGCAUGCUUCAAGUUGGAAGCAGAAAUGCAUGUGGGAGACCAAGAGCUUGCCAGAUACAUGAUCUUUUGCGUGAAAUUGGUAUAUCAAUGUUGGAGAGAGAGAAGUUUGGUGUAGUAUAUGAUGGAAAAAUAAAGAUUAAAGAAUGCCAACUUCAUCAAACUCGUCGCUUGUCUAUUCAAAUAACUAAUGGAGACCUUCAGUCAUAUGGCAAUAUGAGACGUCUUCGUUCACUACUUGUCUUUGUGGAUAGUUUUGUGUCUUUCUCGAACACAUCAUUGUCAAAUUUAAAAUUAAUGAGGUCUUUGGAUUUGGAAAAUGUCGCGAUUAAUAUUUCACCAGAAGGGUUGGGGACUCUAUUCAACUUAAGGUACUUGAACUUGAGAGGAACCUAGGUGCAAAAACUUCCCAAAUCUAUUGAAAAACUGAGAAAUCUUGAGAGUUUAGACAUCAUAAAUACAAAUGUAAAAGAACUUCCGAGUGAAGUAGCUGAGUUCCGAGUGAAGUAGCUGAGUUACAGAACUUGUAUCAUCUGAUUAUGUGGAGCAAGAGGAUUGCAAAUAACUUGGGAGAUUUUUUGUAUUUGAAUGGAGUGCAAGUAACAUUUAAAAUUAGCAAAUUGAAGAAAUUGCCAGUCUUGUAUUAUAUUGAAGCCAAAGGUGACAUAAUACGACAACUUGGGAGUAUGACCCAACUGAGGAGAAUGGGCAUUUUAAAUUUGAGAGAAGCAGAUGAGCAUGACUUGUGCUCUUCAAUCCUGAACUUGAAACUAAUACGCACCUUGCGUCUCUGUGUGAAUAAUGAAGCAGACUUCCUUCGAGUGGAUGCACUGGAAACACCCCCACCCCAACUUCAAAAGCUUGGUUUGCAUGGGAAACUAGAAAGGGUGCCACAUUGGUUUUGCUCACUUCAAAACCUAACAUC